rnacentral:lncRNA from 1 species
CUAGUCCAGUCCCGACCAACUGCCGGAAUUCACUCGCCUAAAGGUUAUGGCAAAACCUUAGAGUAUCAAAGAAACUCUUAAGAACCUCUCUAAGCUUUAAGACUAUUUCUCUUAGAAACCAGUCUUUUACGGGUAGACUCACACCUUAGAGUAUCAAGGGCACUCUUAAGAACCUCUAACUUUUGCGGGUAAGUUAACACCUUAGAGUAUUAAGGAACUCUUAAAAACCUCUCUAAGCUUUAAGGCUACUUCGCUUAGGAACCAGUCUUUUACAGGUAGACUCACACCUUAGAGUAUCAAGGGCACUCUUAAGAACCUUUAACUUUUACGGGUAAGUUAGUACCUUAGAGUAUCAAGAAACUCUUAAAAACCUAGAAAUCUUUCAAGGUAGAUUCGACCUAAGAGUUUUCCCGGAAACUCUAUAAAACCAAACUAGAGCUUUAUGGUUGAGCUCGAAAACCUUCUCUCACACUUUGGUACUAUUGAGACAACCCUCUCAACCAAAGUGGACACACACAAGAGGUGAUUAGAGGAGUGGAAUAUUAAAGCAAACAACACUUCUUACUUGUAAAGAUGAACAAGAAGAUUAGAAGAAGAAGUUGGAGAGCUUUUGAAGCUUUGGAAGCUAAGACACUUGAGCACUUGAAAGCUUGGAGGCAAAACCGUGUGGGCAAGUGUGGAGUGAAAGCUCUUGAGUUUGCUUGUAGUGUGGUGAGUGAAAAUGAGGGGAUUACCCUUCUAUUUAUAGCCUUGGUCAUUCAAUGUCCACCCUUGGAUCUUCAAUGGAUGGCUCCUUGAUUUCUCACAAAAAUCCAAGCUUUGUCUUUGAUCAUAUCUUGAAUAGUGCUUUUCUUGGAUAGAGUUUGUUAAAGAAUCUUAUCUUUGUAUAAAUUCAAACUUGAAUAGUGUUUUGUCCCCUUGCAAUAUUAUACCUUGAAUAAAGUGUCAAAAGAUAAUAAUAAUAAUAUUCAAGGUAAAAAUGCAAUUAUUCCAAAUAAUAAUAUUCAAGGUGAAAAUGCAAUUCUCCUAAUUUGACUUUUAACUUUGACUUAAACUCUUAACUCAAAUGAUUAAUUAAUUAACUGGAGUUAGGUUUAAUAUCGAUUGACUUAUUUAUCCCCUAUUGAUUAAUAAUGUAAUUAGGGUUUAAAUUACAUGAUUAAAAUAUAAUCCUAUAUCGACAAUUUUGAUUCUACACUGACGUGUAAAGCUCGAUUCUUUUGCUUCGGACCGCCUGCAACACUAGCCUCGAUAAGUAAUUAAUUACCAGCACGAAUAGGAGGGGGGAGAGUGGGUCUCCCUGUCGCAAUCCUCUCUGUGGCUUUAUAAUUCUGGUCGGUGAGCCUUCCACCAGGGCCGACACCGACGCAGUCGUCACGCACUCCAUGAUCAGGCGUCAGAACGUUUCAUCAAUCCCAUUUAGAUCCAUUACAGCAUCUAUAGCGUCCCACCGAAUCGUGUCAAAAGCUUUGGAGAAGUCGAUGGUUAUACAAGCUUGCCUCGACGUACUCUUGCAGUUGAAGCCGUUCGUGAAUUCUUGAGUGAGCCCCAUCGCAUCCGUUAUUCGCCGUCCUUGACAAAAGCCGUAUGGUUUGGGCUCACCAUUGCCGGAAGGAUGAUUUGCAGUCGCGUGGCUAGGAUUUUUGAGAAAAUUUUAUAGUUCACCCCCAGGCAGGAUAUAGGCAUGUAAUCCUCCAGCCUCUCAGGCGCCUUCUUCUUGGGAAUCAGCGUGAGCGUUGCCAGGUUGAGGGAGGGCCUUCAACAUGCACUUCGUGUUGAAGAAGUCAAGAAUUGUUGUCGUGACGUCAUUUUUGAUCAAGCUCCAGUGAUGUACUAGGAAUUCCGAUGUUAGGCCGUCCAUCCCGGGGGCCUUGCUGUUGGGCAUGCUCCUGACCACCUUCCUGAUUUCCUCUCCGCUCGGGUAUGCUCUUAAUUUAGCGUUCUCCUUACUUGAGGGCAUGUAUUCCAUUGUUACGUUUAAGUUUGGCAGUGGCGGGGCUCUGCUCUCUGCCGCAUACAGUUUCGUGAAGUAGUCUAUCGUUCUUUGCUUCAUCUCUUCCAGACAGUUGGUCUGCCUGCCCUCUGCAUUCAAUGUGCCCAUAAUUGAGUUUUUCGCGUGCCGGGCUUUGAUGGCCUGAGCGAAGAAUUUCGAAAUUUGAUCGCCCUGAGUGAUCCAACUUAUAUGCACCCUCUGUUGUAGGUCGAGCUGUUCCCUUUGCUGGCAUUCAAUUAGCUUUAAUUUUAGGUUUCUACAGGCAUUUUGGGUGUCCUGAUUGUGUGGGUUGGCUUGCCAUUCCGUUGCUGCAGCCUGCAGCUCAGCCACUAUUUUCCUUGAUGUCUCAUCCGUAAUUUUCUUCUUCUUCGCCCAGUCCUUUCCUACUCGUCUGACCGCGUUAAUCUGCUGCUGGAGGAUGUACUGUGGGGAGCCGUCCACCCUCUCUUCCCAAGCUUCUUUAAAUGCCGCGUUGAACUGAUUAUCCCUUAGCUAGCUGUUGAAGAAUUUGAAUGGUGUCGUCCCUCUGUCAGUCCGGAUGAGUUUAACAAAUAAACCGGCAUAGUCACUCGUCGUGCCCAUGAUUAGUUUUGGUCGGACAUGCGGCCAACGAGCGACCCAAUUCGCAUUUCCCAGGGCCCUGUCCAAUUUUGAUCGCGUGUGUUGGGUUCCGAUUCCAUUUGACCAAGUGAAUUCCCCGCCGAUCACCUGUAAUUCAGUGAAGCCGAUGAUGGCGUCCUCGAAUUCUCCGACGCUGACUCUGUCGAAGUUCCCCCGCCCUUCCCUCUCAAAUGGGUGUCUAAUCUCGUUAAAAUCGCCAAUUAGCAGCCAGUCUCUGCCCUGCGAUCCUGGCCGGAGCGCGCCAAUUUAAUUCCAGAGAGGCCUUCUCUUUACUAUUGUUCUCUCCCCAUAUGCUAUGGUUAUAUCGAAUGUAUAUCCCCCCACGUUCAGCAUUCUGGCGUGGAUAAGUUGCUCAUGCACUCUGAUAUCAGGCACACUCCAUUUACUAGUUUUCUAACCCAUCCAUAUUGAAUCCCUGCCCUCUCCUUCGUUAUUUCUUAUUAUCUCCCAUUCUGAACCCAUCUUUUCUCGAGCUUCAUCGAAUCCCUCUUUUUUCGUUUUAGUUUCUAGAACUCCAAAUACUUCUAUCGAAUUCUCCUGGCAGAUCUUCCUGAAUUCAUUCUGCCGCUCGGAUGAACAGAUUCCCCUCGCAUUCCACACAAAUAGGGCUAUCUCGGGGAAAGAUGCUCCCUGUGGCUGACUAUUCCGAUUACAGGCUUUUAGCGCCGGAGGUGCUGCCUACCUGGCGAAUGGCCCCUCUCUGCAAAAUUUGAAACCUGUUUUGAAGUCGUAUCGGAACGUUGGCUAUCCUUUCUUCAGUUGAUCGAAUUCUUGAUAAGAUUUCCAUUUCCCCCUGCAUCUUGGGGUUUAAGCUGCUUCGCCGAAGCUUUUUCUGAGAAGCAUUGAGGUAUGAAAUCGAGGAGGAGGAUCGUCUGGGCAAGCUGUCGAGGCCGCUCAAGUUAUAAAGGAUAUGCGCCUUGCUUUCGUGAUCCUCGUUAAAGAGGCUGUGCCCCUCAAUUUGCAGGUCCGGUUGUGUCCUGCUCUCAGCCGUUGAGUCAUUCGGCGUUGCCACUCUCUCAUUCUCGAUCCGUUUAAUUCUCUGUUCGUGCGGGGGGGUAUUCGUGUCGGACUCCACAGGCGGGUUCUCUUUAUCUGUGUCCAUAUAGUAGGUCAGGUACAAUACUUCCCCUUCUUCCCGCGCAGGUGCUUUAUCUGCAGGUACGGUUUGGUUUGGUGGAGAAUCUUUGGGUUCCUCCUCUCGGCAUCCGUGAGAUACGCCGUACCCCGCGUGGUUAGGUUGUGUCACACGCCUAUACUCUAGUCUGGCGCGCCGACGUCGAUGGGAUCUGCCAAUACGACGUUUGCUCCUGCUUUUUGAAUUUGGGAUUGGCGGGCCUGUUUUCUAGAAGUUCGCCGGAAUCGAGGUCCUCGCUGGGGUGGUCGCAAUAUAUUUGUUCCAGUUUCCCCGCCUUUCAUUUUCGCCUCUACACUGUUGGGGCCAGUGUCCAAACCCCACGAAUCUGAAACAGAGCAACACCCUCUGCACAUAGUCUACGCUAACGAUGGAGUCGCUGCCCGGUUUCGCCUCAUUGUCCUCCGUCUUUAUCCUGAUAUUUGUUGGGUAGUCGAACACUUUCCCGACUAUUACGCAGGCUUCUAGUGGUGGGGGAAGGAGUGAGUGCCCAGGGUCAGCUGUGUUGGUGUGUGGGCUCGUCGGUGCAAGCUCACUACCUCAACUUAGUACAAGUGUUCCCUCAGAAUUAUCAACCCCCUCCCCAGUUGGACCAGGGGAGGUAUUUAUAGCCUUCGCUUGUUGUCAUUGGGCCUCGUGGGCUCGUUCGGUCGGGCCCGUCCGCCCGCUCGUCCGCCCGCCCGUUCGUCCGUCUGGGCCGACUGGUCUGGUUCGGUCCAUGGGCCGCGGUCCGCGGUCCAUGGUACCAACAGUACUCCCCCCUUCCUUGGCAGGCCCGGGGGCCUGGGGCCGUCCGCCCCCCUUUCGACCUCCACCUACUCCCAUUAAAGUUCCUCGGUUCUCGGGCCCUUCCUUCUUCGCUUCUCUAUAAAUAGGCUGCCUGAGAGCCUUAUUUUCUGCAUCUCCUCUCCUUUCCGCUAUGAGUGCUCGAGACAUCCUUAAAGAGUAUGGUCGCGAAGUGCAGAAUCAGCACGCGACCUGGGCCCUGUGCCUGCUGUCGCCUACUGGUGUUCCCAAUAGUGUCGCCGUGGCCGAGACUCAGCGCCUUAAUGCCGUGCUGAUCGACGUCCACCGUCGCCUCAACCGGAUUCGCUGCAACGACAUUGUCGCGGAGCUUCCACCUGUCACCUAUCCUGACACCUCGGGUUCCGCUGGCACCUCGCGUGCUUCCCGCGCGCAAGGUACGACCGUCGCUCCCGCUGCCGUCGCCGAUCCAACGCCCCUUCCGAGGCGUCGCCGGCCGCGAGGUCCUCGUCGUUCCCGCGGGUCUACGUCCCUUCCGGCCUAUGACCUGCGACACUUUCUGUCGGGAUCCUCGAAGCCAGCCCCUUAAGCUCGUCCGGGGGACGUCCGCGACCGCGACCACGCUCAUCCGGGCUGUGGAUCCGCCUCCACGGGACGACGUCUGGGGCGCGCCUCGUUCAACUUCUCUCCUAUUUCUUUUUUGUAUCCAGACUUAGCUAUUGUUGUGCAUUGUGUACUUUUUCCCGCCGUGCCACCGGCCGCUUGUAACACUUGGUUUAAUUUAAUGAAAGAUGCCUUUGCCUUUUUUUUUUCAUUUUGAUUGUCUUCGCACGUCCGUGCAGAUUCGCGCGUCUCGGCGUCUCCUGUCGACGUUGCCCGCAUCCUUCUCGAGCUCUGCUCCCGUCCAUCGUGCCGGGUCCCUCUAUCGCCGACUCGGGCGUCAGCCCGUUACGUCGUAUCGUUGGUGGGGUCUGCCUUCCGGCCCGUCGGGACUCCCCCACCGCGCUCCUCCUGCGUCGUUCGGUCGCUGGACACCGCCGAGCUUAUGACGGGCGCCUCUCCCCCGCUCCGCCGACCGCGUCGGUCCUUGACCUUCACUCUUACUCCCGACGGGCCGGUUCUUGGGCUCCCUCGGGAGCCUCCCGGCCCAUCCGAUUCUGACCAAUCCGGGUACGCGACGCUUCGUCUUCCGUGCCCCCCUUAACCCCUAUAUAAGCCUCCACUCGCUUCUCGCGACUAACUUUUUUUUCCCUUUCUUUCUUUCUUCCACCUUCUCUCCCAGGCUGCUAAUNNNNNNNNNNNNNNNNNNNNNNNNNNNNNNNNNNNNNNNNNNNNNNNNNNNNNNNNNNNNNNNNNNNNNNNNNNNNNNNNNNNNNNNNNNNNNNNNNNNNNNNNNNNNNNNNNNNNNNNNNNNNNNNNNNNNNNNNNNNNNNNNNNNNNNNNNNNNNNNNNNNNNNNNNNNNNNNNNNNNNNNNNNNNNNNNNNNNNNNNNNNNNNNNNNNNNNNNNNNNNNNNNNNNNNNNNNNNNNNNNNNNNNNNNNNNNNNNNNNNNNNNNNNNNNNNNNNNNNNNNNNNNNNNNNNNNNNNNNNNNNNNNNNNNNNNNNNNNNNNNNNNNNNNNNNNUGGUGAUCUUUGACCUUCUCUUGCGUCGCGCCGGCUGCCAGGUCUCUCUAUCGGUCUUCCUGACGUGGUUCACGAUGACCUCCAUGACCACCGAUCCCCGCCGUGUGUUAGUCGCUCAACGAUCCACCGGCGCCCUCUUCGACGGGCUGGUUGACCGGUCUCAUCACUGGCAGGACCGCUUCUUCUUCGUCCCCGUCAGUGCCCUUGAAAAGUCGGGCUCGGGCGUGGAUAUCCCCACGCGCUGGACUCGGUUGUCGUCCCUGAAACGGCCCCCCGCUCCUUCCCGAGCCAGCUUGGAUCCCAUGGCCGCCCACGCUCAAGACGUCCUCGUUGAGGUUUAUCGCCACGGGCCCGUCAACGCCCGGACGUUGGCCAGUCUUAUGAAGACCACCUGAAUUUUCCCGUGAAGACGCCCUACUUUCGGGAUGGCCCGCCGCCUAAACGUAACAAGAAAAGGCAAGUCGACGAGGUUCACUUCGAGACUCCCCUUGAUGCGUCUCCCAUCAAGACUAUCGAGGUCGGUGCCCCGGACUCCCAGUGUGAUGCUUUCUCCGCUCCUGGUGCCCCGGACGCCCCCCUUCGAGACAGCCGGUCCGACCGACGGCAAAGGAAAAAAACUCGGGCCGAGAAACGAAAGUCGGUCGCCGCCUCCCUGGUGAAGGAUUCGGUCCAAGUUGAAGACUUGGACGCCUCUGACACCAGCCUUAGUGCCAGCCACUCUAACAUUCCGUCCGACGGGGCCUUUGACCGCUUCUUUGCGUCUGCGUCGGAAGGCGGACUUUUUGAUGACGAGCCCCUCAAGGCUGUCAUGAAGGAUCUUCAGAGGACGCUCGACGGCUGUACCGCCCCCAUCGAUCCCGUGACCCUCUUGCCGCGUCUUGGCGGGAUUUUUAAGCAAAAGCUUGCGGAUGUUCGUUCCCUGAUGACGCCCGAAGAUGAGUACGUCCGACUGCGCGCCCGUCCCCUUCCGGCCGUCGACCUCGAUCUGCAACUUUCGGUCCUCUCCCAGGUUCGGCUGGAAAGGGGCGCUGAACUAGACGUGGAGUUUCGGCGUCAAAAAACCGACCUUGCUGCCGCAGAAGCCGACCUUGCCGCCUCGAGGGCCACCAUUAAUGCCGUGCGGGCCGACCUUGACGCCGUGCGGGCUGACCUUGACGUCGUGCGGGCCGACCGUGAUGCCUCGAGAACUGAGCUGGACGCCGUCAAGCGUGAGCGCGACCUCCUAGCCACCGACUUGUGCCGUGCUGCGGAGGAAGAGAUGACUCGGGCUGCCGCUGCGCAUGAAGCCUUUGUCCAGGACUUUGUCCCCGAGUACCAGAGCCGUUUGGCUGAUCUGAAAAAGGACCACGCCAUCCAGUUAGCGGACUCCAAACGCACUGGUUUCUGGAAAGGUUACGUGCACGGGCGCGAGAUGUGCUCGCUUGUUUACCCGCCCCUUUCGCGUGCCGUCGUUCCUCGAACCCGCAAUGAGUUUUCCGGCUGGCAAGAGAAAGGCGUCCCUACCUAUCAGCCUCCCGUGGACGUGAGCGACAGCGAGGAGCAGGACCUUGAGGCUGACUUCCCUGACUACGUGGACCCUCCCUUCGACUAGUCGGCCGUAGUGCCCGUUUUUCUCUUUUUUUUUUUNNNNNNNNNNNNNNNNNNNNNNNNNNNNNNNNNNNNNNNNNNNNNNNNNNNNNNNNNNNNNNNNNNNNNNNNNNNNNNNNNNNNNNNNNNNNNNNNNNNNNNNNNNNNNNNNNNNNNNNNNNNNNNNNNNNNNNNNNNNNNNNNNNNNNNNNNNNNNNNNNNNNNNNNNNNNNNNNNNNNNNNNNNNNNNNNNNNNNNNNNNNNNNNNNNNNNNNNNNNNNNNNNNNNNNNNNNNNNNNNNNNNNNNNNNNNNNNNNNNNCUUGGGGAAGCGGCCUGGGCCGUGCGGAUUGUCCCGUGUGGUCGUCCGACCUUGAGACUCUUCCGCCGGCCUUUUCGGCGGGCUUCUCCAGCUUUUGUUUACUCGGGGGAGCGACCUGGGCCGUGCGGAUUGUCUCAUGUGGUCGUCUGACCUCAAGACUUCUCCGCCGGCCUUUUCGGCGGGCUACCCCCUUUUCCUUUACCUUAACGUUUUUAAUGGGUGCACUCCGGCUGCUUUUUAUUGGGCAUCAUGUGCCGUGGUCGUGGAGCGCCCGACGUAAAAUCAGAUACAAUAGGGGACAAUAUUGUUUCGCGUGCGUCUCACUUCACCGCCUAUACUUUUCUAAGUUGUCGGCAUGCCACGUUCUCUCUAUCUCCUGCCCGUCCUCGUACCCCAGGCGAAAGAUGCCGGGCUGGAUCUCGUCCGUGAUGACGUACGGGCCCUCCCAUUUUGGUGACAGUUUCCCCUUUGUCUGAUCGACUCCCGUUACCUUGGCAUUUCUCAGCACCAGGUCUCCUGGCGCUAAACUUUUGUCGGCCACUCUUUCGUUGUGGUAUCUUGCUACCCUUCGCUUGUAGGUGAGAUCCCUGAUGGACGCCUCCUCCCUCCGGCCUUCCAAGUGCUCCCUUUCUAGGAACAUGGCCAGGUCGUUCGUGCCCGGCUGGAACUGCUCGAUGCGCGCGGUUGGCCAUACCAGCUCGGCUGGUGCCACCGCCUCUAUCCCGAAUGCGAGGGCGAAAGGUGUUUGACCUGUGGGCGUUCGGAUGGUCGUGCGAUACGCCCACAUGGUUUCCGGGACUAGGUCCGCCCAGUUUCCCGGGUGCUCGCCCACCUUCCUUUUCAGGAUUGACGUUAUUGUUCGGUUCGUCACUUCUACCUGCCCGUUUGCCUGCGGGUGGUAAACUGGCGCGAAGCUUAACUUGAUCCCGCUGUCUUCGCAGAAUUCUCUCAACUUCUUUCCUGUGAACUGUGUCCCGUUGUCCGUUAUUAUCUGGAUCGGGACCCCAAAACGACAGACGAUGUUCCUGAAGACAAAGUUCAGCACAUUCUGUUCGCUGAUCGUGUUCGUAGCCUCCGCUUCGGCCCACUUUGUGAAAUAGUCGACCGCUACGAACAGGAACUUCCUUCCUCUUGACGCCGGCGGGAAUGGUCCUACUAUAUCAAUUCCCCAUCUUGCGAAUGGCACCGGUGUUGUUACGGCCUUCAUCAUGGUGGACGGCCGUCUCUGGACGUUCGAGUGCCUUUGGCACACGUCACAUCGACCGACAAUCUCCUCUGAGUCUUUUAUUGACUCGGGCCAGUAAUACCCUUGCCUGGCUACUUGCUUCUCCAGCGCCCUGCCGCCUUGGUGCGCUCCGCUUGCCCCCUCGUGCAGGCUUCGUGCGAUGGCCUUCCCCUCUUCACGUGGGACGCACAGUCGCAGGGGGGCCUCCUCUGCUGCCGACCGUCGGUACAGCUUGUCCUGGGCUACUACAAACCAGGCCGCCCUGUUCCUUAGCUUCCUGGCUUCCAUCGGGUCUGUCGGUGUUUCGCCUAUCAGGAUGAACCUCGUGAUCGGCGUUCUCCAGUCCCCCGACGUUAUUACUCCGCACGCUCUGGCCGGCCCGCGGUCGCCGGUCGCCGUCGGACGUUCCUGGUUUUCGAUCCGGAUCCACCUUCCCUCCUUUUUUCCUGGGGACGCCCCCAGUUUGGCCAGUGUGUCGGCCUCCCCAUUGUGUUCUCUCCCUAUUUGAGAGAUCCUCCAUUCUUUGAGCUUGCCCAAGGCCACUCUCGUCUCGGUCACAUAGCUCGCCAUAGAGUCUUCCUUGGACACGAAGUCUCCCCUGACUUGGUUGGCUACGAGCCGGGAGUCCGUGUGGAAGUGCACCUUGGACGCGCCUAGCGCGCGAGUUAGUCUGAUCCCCGAGAGGAGGGCUUCGUAUUCUGCUGCAUUGUUAGUCGCCCGGAAUUCGAAAUGGAUCGAGUACUCGAUUUUUUCCCCUGUCGGGGACGUGACCACGACCCCCGCGCCGCAUCCGCUAUUGCUGGACGACCCGUCCACGUAGGCCGUCCACCACUGCUCGUCCGCCUCCACGACCUCCCUCGGGGCUAAUUCGGCCAUGAAGUCUGCCACCGCCUGCCCCUUGAUUGCCCUUGCUGGCACGAUUACUAGGUGGAAUUCGCUGAGUUCCAUGGCCCACUUGGUUAGUCUUCCCGAGACGUCCGGCUUCUGCAGGAGUUGCAGUAGUGGGUGAGCCGUUGGGAUCGUGACCGUGUGAGCGUGAAAGUAUGGCUUCAACCUUCGGACCGCCGAGACCACCGCCAGGGCUAGCUUCUCGAUUUCCGGAUACCUUUCUUCCGCUCCUACUAACGACCGGGAGUGGUAGUAUACCGGCCUUUGCGCGCCUCCCGCUUCUGAGAUGAGAACUGCGCUGACAGCUGCCUCCGAGCACGCUACGUACAUGGUGAGCGGCUCUCCUCUUGUCGGUGGGCGGAGCGUCGGCAGGCUCGACAGCUGGCGCUUGAGUUCUUUGAACGCCCUCUCGCAUUCAUCUGACCAUACUACCCUGGGACCCGGGUUUCUUAAUAACUGGAAGAAGGGUUUCAAACGAUCUGCCGUCCUCGGCAGAAAUCUGCUCAGCGCCGCUACCCUCCCGUUCAGCUUUUGGACCUCCUUCAGCGUCCGCGGGGGGUUCAUGGCCAUUACGGCCUCCACCUUCUCUUCCCUUGGCUUGAUUCCCUCGGGCGUGAUUCGGAAACCGAGGAAGUGCCCCUCCUUGACUCCGAACGCGCAUUUCUUCGCUUUCAACUUGAGUCCUGCGCUACGGAUGUUGGCGAAGGUUUCUUCUAGGUCGGCCAAGUGCGUUUCGGCCUCCUUUGAUCGGACGAGUAUAUCGUCCACGUACACUUCUACGUUCCUUCCUAUCUGCUCUUUGACUAUUUUAUCCAUUAGCCUCUGGAACGUCGCCCCGGCGUUGCGCAAGCCGAACGGCAUUACUCUGAAGCAAAACGUGCCCAUCUCUGUGAUAAACGACGUCUUCUCCUCAUCCUCUCGUGCCAUGGGCACCUGGUUGUACCCCGAGUGCGCGUCCAUGAAACUCAGCAUGCCGCAUCCGGAACUCUGGUCUACCAGCCGGUCCACUGACGGCAAUGGGUAGCUGUCCUUGGGGCAGGUUUUGUUCAAGUUGGUGAAAUCGACACACAUCCUCCACCCCGAAUCUGCUUUUCUCACCAUCGCCACGUUGGAUAGCCAGGCAGGAUAACGCACCGGGCGAAUGAACCCCGCUUGGAGGAGUUUCCUGACCUCCCGCUCGGACGCCUCUCUUUUUUCCGCCCUUAGCGGGCGUAAUUUUUGCCUGACGGGGUGGGCGUCCGGAGCUACUGCCAGCCUGUGCUCCGCCAGCGUUCUGGGUACGCCGCCUAAUUCCCCCAACUCGCUGGCGAACAGAUCUUCGUUCUUUCUAAGGAGCUGCUCUAGCCCCUCCCUGAUGUUCUGUGGGAGGUUCUUUCCCACUUGUACUUCGUUCCGCCCGAGGGUCACUUGGGUCGUGUGGGAUGCCGGUUCGGGUCUUGCCGUGCGUUCCCGCAUCGAGUGGGGUAGGCCUUCGUCCGAUGUCAUUACUUCACCGACCGAAUUGAAGUAGCAUUCGCGCGCCUUCUUCUGGGAUCCCCGGACCGUACACACCCCCGCCUUGGUCGGGAACUUGAGGCACUGAUGGAGUGAUGACAUCACCGCCUGGAAGGCGUGCAGCGCCGUCCUUCCCAGGAUGGCAUUGUAUCCCGAUGUGAAGUUGACAACCGUAAACAUGACCUCAACCGUCUUGGCUUGGGCAUGCCGUCCCAGGGUGACCGGGAGGGCGAACGUCCCCGCUACUGGGACCUCUGACUGGCCGAAUCCUCUGAUGGGGGCCCGGCACGGAAGUAGGUCCGCUCGGGCCAAACCGAGNNNNNNNNNNNNNNNNNNNNNNNNNNNNNNNNNNNNNNNNNNNNNNNNNNNNNNNNNNNNNNNNNNNNNNNNNNNNNNNNNNNNNNNNNNNNNNNNNNNNGAUGCCCCCGUGUCCACCAGGACCCUGUGCAGGCGUACGCUGGACUUGUCUCCCCUUUGAAAGAUGGGGGUUAUGACCAAGGGAUCGUCGUGGGGCGUGGUGAUGUCCUUCAUGUCGUCCUCCGUGAACGAGAUAUCCAGGUUUAUUCGCGGACGUUUGGCUCCUGCUGCCCGGUCCACGUCGGACGCGUAUCGCCGUCCCUCCCACGGGUCGUCGCCUCUCGAUGCUCCGCCGCCCGCGAUGGUGAGGAUGUCCCCUAUGGCCUCGUCCGCUGGCUCCUGCUUCGGCGCCUGGUGUCCCGUGGGGAUCGUCGUCGGGCGGGUCGCCGUCGGGGCCUGGGGCGCUCCGUUCGCGGGCUUCAUUUUGCUGAGGUCCUUCGCGAGGUUUAGGCACUCGGCCGUCGUGUGGCCGUUGUCCUCAUGGUAUUCGCAAAACCGACGGGUGUCCCUGAACGUUGUCGUGUCCUUCCUCAUUGGUCUCGGCAGGGGUAGGGUUCCUGUUCCGUACAACGUUAGGAAAACCUGUCUCUGGUUUGCCGCCGGGGCGGGGCCUGCCUCCCUCCGUCCCGCUGCCGCCGGGGUGCCGGUUCUGUACACUGGCGCCUGCGGCGCCGCUGGGGGCUUGGCUUGCGUUUGUUGGGGUUGGCUCUGCUGCUGCCCUCCUCCCGCGCCCGCGGGGGUGCCCUUCCCCCUCUGCUGCCGCCUGCAUUCCUGGAUCUUCGCGCCCAGGUAGUCCUCCACGUUGCUCUCCCCGUGGGACCUUUCCAUGGCCUCGGCGAAGGUUUUUGGUGGCUUUNNNNNNNNNNNNNNNNNNNNNNNNNNNNNNNNNNNNNNNNNNNNNNNNNNNNNNNNNNNNNNNNNNNNNNNNNNNNNNNNNNNNNNNNNNNNNNNNNNNNUCUGCACCUCGCUCGCGAACCGGUCCAUGUACGUGCGCGUGCUCUCUGACUCUCCCUGUACGACAGUGCUGAGGGCGGCCUUGAUUUUCGGCCUCCUCCGACGGUGUGCGAAAGCCGCUCGGAAUACCUCCACUAAGCCUUCGUAGGUGUGCACGGACCCCGUCGGCAACGUCCUGUACCACGCGAUUGCGUCGCCCGUAAGGGCCCUUCGGAACAUUCGACACCAGAUGUCCCUCCUACUCAUCCUGUCCUCCAUGUUGGUCUUGAAAGAGUGCAGGUGGUCCUCUGGGUCAGUAUCGCCCUUGUAGUAGGGGAUCUUCGGGGCUCUCCAGCCUGGUGGGUACUCUUCGUCCAGCAGGUGCUGCGCCAGGGCCUCCUCACUGCCUCCCCCCGACGUUGUCGCCACAAUGGUUUGCGGGGCCUCCGCGGGUGGGGCGUCGCUGCCGAGUCNNNNNNNNNNNNNNNNNNNNNNNNNNNNNNNNNNNNNNNNNNNNNNNNNNNNNNNNNNNNNNNNNNNNNNNNNNNNNNNNNNNNNNNNNNNNNNNNNNNNNNNNNNNNNNNNNNNNNNNNNNNNNNNNNNNNNNNNNNNNNNNNNNNNNNNNNNNNNNNNNNNNNNNNNNNNNNNNNNNNNNNNNNNNNNNNNNNNNNNNNNNNNNNNNNNNNNNNNNNNNNNNNNNNNNNNNNNNNNNNNNNNNNNNNNNNNNNNNNNNNNNNNNNNNNNNNNNNNNNNNNNNNNNNNNNNNNNNNNNNNNNNNNNNNNNNNNNNNNNNNNNNNNNNNNNNNNNNNNNNNNNNNNNNNNNNNNNNNNNNNNNNNNNNNNNNNNNNNNNNNNNNNNNNNNNNNNNNCUUCCUCUGAGUACCGGUCACGGGAGUGAUGUCGCUCCGGCCGGUACUCCUCCGGCGCCCGCUCGGGUCGCUUAGAGCUCUCCCCCACCUGGUAACCGCUCUUCGUCAUCCUUUUCUCUCCGGCCGUCAUGUAUUCGUUUCACGUCAGGUUCACCACUGUUGGUGUGUGGGCUCGUCGGUGCAAGCUCACUACCUCAACUUAGUACAAGUGUUCCCUCAGAAUUAUCAACCCCCUCCCCCGUUGGACCAGGGGAGGUAUUUAUAGCCUUCGCUUGUUGUCAUUGGGCCUCGUGGGCUCGUUCGGUCGGGCCCGUCCGCCCGCUCGUCCGCCCGCCCGUUCGUCCGUCUGGGCCGACUGGUCUGGUUCGGUCCAUGGGCCGCGGUCCGCGGUCCAUGGUACCAACAAGCUGUUUUAGCCUUAAUUGGUCUCCCCAGUGAGCUCGCGAUUCUACUGAUUGCCUUAUCCCCCCACAUUGCUGCUGGAAUGUUGUGUAUGCGAGCUCUUUGUGGUGCAGAAUUGAGGGGAUCCUCUGCUACAUUCGUGUUUGCAACCCAUGGCCUGGCUAUGAUGAGGUCCUCUCCGGCGUAGUCCCACUUUAUCCCUUUUAGCCUAUUGAAAUCUACCUCUGAGUAGAAGCCGAUCUUGAAAGACUGUCGGUUUACCCUUGUCACUCUAUAUGCUCCCCUUGGCCUUCAGAUCUCCUUCACGAACUCUGCUACCCUCCCCUCCUCCCUGGCGACCCCGAUGACUCUGACAAGGAUGGAUUUUUGAUCUAAGCAUUCCUUGGCGUUGAUGGCCAUGUUUGGGAGGUAUAUGGUGUUGUGCGACAUGGGCAUGUAGUGCGUUAGCUUCCUUGCAGUUUCCCACCUUUUCCAGGGUGCGUUAGCCAUCCCAACUGCGAAGACAAGAAAAGAAAAACCAACCAGGAAAGGGAACUCAGAAUUUUUAGAUUUCACAAUGAGGACUCACCAUGCUCAGGCGGGUGCCUCCGGUAACCGUGGUUACCCUUGGAGACUCACGUCGAUCCUAUUGGAAAACUUGGUCUCAGUGUGAAAGUUUGGUUUCCUAUUUUGCACUCGCCGGAGCUCCUUCUCCGUCCAUCAUCGAGCUCUCCCAAUCCUACUUUUGAGUAAUAUGAUUGAUGUUAAUUUCAAUAAUAAUAGAUAUUUUUUGUUUGUUGUUAUAUGAUAACUUGCCUACGUGUCAUUGAGUCAGAUACGUGUGAUAUCUUGUCAAUAUGUCGUUCAGUCAAUUACUUGCCUACGUGUCAUGAGUCAGAUAUGUGUGCUUUGAUUUUAGAUAUUUAAAUGGUUGAUUUGUCACUUAUCAAGGUCUGAUAAUAUAACAUCGUUUAAAUCAUUAGUGUUAUUCACUCAAUAUUAUUAAUGCGAAUCUCGAUUCAAUCUGACAUAUAUAAACUACCUAGCUAAACUUUAGGAUAAAUCUUAGGUUACUGUUCACCACCUCUUGGUUACUGUUCACUACCUCUGGCAAAUAUGUACGACGUAUAUUUAUUUAAGUUAUAUAUUUAAAUAUUUAAUUUAUCACAUCAAAGUUUCUGAUAAUAUAUCAAAAUCACUUAAUAUCAUAAUAUAACAUCGGUUAAAUCAUGAUAAAAAAAUGAAUAUAAAAAAUAAUUAUUUUAGACUGUAUUUAUUGUUUAAUAAAAAAAUUAAUAGCGGCAGUGCUGUCAUGAAUUACUCAUUUAAUAUAAGGUUGGCUACAUACAUUAAACACGUAAUAUAUUUUACGAGAUAAUGUAGAUUAAUGUUAGAUAUUUUAUGAGAUAAUUUAAUCUUAUCGUUUUAUUUUUUUAUUAUAAAUCUAAAGAGUAAAACUAAAAAAAUGGACGCCACCAUAUAAAUCAAGAUUAUUAUCUUAAGAGAUUUAUUUUACCACGCCUAAACGCCACCAUUAUUUUUAUUUUUGAGGAAAAUAAAUUUUUUGAUGAAUUAAUUUAUAUGUAUGUAAAUGACUUGACAUAUAUAAUUUCGUACACUUAUUUUAUUUGUUAUACAAGGUAAGGGUAAGUAUAGCUUGGAUGCCAAACGAGUCGGGCUCAAGUUGUAAAACUAAGCUCAGACUUAGCUUGCUAUGGUUGCUGCCAGGUUCGGAUUCGAAGCUCAAGUUCUUCUUAAAAUCAUGCUCACAAGUAAUAUAAUCACGAAAAAUAUAUUAUAUAUCAUUACUGUUGAGCUAACUUCGUCAAUUGUAGCUCGAGCUAAAUUUGACACACUUGGAUAUGGCAAAUAGCCAAAUAUGUAGGUUAUUUGCAAGUUUAACCUUAAAAAAAUCAAUUUUUUGAUAAUUUUAAUAAUAUUAUGAGGUAAAUAUACAAUUUUCACGAGUACGGAGAUUGACUUAGGGACAGGCUGGUACCAUAAAAGAUGUGCCACUAGGCACUAGCCAGACAAUCAGCCAGGCAGCUUACUUGGUUACUUGUGUCUAUUAAUUGAAAAAAGAAAAAAAUUGCCAAUUGAUAAUUCAGUAAAUUGACAGUAUUGACCUUUAUUUUAUAAUUAAAUUUCAUCAACUAACUUAUUUAAUAUGUAUUUAAUUGAUAUACCACACCUACCACUCAGUGAGUCAGUGGGGGUAUUUAAUAUGUAUUUAUUUUAAAAAAAUUUGAAUUUAUAAAAUCAAUUAAAAAAACCUAUAUAAAUGAAUAUUAAAUACAUUUAUUAAUUAAUAUUCAAAAUAAAAAUAAACACAUUUAUUCAAUUAACAAUAAAAAUUCUAAAUUCUUCCAUCAACUCAACCUCAAGUCUAAUUUGAGGAGAUUUAAGGAUUUAGAAUAUAGAGGAUUUAGGAUUUUAUGAUAUAGAAGAUUUAGGAAUUUAGAGAUUUAGAAAUAUAAAAAAAAUAUUUAUUAUAUAAUGUAAAAGACAAUGAUGGUAGGAAAAAACAUACCUAGCUCAAUUAUUUGUGGUCCGUAAUAUGGAUUGAUUGUUUCUAAAAUGCCAGCAAUUUUUCGAUUUCAAAAUAAUAUGCUUAUAUGCCAAGUGCCAACCCUUUUCUUCAUCUUCUUCUUCUAAGUUCUCUAACUAUAAAUUACGGUAUCUAAAUGGUUUAUAAUUAUAUAUGAUUUGUACUGAUACCAUAAAGAUUGACCGCUAAGGCGCUAACUAGUUUCGCCCAUCUUUCCUUGAAUGAUCAGUCUUAACUACACUUGGGCCGUACAUUCAAUCAUAAAGAUCGAUCUUGACUUAUUAAAAACUAUUAUUAGAUCAUGGCAACUCCAAUUAUCGACACUACCGCACAUGAUUGGAUAUGAACAUAUGAUAUGACUGCAUUGUUGCGUGAUCAAAUACAUUAUCAUAUGCAACAAAAGAAUUACCAUCUUUAUUUACUGGAAUAAAACUUUGGACAGGUUUGCUUCAAAAAAAAAAAAAAAAAAAAAAAAAAAUUAUUCUGAUCCGGUUUCUGUUCAUUGAAUCCCUGAUCCGGUUUCUGUUCCGGACCUAACGACCGCAAGGGACGACCCGUCCUGACUAUUCUGUAAAUUAUAAACAAUUUUAAAAUUAUAAAUUAUUAUACUUGUAAAUUAUUAAAUACAAAUUUUAAAGAAGAAUUCAACAAGCUUGUAGUCCGUAGAUCAGAAAAAUAUAGUAAAAACUCAAUAUGAAUAAGAUUAUAAUAAAAAUAAAAAUAGAAAAUUGAAGUAUAUGAAGUUUUUUACAGACGAGUUUUUAUGUCGGUGGUCGGGUGGAAGGGAACCUCGACGGUGAAGGAAGCCUCUUCCCAUCUUCCGUCAGUUUUUAAAUUUUUAACCCGAAAUUUCUUUAAAGUAAAAUCUAAAUCCUAAAUGGGUGUAAGCUUAAAUGAGUAAAUUCUUAUUUCGUAAUAUAAUAUAAUAAAUAAUAGUAAAUAAUUAAUAAAUAUAAAACAUGGUGACCUGUUGGCACGGAAUGGGGGCGACCCGCCCCAUUCUCACCCCUACUUCACCUACUAGGAAAAACAAUUUAUGCUCUGAUACUAUAUUAAUAGAGUUGCAAUUGGUAUGAACACGUAGAUCGAAUUAAAUGGUAAAGGAAGCAUUAAACAAAGGGGAUUUCCUGUAAAAAAUAACAAUUACCAUCAGGUUGGUGGGCUCACUCAGGAGGGGGGAGUUCAGUAGCAAAGUACAUUAAGAAUAUUUGAAAACAUAGAGCCUCCUUCAGAUUAACUAGGAUGGGAAAGAAGUCCUUCCUACUGGGAUUUUAGAUGGUCAAUGACUUUGAGAGGAUUGGUAGCAUCAGAUGGGACCGCUUCAGCCAUAAUUUCGUUAUCGUGAAGCCCUGGAAUAAGGAUGACAACACAACAAAGGAUGCCCUGAGUUCCAUUCCGCAACUGCCAAUUAUCCGAAACAUCCCAAGCUAGCCAUCAGUAGCCUUGGGCACUCCAAUUACAAUGAAAUCAAUAAAGGUCAUCCACCCAAACAUCCCACCAUCCCUGGAGUUAUGUGUGGUCAUAACUAAUUAAAGAAUUCACCUAUCCGAAGAAUGUCAAACUUAGGGUGGAAGGUCGUGAGGGUAAUCCGACAUCUGAUGUUAUGGUUGACAUUUCAUAUGAAAGGAUAUCAUACUGUUUCAAAUGUGUUGGUUUUGGUCAUUGGUCGUAGCAAUGCCGUGGAAUGGAGGGAAGAAGGUCGGGUCUCUGGAACAAGUACAUUCCGAUGGUGUUGCUCUUGAGGUUUCGUACUCCGACGAACCCCAAAACAUCGUCGUAUCCAACAGAGGAACCCUAGGUAUGAAACAGAAGAUAUGUAGAUAGGCAGAUUCUUGGACAGAGUCAUAGCCAGUUAAGAAAACGAUGUUUUGAGGUUGUUCAAAUCAGAGAAAAAAUAGAGGGAAAUAUUUAAGAAAACUAAUAGAUUAAAAUAAUAAGAAGAAAACUCUAAAAUGGAGACAUCAAGACUAGGGGUGUGCAUGGGAUGGGACGAGUAUGUCAUUCCCCGUACCCUGUCAAAAUGACCCGGCAACAAAAAAUACCCACCCACCCGGUCAUUUGACUAGACGGGUACAGGUAAUUUUUGACAAAAGAUAGGGGUAAUAUCCUGUCCAAGAUUUGAGUAGCGUGCUAUAUACUCCAUAGCGUAGGUAGAAGGGCACUAUCUCCCCACGCUAUGGGAAGUGGACUUUUAGGCAGAUCCGGAUUAGGAUUCGUUCAAAUACCCAUAUAGGGUUAGUAUUUAUAUAGAUUUUUCUUCCAGAUCUCACGAUUUCUCCCCAUUUCUCUCCAUUUUCCCCCAUUUCUAAAAAUAUUGAUUUAACUUGAUCACUAAUUAUUGUAUAUAUCUAGAAUUUUUUUAAAAUACAUUUGACGCUUUGAAGGCGCUAUAGCACGCUAUAUCCCCAUAGCACGGGUAGCCGACGCUACGGGCUAUGGCGUAACUCAAACCUUGAUCCUGUCAAAUAAUAAAAUCUAAAAACAUUUCUGAUAACCGAUUUUAAAAAAAUAUCUAAAAACAUGGAGGUUUAGAAAUUGAUGAUCUAGGAUUAGGAAUUUAAUACUUUAAAAUUAAAUUAAAACUUAAAAAAUUAUAGGUUAAACCCUAUAUAAUAAUAAAAUCAACAGAUUAAAUAAUAGAAUAUAAUGUAAAAAAUAAAAGGAAUUAAAAUAUAUUAUAAACUAUAGAGUAAGGGUGAGAACGGGUGGGUCGCCCCGGUGGUAACCGGGGUCGGGGCAGAAUAUCUGCCCCGGUCAUAUUCUGGGGCGGGUCUCGGGGCAAGCUCAACCCCGGCCGGGUCGCCCCGUUUUUCAAAAUUAAAAUAAAGUAAAAAUAUAUUAGGUCCCAAGUCAUUAACGUAUGUAUAAAAUUAAAAUAUAAUUUCCUUUAUAAAAUAAUGUAUUUUUAUAAAACCCCAAAUCCCUAUUUAAUAAACCCCCACCCAAAUCCCUAAAAAUUUAUUUCCAAAACUCCACAACCUCUUGCCCAAAUUUCUCUCCAAAUCCCCAAAUCUCUUGCCGACGAUCACUCUUCAUCUCUUCCGCCGACGAGUUCAUCUAGUCCGCUGGUGAGGAUCUGGUCUGAUCCCUCCUCCAUCUGUAGUCGCUAACGAGGAGCAUGGAUUGUUCCCUGGAGAAGAACCAACGGAUGAUAGCUGCUGUAAGGAUGAGAAUGGGUUCUUCUUCUUCUGUGAUUGUCGCCGCCAGACUGAGCAGGAUGGAGCCCCCACUUCGGAGGGAAGUGGUUAAGAACACAACACCUUACACCCGGAUUUUUUUUUUUUUUUUUUGUAGGUAAUUAGGGGUGGGUCGCCCCGGUUCCGCCCCGUCCCGCGGCCCGGUCGCCGGGGUAGGGGCGGGUCUCGGGGCAGGAGAUCAGAGUACCUGACCCGCCCCGUUCCGCGUUCCGUUUUUGAGACCGGGGUGGGGCCGCCCCGCGACCUGCCCCGUUCUCACCCCUACUAUAGAGGGUUUAUAUAAAUUUUCUUGCACGACAAGAUAAAUGAAAAAUACAAAAUUAUUUUUGAUAAAGUUAAAAUAAAAUUCCAUUGAUGUAUUCCACCUCCUUUGGUAAUAGCUGUACUCAACAAAGAUGUAUUCUCGAUGAUGAUAAUUCUUUUCUGUUGGCCUACAAGGAGAUAUAGAAAAAUUCCUUUCCCCUUUUGCGUGUGCAUCCCAAUCCUUGGAAUAAGCAUUAGAUAAAAUGAUAAAUGAAUCAUUAUCAUCUAAGCCCUAACAAAUAGAGAACAUAACACUCAAACAACAGAACACAUAGAGAUCAAAUGAGAAUAUUAAUAAUAAAGGAUGGGGACCGGUGGUGUCAUAAGAACAAGUACUGUCAGACAAGGUAUCACUUAGACUAAUAAUGAAGCCGAUUCCAAUUAUAAAUUAAACAGAGUAACAAAUCCACAAAUCAGUGCAGAGAUGAUCCAAUCAUACAGUGGAUGGUUGUAGAAUUAAUUAAUCCUUGGCUUCCGCCAAUGGAUUUACAUUAAAGAUCGGAUUCCACCAGAUCUAGAACUAAGAAGGUUCUAGAGAAGAAUAAAGGAAAUCGGGAGAAAAGUAGAGAAGAGAGAAAUACUUCAAAAGUAUAUUUCCAAAACUAAUUGCCACCUUUAGAGUCCAUUCUAAUUUAUACUUCCACAAUUAAAAAGAUAGAACCAUUUUGAUGCAGUAAAAGACCCUAUUAUCACUGGCUCACUGCAUCCUCAGAGCAUUAUAACUUUGUGAUGAAUGGAGCAAAGGAUUCUCGAUUGGGCUAUAAUUGGCUUGACUUUAGUCAAGCCAAUUCACAUUCCUCUUAAGGAAUUCUUAACUCACAUCAAAUGGACUGCCCAUUAUCAUUGAUGUGAGUAUAAAUACAAUGGGCCCAACAAAUAGGAUCAUUAUUGAAAUCUGUGCAAAGCAAAGUAUUAAGCUCUUGAUAUUUUCUCUCUCGUUUCUUACUGUUCUUACUUUUUCUUCACUGUUCUUCCUCUACAUUCCUAGAUCUAGAUCUGAAAUCUUGGUAGAUUCCAAAUAUUCUUCCAUCCUUCCAUUAGAAGAAUCUCUCUUAUUCUUCUUUCCUUCUCAAUCUGAUUUCCAGGGAUUCUCCCUACAUCACAUUUCGAGCCAAUGCUCUUGUUUUUUUUUAUGAAGUUAAAGUUAAUUUUUAAUGGAAAAAUAAACAGUAAAAUACAUGAUAAAGAUGAUAUUUAUCUAGCAUGGGAAAUAGGGCAUGCCCAUUGACUCUAAUCCUAUAUAGAAAUUCCCCAAAAUCCGUGAAACUAGGGUGUUUGCCGCAAAAGUGAAGCCUCCCACAAAUUUAGCACUGUAUUAAUGUAUUUCCACUAUUAUGCUAUCCUUCUUGUAGAGUUCUUUCUUGAAGGAUAGACUUGAGUCCUUUAACGGUAACUAAACAAUGCUCAUGUAGAACAUCUGAUUGGGCUACAUCAAAUAAACAAUACAUUUGUUGCAACUUGCAGGAGAGUUAUUGAUCAAAAUAUAAAAUUGGAUAUUUUUAUAAGAAUCAUCUUAAGAGACGUCAAUAGCACAAGAAGAGCUGUUUGAAGAAAUCCCUUAUAUUUUUGUUGAUACGCCAAAAAAUAUGAAAAUUAAAAAAGAAAAUACUAAAUUAUUAAUACAUAUUGCAUAGCAUCAUUAAAGCAUUUAGUAAAGCAUCAAAGAAAUGUUGAAACUCAAAAUACAUAUAAUGGUAACAUCGUUGCUAAAAUCCCAUUAACUGGAGUGGACAGCCCAGAGGUAUUAAAUAGAUAGGAAGAUGAGCAAGGUCAUCGUCAAUCUCCUAGAUAGUCAAUAGUAACAAAUUCACUGGUAAUCUGGUAUUGCUGCCACAAGUGAUUAGAUACUUAGACUCCUAAACAUUCAGCAUAUUUAGCUUAAUCUGAGUUUAAUUAGGCUUUUUGAAGGGAGCCAGCCACAUUAGAGAAACUGAGAAAGAAGUCUAGUUACUACUGUUCAUAUUUGUAAUAACACGAGAAGAUCUUUGCUACUACACCAAGUGGUUAAUAAAUAAAUAUAAUUGUAUUAGUUCCAAAAUAUACCUUUUUUUAUGAUCAACAUGGGAAGGAACAUCAUUGUGGGAAACUGCAUAAUCAAUCGACCUGUAGUUGUCAAAAUAUUAAAUUCAUAUUCAACUCUGUACAGAGAUUUUUAUGAUCAGCAAAUUUAAAAUGUAUUAGUGAUAUAUUAGAUUUAAUAAUAUUCUAUGGGCUAAUUAGUAAAUAUUCCAUUUUCAUAUUGUAGUGUAAAGUAUAACAGAAUUCUGUUAUACUAAAAUGUAUAUAUAUGAUACUCAAUGGGAAUGUAUAUAUAUGUAUACUAAAAUUGUAGAGUAUUCUCUCCCCCCUUUUAUUCAGAUCUUAAUCUCUCAUAAAAUGUAAAACAAGAAAAAGAAAUUGUAAAAAUAAACUAUCAUCAUAAAAUGUAAAACAAGAAAAUGGAGAGUACAGGGAGUUUCCUAAUAAACUAUCAUCACAAAAUACAAGUCUUUCAAGCAAAUAGAGGAGAAAUUCAGUGGAAGAAAUGCAUGUUGGGGAGCUUCACUAUAUGGAUUCUCUUAAGGAUCACAAUGUGACACAUUUGAAAAGAUCGCAAAGGAGAAUAUGAUGAAGAGAAGAGUUGGCAUGAAGUCAGGGAAAGGAUCAAGAUUCAAGAUGGGCUGGAAAGUGUAUAGGGUAGAAUCUUUGCCUGAUACUUUGGCUGUUUGGCAAGCCUAAUCAAGAAUUUACAUUUGUAUCUUAGUUAUGAAGAAACAAGCUGCCAAUGUUUGAAAAUGAAAAGGAGUGAAUGGGGAUAUGGGAAUGAAGAAGGAUCCGAAGAUGCCUUUUUUAGGAGAUUGUUAUAAUGAUGCAGAGCAUCUGAAUUAUAAGGACAGAUCAUGCCUAUAAUUGGCUCGAGAUGUCUCGAGCCACAGUGCUCAAUCUCUGAGCCUAAUUGACUCACAAUGAGGACCUGUCCACUAUCCCAUUGUGAGUAUAAAUACAUGGUGGAUGAUGAAGCACGAAAUCUGCUACCAGUAGGCUCGCGGGGUUGCGAGGAGGGCCAAGGGCUUUGGAGUCAACGACGCGCGCUUUACGUCAAUUACCUGCAAAAGUAGAGGGGAGUCGGAGACUCAGGUGUGGGAGUCGGCGACUCGGGUUCUUUAGUUCUCUGGUUGGGUGUGUGUCAAGUGGGAAUAACCUGGGAGUAGAGGACCCCCAAGGACCCCUUUUAUAGGGUCCUGGAGGACGUUUCCUCAUUCAUUAGCGUGGGGCCCACUCCAUUAUGGUGCCCAAUUAAGGGUGUCAUAAUGACGUGGGCCCUCCUAAGUAACGGCUGGGAAUCGGCGACUCCCUUGUGGUCAGGUCCUCGGUCUACCAGACCCGAGUGCUCUGUCUGGAAUCGGCGAUUCACCCCUGAAGUCGGCGACUUGGUUGUCCCAGUCGGCGAUUCCCAGGUGUUGCCUUGAGUACUUGACGUAAACACUUGCUUCGCACUGUGGAUGCCUUCCGGGGGUCCGGCGUAAAGCGACGGAAUCCUAGUCCUUGUUGAGGGACGUUGCUGGGAGUGACUGACGUAAUCAGGCAUGUCUCACUAGUACUCCCUCCUGAAGAGAGCACAAGAAACAUGCGUGUAUCGCCAGUAUCCCCCCCCCCAAGCAAAGUGAUCCGCAUCAAGGCCAAAGCGACAAGAUGGGAUCGAAUCAUUGCGGCCACAGCGACACAAUGACUCCGUUAUCCAUGCACUAUCAGAAUCUAGUUCCAGGCCAACAGAACUACGUGUUUAUAGUCCAACUCUGAUCAGGAACGACUUUUGUUGUGUCAUCAUCAAGGCCAAAGCGACAAGAUGAGAGGGAAUUAUUAAGGCCAAAGCGACAAAAUAAUUCCCGUCCAUUAAGGCCAAAGCGACAAAAUGGACUGACUUACUAUCAGAGCCUGAUUCUGGCCGAAGCGACAGAAUGCAUGGAUUCACAAUUAGAAUCUGAUUCUGACUGAAACGACAGAAUGCGUGGAUUCUGGCAGAAGCGAAAAAAUCUAGUUCACUAUCAGAACUGAUGUUUAUAGUCCACCCUGAUCAAGAGCGACUUUAUCUCCGCAACGACGGUUACCCCACUGAGGCCAAAGCGACAAGGUGGGUCGAGAUCAUUAAGGCCAAAGCGACAAAAUGAUCUCCAAGUCUAUCAAGGCCAAAGCGACAAGAUAGAAGAAUUAUUGAGGCCGAAGCGACAAAAUAAUUCUUGGUCCAUUAAGGCAAAAGCGACAAAAUGGACUUGGAUCUAUUAAUUACAAAGCGACAAAAUAGAUCCGAUUCUGGCCGAAGCGACAGAAUCAUACCUGCAAAACAAAAAACAACCUGCAAACAACCAUAUCAGUCUAAAGGAUAUAUUUAUUGAUUUACUGACCUUGCCGUGUGGAGCUGCCUCUCAUGCUGCUCCUACUUAUGCUCAAUAAAUCUUUGAUUAAUCUGGCCGAAGCGACAGAUCUAUCAUGCUCAAAAUGUGACAGCUUCUGGCCGAAGCGACAGAAGUGUCGGGAAGAGCUUAUGAUACUCCCCCCAGAGUUCGACGACUUCUGGCCGAAGCGACAGAAGUGCCGGGGAAAGCUUGUGAUACUCUCCCCUUGAGGUCAUUAAGGCUAAAGCGACAAAAUGACCUCUGUUCUGUCAAGGCCGAAGCGACAAGACAGACCGACUCAUUAUCAGAGUCUGAUUCUGGCCAAAGCGACAGAAUCUGUUGAUUCACUAUUAGAAUCUGAUUUCGGUCAAGGCUACAGAUUCACUAUCAGAAUCUGAUCCUGACCAAGAUGGCGGAAUCUUACCUGCAAAAAAGAAAACAUCCUGCAAAACAACUAGAUCAGUCCAAAACGCAUAUUUUAUUUACUUAUUGAACUUACCGUGCGAUUUUACCUUCCUUGAUGCCUUUCCUUUGCUCAAAUUGGUCCUUGGUAAAUCUAGCCGAAGCGAAGCGACAGAUUUUACCGUGUUCAAUUUUUUGACGACUUCUGGCCGAAGCGACAGAAGUGUCGGGAGAGCUUGUGAUACUCCCCACGAAAUUUGACGACUUCUGGCCAAAGCGACAGAAGUGUCGGGAGAGUUUGUGAUAUUCUCCCUCGAAAUGCGACGACUUCUAUCCAAAGUGACAGAAGUGUCGGGAGAGCUUGUGAUACUCCCCCUCGAAAUGUGACGACUUCUGACCGAAGCGACAGAAGUGUCAGGAGAGUUUGUGAUGCUCUCCCUCGAAAUACGACGACUUCUAUUUAAAGUGACAGAAGUGUCGGGAGAGCUUGUGAUACUCCCCCUCGAAAUGUGACGACUUCUGGCCGAGACGCCAGAAGUGUCAGAGAAAGCUUGUGAUACUUCCUCUAAAUUUUUUUUGAUAUUUUUGUAAUACUUUUGAAACUUAAUUUAAUCAAUUAUUUUGCUUUCUUACUUAAUUGUUUAUUUAAUUUAUUUUUUGAAUUGUAACUAAGACCCGAAACUAGAUUCACAAGUCGUAAUUUAGCCACUCUGGACGUAAAUUAGACUCUGCUAACCCUAUUGCUAGCCACUCUGGGCGUAGACUUGGUCGUACGAAUCGUAGCUCAGUCUACAGCUAAACUCGCGAAAUAAAUUAAACCUCACAAUUAAUUAAGACUCGCAAAGUUAAUUGACGUAGUAAGUUGGAGAUACAAAAAUUAUCGGGAAUAAGACUUAGAACGUUUUGAGAACCUAAGACUCUAGAUUUCAUUUCCUAAUGUGUAGUUGAACUCUGGCCGAAGCGACAGAGUAACUUUUUGCCCUCAUCAAGGCCAUAGCGUCAAGAAUCGUUAAGGCCAUAGCGACAAAACGAUUUUUUACCUAUUAAGGCCAUAGCGACAGAAUAAAUUUUCAUGUGUUGUGGGUACUUAGAACCUCUUGGGGUUAGGUUCAUUUGUACUUAUCAAUACCCUAAUGUAGUUGAACUAUGACCGAAGCGACAUAGUAACUUUUUGGACCCGCAUCAAGGCCAGAGCGACAAGAUGGGGUAGGAUCGUUAAGGCCAUAGCGACAAAACGAUUUUAACCUAUUAAGGCCAUAGCGUCAAAAUAGAUUUCUGUAUUACGGGUAGUUAGAACCUCUUGGGGUUAGGUUCAUUUGUACUUAUCAACUACCUAAGACUCUACACUUAUACCUUAAUGUAGUUGGACUUUGGCCGAAGCGACAGAAUAACUUUUGGAUCCGCAUCAAAGCCAAAGCGACAAGAUGGGUUGAGAUCAUUAAGACCAAAGCGACAAAAUGAUCUCCAAGUCUAUCAAUGCCAAAGCGACAAGAUAAAAGAAUUAUUGAGGCCAAAGCGACAAAAUAAUUUUUGGUCCAUUAAAGUCAAAACGACAAAAUGGACCUGAAUCUAUUAAGGCCAAAGCGACAAAAUAGAUUUCUAAUGUAAGGUACUAGUUAGAGUCGUAGGUAGUGAUUUCGAAAGAGUGUCACAAAAAUAAAAUCUAACUAUUCUACUUUGUAACUUAUACUAGCAUAGAGAUUAAGAGAUUACAAUUUAGGACUACAAUUCUAGAUUUGAACCUUGGUGUUUUAGCCAAGCUCCGGCCAUAGCGACAGAGUGACUCUCGUUCCUCAUCAAGGCUAUAGCGACAAGAUGGGAUAGGAUCAUUAAGGCCAAAGCGACAAAAUGAUCCUUGGUCUGUUAAGGCCAUAGCGUCAAAAUAGAUUGAAAACGAGGGUAUCGUUGAUUGUAGUCGUAAAUUUAGAAUCUCGGGGCUACAUUCGUAAAUGAGAGUCCGAUUUAGAUUCUUAAGUCGCACUUUGAACUCAUAAAUCGUAAACUAGACUUUUGAUCGCAAUUUAGCCACUUUGGACGUAAAUUGGAUUUUGUAACCAUCACUUAGACUCGCGGGUCGUAAGCUAGGUCUGAGCAACGGGUAUCAUCCAGCCAAAGCGAUGGAUGAUACAUGAGGUUGAAGAGACGGAAGUCAUCCAGCCGAAGCGAUGAAUGAUUAUUCUAAAUACGAUAUUGCAUACACAUCUCUAUGGAUUAAAGAGAGCUUUAUUUAGAAUAAUAUCGCUAUUGAGAAUACAUAAGAAUAGUAUGAGCGACAAACAAAAGAGUCAGCAUGUUUUGUCGCUGGUUGCCACUGACAGAAACAUAGCCUGCAUGAUUACUCUGGCCAAUCCUAUCUUCUAACAUAUAAUAGUUCUUCACGCCUAGCGUGAUGCACUUGAUUGCGAGUGUGAACUGUGGCUCUGGUUGCCAUCACCAGGGUUUUCUAUGCGACGUUUAUGCGUCGCAUAAACGUCCAUGCGCAAUUCCAGACCCUCGCAUAGGUGUUCUAUGCGUUUCGGGUCUGGGGCGUGUCGGGUCAACGGGUCGGGCAAAACCCUAUUACCCGUUACCUUAAUUUAAAAAAACCCAAAACCCUAAAUUAAAAAAAACCCAAAACCCUAAAUUAAAAAAAACCCAAAACCAAAAUAAAUAAAAAAACCACGAUUUUCUCCUCUCUUCCCUUUCUUCCCGUCGGCCAGCACUCUUCCCCCUCUUCCCGUCGGCCACCACCAGCUGCCAUCUCCGACGCGAGCCUUCUCCAGACGCGAGCAAGCCUAGCUGCGAAGACUGCUGCCGGUCGCAGAGUCAAACUUGAUCUCUCAUUCGAACCUUCUGGUAUUCUUCAACCAUACUCUUUUACAUCCAUCACACCUUUUCCUCCUUUUACUAGAAUCUCUCUUUCUUCUUUUAUGACAUGAAUAUGUGAUUUUUUCCCCAAUCAUACGAUGCGAGUUCUGUUUUUUUCCAAAUUACUUGACAUUUUAUGGUUCUUUAAUUUUGAUCCCCCCAGUAAUCAAACGUUUUUUUAGUACUAUUUUUUAAUAUUUUGUUUAUUUUUGAAAGUUGUAGAAGAGGUGGAAUAGAGUCAAUCCACACUGUAUGAAACACAAUUCCCUCUAGUUCAAUAUUUUUCUUAUGUCAAAUUGAUUUUGGGAUGAUUUUAAUUUUUAAUACUGAUUUUGGCUAAAAAAGCCUACCGAGGAGAAUACUGAUUUUAUCAUUUUAAUACUGAUUUUAAUGACAGAAUCAGUACUAAACUAAUGAUUAAAUGAUUUAGGGAUGAUUUUGGCAUGAAUAUACUAAUUUAGUAUUUUUUGCCAAUAAAAUAACAUUGUCAUUUUUAUGUUUGUCGAAUCAGAAUUAGGGAUGACUCAGACUUACAAUAACGAUUUAUACCAAGAGAAUGACGACAUGUACUACGACUAUGAAGUCGAUGCCAAUGAAGACGCACAUGGUGAUGAAGAGCCACUUGAUGAAGAGCCACUUGAUGAUGUUGAUGCCAAUGACUUAUCCCAUCAAGUUGUUGGAGAAGAUGAACGUGAACAGUUAAUCAAGUGGCAUUCUAAAACCACCGACGAGGAAAAGAAUGACACAAAACUACGACCGAAGUCUAGUGAUCCAGCAUGGAAAUAUGCCAUUCUAUUGAAAAAGACUGACUCCAAUGGAGUCAAAUGUCUAUUUUGUCAUUGGAUUUCAACUGGUGGAAUCGGUCGAAUGAAAGGUCACUUUCUUGGUGGUGACAGAAAUUGCAUCAAAUGUCCAAAGACCACAUCUUUCGUUCGUAAUGAGAUCCGUGAAUAUGUCAAAGAAAAGAAGAUAAAAGCAAUGAAAGGGAAAUCAACAUAUGUGGAUGACGAUGACCAAACUGAUGUCAUUUACGUCGAAGAAAAUCCUAUUGAUCCCAAAAAAUUAAAGAGGCCAGCGGUGGCGGUAAAGAAAUCAAUUUCUUCUUCUGCUGGAUCCAUCAAUUCAAAGGUGAAAGCGCUUUCUUUGAAUGAUUGUGAGAGUCUUGUCGACGUAGUUCGUAAUCGGAAAAAACAACCACUCAUCGUGGAAUGUCUGAAGAAGGACGAAAGACUUAUAGUAGACAAGCUUGUGGCUAAAGCUUUCUAUUCAGCUGGUAUUCCAUUCAAUGUCCGAAAUAAUAUUGACUUUCAGGUAUUUUUCAUUUCAAUACAAUUUCUGAUAAUUAAUGUGAAUAUUCUGAUUUUCAGAAAUUAAUUCCAAUUUUCUGAAUUUAGGUUAUGUUAGAAGCUGUUGGUCGAUAUGGAUGGGGUUAUGUUCCGCCCACUGUGCAUAGGCUUCGAGGUCCACUUUUGAAUGAAAAAGUAGCUGCUUUUGAUGACAUGAGAAGUAAACAUGAAGAGAAAUGGUCCAUCAACGGAUGCACACUCAUGUCUGACGGUUGGACGGAUCAGAAAGGAAGAAGCAUAAUCAACUUUUUGAUCAACUCUUCUGCUGGAUCUUUUUAUUUAUACUCUAUUGAUGCAUCCGCCCAUGAAAAAAAUGCUGAAUUUAUAGCACGUACCCUAGAUAAUGCGAUGCAGAAGGUUGGGGUUAAGAACGUCGUCCAGAUUUGCACAGAUAAUGCUGCCAACUACGUGAGAGCAGGAAAAAUUCUGAUGGAGAAGUAUAGUCAUCUGUAUUGGACUCCAUGUGUGGCGCAUUGCAUUGACCUAAUACUGGAGGAUAUUGGGAAGAUACCUUCAUUUAAAAAGGUGAUUUUAUCAGGCCGUCAGAUCACUACAUAUGUCUACACGCAUUCAGUUCUUCAUGCUGAGUUUUUGAGAUUAAGCAAUAACAAGGAAUUGAUUAGGUGUGGCGUCACAAGAUUUGCCACUUCGUUCCUGACUUUGCAGAGCCUAAAAGACCACAGAUACCACUUAGGUAAGUUGGAUUGGCAAAAGUGGCUAGAUAUUGGAUAUGGAGAGGAAGUGCAGAGGAAUGUCUUUGCUAGAGCUUUCUGGACAGGUGUGGAAGAUUGUUUGAAAGCAUCUCAGGCUUUAGUUGCUCUUUUGAGAUUCGUGGAUACAGAUGAUAAGCCAUGCAUGGGGCAUGUCACUCAAUGUUUUGAGAAGGCGAACAAAACAAUUGAAACUCAUUUUGAAAACAAACCUGGAAUGUUGAGAAGUCUAAAGGCUAUCAUGAAGAAAAGAUUAGAUAAACAAUUCAACCAUGAUUUGUUUGAAGCUGGAGCAUUUCUAAAUCCCAACUUUUACUAUGAGUUGAAGAAGUAAGUUUUUUCUUCAUGUUAUUUGAUAAUUAAUUUUGAAAACCUAUUAUCUAAUUACUAAUAUAUUUCCUUCUAACUAAUAGGACAAGAGUUGGGUUUGAGAAGGCUUUAGCUUAUGAGGGAAAGUUUCAAAAAUGUGUUCUUCGAAUGAUUGAUGAUGAUGAUGAACGAAGAACGAUAAUGAAUCAACUAACUCUUUACAAAGAAGGAAGGGGUCAUUUUGCAUCUAGGUUGGCUACUCAAGCCAUUGCCACAACAGAUUCAAGUAAUGUGUUUUAUAAUUCUGAUUUGUGAAUCUGAAUUAUUUAAUAUUAAUGAGUCUAAUUUAUUUUUUGGAAAUUGCAAUUGCACAAUGUCUUGGUGGGGUUCAUAUGGCAUAUCUACCCCAGCAUUAAUGAUUGCGGCUAGACGUAUUUUGGGACUUUGUGUCACUGCUUCUAGCUGUGAAAGAAAUUGGAGUACCUUUGAUUUUGUAAGUAUGAAAUAGUAAGUAAUGUGUCUCUGUGUACUUAAUAAAACUGAAACAAGUUAUCUUCCAUAUAACAGAUUCACACGAAGAGGAGGAAUCGACUAGAGGCCGACCGAUGUAGUAAAUUGGUGUUUGUCAAUUACAACCGGCGAUUGAAGGAUCGUUAUGAAGAGAAAUGCCUUAGAAACGACUUCGACCCCAUUGUCGUUGAAGAUUUGAAUUGGAGUAGUGAAUGGAUGACCGGUGAAGACGGUUCUUCAAAUGAAUUUGUUUAUGGUGAAAAAGGUUUAACUUGGGCGUCUAUUGAAGUAGCUAUAGGUGUCAAUGAACCUAUUGGACCAUCAACAAGGAAUAAGAAAGGAGUUGAAGUUGUAGAGGAUGUUGAGCAAGCUCCUUAGAGCUUAGAGCCUUAGACUAUUGUUAAUCUUAAUUAUAUAGUUUUAGACUUUGUUGUGCAAUUUCUAUUUACUAUUUAAACUUUAUUGGGUCAUUGGAACACUUUUUGCUAUAUUAUAUUAUUCAUAUAUUAUGGAAAUAUCAGGGGGUAAUUAUAAAAAAUACAUGUAAAUAUAACAUGUCGUAUAUUUACGUAUAUGCGCGUAUAUGCACGCAUAUACUUAUAUGCUUAAAAUGCCAUCGCAUGAACGCAUAGACGCAUAGAAAACCCUGAUUACAAUUAUAGUUUAAGAACUAGUUUAAACACUAACAUCGACGGACUCAAUGCUGCAGGCUGAUGACACCAGGUUUGUUCGACGGAUGCAUCGGAUUUCCGUUCUCCAAUGUUGUAGCCGGUAUUGUCGCCGUCAAUCGAAAGUCGUUUUUUAGCAACGGAUAAACUGCACUGUAAAGAUCUCAUUUGUUUCUGCCAUACUUGUUCCAUGGAUCUCAUCUUACCUUCGUAUCCCAACCAUCUGCUCUCGUAACGCAGCACUCUUUGGUGGAGGACAGAAUUCUCUUCUUCCUUCUCUUUCAAACCACUCUCCCCUUUUAAAACUCUUCUUUGCAGCUCACCGAUCACGCUUGCCUUAACCAAUAUCUGAUCUGAAUUAUCAUUUUUCUUCCACAAACUCGCAUCCGGCGAAUAUUUCCUCACCAAGAAACCACGAAUCGCUAAACAAUUAGCAAAAGAACAAUUAGAAGAACAUUCCUUACAAAAGGAGAAGAAAUCUAGUAUACCAGAUUGUACUGCUACAGAAGCUCGCAGGAUGUUUAUAAAACUGUUGGUGGCAAUUCUGCGUUUCUGGUGUUUUUGAAUCAAUAUUGCAGCUCUACGUUGAUGUAACAGUAUGAGAAACGAUUUUCUUAUCUUCUCACUGUGAAUAUCUGGAACAAAAUCACACAAAACCAUAAUAAUAUCAUCACAACUGUAAAAAUAUCUUCUGAUUUGUUGAUAGAGAUAGACGUUGCACUAUACACGUUUGCACAAUUACUACUCCAUGUUUGUAUCUGGUUAUGUAAUUACGAGCUUUGUGCCCACGAAACCAGCUCUGAGUCCUUAGGAUUCCAUCAAGUGUUCGAUUUCUUGUAUUUUCGAGUAUACCGAUCUACAUAACAUUACAACCAACAUCAAAGGAAUAAUAUAAGUAAGCAGAUGUUGGGUACAGAUUCAAUUCAUAUUUAAUUAAACAAAAAGCACCUGGCCGGUUCGAAAGAACAGUUUCGUAUAACCAACUUAAUACAUCUCUGGAGAGAGAUCAAACUGACGAAGAAUUGCAAUGGAAACACUCAGAGGAUCAUGUGUGGCAACAACACUUUCAAGAAGAAGAAAACCAUACCUAAUAUAAAAUCAUUUCGAAUAGUUACAUAAAUACAUUAAAAAACAAAGAUGUAUUUAUAUUUGGGUGAUAUUAGAAAUUUCAAUCAAUAACCUUCUUGCGAAUUUGUGAUGAGACAUCCAUGUUGGAUAACCAGACCUUGAGAUCCUAACCACUUCAAGAACACCACAGCAUUUUAACUGUUGUAGAACCAAACCUUGUUCGUAGGUACUGGGAAGUUGUGAGUUAUUAGGUUUGAUGCACCGAAUAAAGUGGGGUGUUGUGUUCUCUAGUCUUUGCAUCAGUUGGAACAAUUAUCUCUAAUAACAAUAAGUACAAGAAGAAUUAACUUAUAAUCAGCAAAGCUAAAUAUCUUCAUCAUGAGAAAUCAAUAUGACCAUGAAUCAUGAUAUGACAUGGAAACACUUCUAACCUUGAACUUGGUUGCAACACUACACUUCGGAGAAUCUGGUCCACUUGAUCUACGAUAAGAAAGGUUAAGGAUUUUCUCUGACAUUGAAAGAAUUUUAGAAGAAAAUAUCUUGGGAAAUUCGUGUGUGCAUCUGGCAAGAAGUUGAAUGGAAUCCAUAUGUAGUAAAUCACGGUUCUUCUCCAAAAAGCAGGAUGCAUCAUAUGACACCUAGAAAUAUCAUUAAUUAAUAACUAUCAAGUUUUGUCAAUCCAUAAAAGAAAAAGAAAAAAUGGAAAGAAUAGAAGAAGAAAACCUCGCAGGCAUAAUGAUUGAUAUUGAAGAUAUUGCCUCUUUCUCCUCUAAAGCAAGAAUUGUUGACUGUCAAAAAACACCGUGCUUGAGUUGUUAUUGUUGGAUCUAAGAAGAUUCUCCUUCUCCUUUCCAUCUUCAGUAGUAGCAGUAGUAGUAGUGCCAUUACACCUUGCCAUCUUCCUCCACCUCUCCUCUUCAUCAUCCUGCUCUUCCACUUCAUGUUCCUUUUCUAAUCGACCACCAUGCUUAAGAAAACCAGAUCCUAUCAAGACAUUCAUGUCCAUAUCUCGCUAGAUCCAGAUUUGUGAGUUGGGUAUAGUUUAUUGGGAUUUAUCGAGCAUAUAUAAAAGAGAGACUACACACUAACCAGAGUUUGGGGAUUUAACGGGUAGAACUUCCGUGAUUUCCAGAGUAAAAUUUCCGUCGAGAGGAUUUCCAGAGUUUGGGGAUUUCCGUCGAGAGGGUUUAGCGAUUGGGGAGGGUUUGGGGAAAUUAAACGAGAGUUAGGGAAAUGAGGGUUUGGAAAUGAGGAUUUUUUUGAGAGUUUUAAUAAAAGGUUUGGGUUUUACUAAAAGGUUUAAGGAUAAAUUGAUUUAGGAUUUGGGUAUUUAUAUUAAUUGAUUUGGGUAUUUAUAUUAAUUGAUUUGGGUAUUUUAGGGAUAAAUUGAUUUGGGAUUUGGGUAUUUUGAGAGUUUAUUAAUUCUAAAAAAUUUGGGGAUUUGGGUAUUUUUAUUCUAAUUGAUUUGGGUUUGGGUUAAAUUGAGUUUAAUAAAUUAAUUUUAAUCUUAUUGAUUUGGUUAAUUAUUUUAUUUGGAUGUAAUUGAGUUUCUAAAUUUUAUAAUCUAAUAUUUCAAAAUAUAUUAUUCAAAUUUUAAACCCUAUUUUUUAUUACAAAUAUUUGAUAUAACCUUAUAAUUUUUUUAACAUUAAUUAUAUUAACAUCUAAAAGUGUAAAAAAACCAAUUUUAUAAAAUUAGGGGGAUUUUCCGUCAUUUUUUAUUGUUUCCACCGUCAUUUCAAAUUUUUGAAAAAUAUAACAUAGAUAAAAAUAACAGAAAUUCCUCCAUUUAUACCUAAUAUUUUCCGUCAUUUAAAAAAAAAAUGACGGAAUUUUGCUAAAAAUGAGGGAAAUUCUUUUAUUUUUGACUUCGAAAAAAUAGGGGUAAAUUCCCCCAUUUUUGGUCCGUCAUUUUUAGCCAGUUUUCGUGUAGUGAUUCCAGGCCAAGUUGGCCAGUACUAGUAGACUGCCAACCUGACUCUUGGAGAAUCGAUGACUCCACCCUGAAUCGACGACUCCUAUACCUGAAUCGCCGAUUCUCAGGCGUUACUUUACUUGACCCGCGUCAUUAUGACACCAUCAGUGGGACACCAUAAUGACGUGGGCCCCAGGAACAAUGAAUGAGAAACGCCCCAAGGUCCCUAUAAAAGGGGCCCUUGGGGGGUCCUCAUUCAUAUCAUAUUUCCUCCAACCACACUUGACUCCACACUCCAACCAGAGCACGUCUAGGAGCCCGAGUCGUCGACUCCCACACCUGAGUCGUCGAUUCCCCUCCUCUUUGUAGGUAUUUUAACGUAGAGCGCGCGUCGUGGACUCUAAAGCCUCCGGCUCAUCUCGCAACCCCGCGAGCCCCCUGGUAGCAGAUUAUGUGCUUCAUCACCUUCCAAGACUACCAAUCUACGCAAGAUGAAUUAAGGAGGGCUAAAGGAUAGAUCAGGAUGAUAAACUCUCAACUAGAUGAUAAAUGUCAAGAUAUGAAUCUUUUGAAUGAGAACUUCAAAAACUUGAAUGGAGACUGGACUGCUCUUUCGAAAACCUUGGCUUCUACUCAGAAGAUACUUUUCGAGGUUCGUGGUUUCCAGGCUAAAGUUGAAAUUGAAGUAACUGCUACGAAGGUGGAGAUUAAUUUGAAAGGCCAUAUCAUUGAAACGGAUGAACGUAAUCAAGUUAUGCAGAAAAAGGAAUAUAUGGUUGCACGUGCUUCGGACGCUGACAAAGCUCGGGACGAACUUCAAAAGAAGUAUGAAGCUUUGGUGGAGCAACUAGCUAAGUAGGAAGCUAUUAUUGCUAAACAAAAUGCUUCCCUGACCGAGAAAGAUGAAGCAAACCUGGAGGUGGAGAAUGCUUUCGACGGGGCUCAAGAUGAGUUUGUCGCUAACUUGAGCGAUUAUAAUGAUCGUUUUGUAUUGGGCCCCCUGAGUUUUUUCUGGUUUUGAAGCCUCGGAUGUUCAUCAAUGGGCAAAGGAACAUCCUGUUGAAGCUGCUGAGAUCCGAGAGAAGGAGAAAGGAGAGGAGGAAAGAGAGCUAGAGGAAGAGGGUGAAGUUUCUGGCACAACGACUGCUAUUCUUGAUGAAGACUUUUCAGUUGAAGAUCAAGACAACAAUGCCGCGAGUCUUCUAUUAUCUAUGAUAUCCCUUCUCCUUUUUUAGAUAAAUCCAAGAAGCCUCUAAGCCCUCCUCCUACUGUUUGAAAAAGAUCUAUAAAUUUUUGAAGGUGGACCAACGACCAUUUUCAGAAGUGAGUGUGGGCUCCGGCAAGGUGACCCACUGUCUCCCAUUUUAUUCGAGUUCAUCAUGGACAUACUAACCCAAAACCUCAAUUGACUAGUCAGACAAAAAAAAUCUCCACAUAAAUUUUGGAGGUGUGAAUUUGGUGAGACAUGCCUGAUUACGUUAGUCACUCCCAACAACGCCUUCAACAAGGACAAGGUUCAUCGUUAAAUCACCGAGUUAACCCGUAAAUCGCGAUUGGACUACCAAAUCGUCGAUUUUAAUGGUAAAUCACCGAGUUAAAGCCCAGAUCGUCAGUAUGGUAGACUGCAGAUCUCGCCCCUCAGAACUCACCGAGUUUGUCACUAAAUAGGCGAUUUCAUACCUGAAUCGCCGAUUUACGACCGUUACUUGUCGCCUGCCUGCAUCAUAAUGGGCCAUUAAUGCACCCCGUUAUGACAACAGGUGCGAUGCCCGCCAAGGAGAAUUACAGACCCCGUUAAAAAGGGUCCCGAUGGGUCACUCCAAAACACAACACAAGUUCUAACCAAACUAGAGAAUUACAGAGAGAAUAACCGAUUUCCACACCCAAAUCGCCUAUUCUCCUCCGACAGGAUUUUUCGUAGAGCGCGCGUUAUGGACUCCAGAGCCUCUGGUCCUCCUCGCAACCCUACGAGCCCCUGGUAGUAGAUUUCGUGUUUCAUCAGAAUUCAAUUUCACACUUAUUAUUUGAUGAUGACAUGUUAAUUUUUGGUCAGGCAAAGGAAAAGUCGAUGAAAGCUAUUAAGGAGGCACUAAACAUCUUCUGUAAUUUCAUGGUAAUAAGGAUUAAUUUUGAGAAGAGUUCUCUAAUCUUCUCAAAAUCAGUGGGAAACAAGGAGGCAUUGGAGAAUUUCCCAAUCAAAUAUUUGGGUCUCCCACUCUCAACAGGGAAACUUAAACAUGUUGAUUAUAGAAUUCUUAUCUCUUCACUUAAAAGGACGCUAGCGAGAUGAAGAUGGGGAAACUUUCAAAUGCAGGAAUGCUGCAGUUGUUGUACUGGAUUUUCAGAGGAAAGGUAAAUUAUUGGGUCGAAGCAUAAUAGCUACCAAAGAAAACGCUCAGAAAAUUAAGAUCUAUCGGCUAUGGUUUUUAUAGACUUGUAUGAAAGGGACGGGAUGGGAUUGGAUACGGUCACGCUGAAAAAAUAGAAAGGAGGGCUCGACAUUCGUAAUUUUAGGAACUUGGAUGAAGCGGCAAUAAUCAAAGAGAAAAUAUCGAUUUGGGAAGAUAAGAGUACAGUUUGGUGAUCGUGGAUUAAUAGCAGGUAUGUUAAAGAAAAGUUCAUUCAGGAAUUGAAGGCCAAACAAUCGGACUCUACUGGAUGGAAAGAAAUCUUAGCGGCCAAGAACAAAAUUUCUAAAUGUGCUAAUUUAGGAAGAAACGAAGAUGUACAAUCGGUUGACACGGCGGGCCUGUCAUCAAUAAGGAAAAAUAUUUAUGCCACAAUCAAAUCGAGGAAAGAUAAUGAUACUUAAAUGCAGGAGGAGUAUGGGCCUGAUCGGUUCAUAAAUUUUCGAUGGCAUUGUGGCGUCUAAGGAUGGAUAAAUUUAAUACUUUCGGAAAAUUAUGGCAAUGGGGAAAGCCAACUCCGGCGAAGUACGUUUUAUGCAAUGAGGAAGAAGAAUCAACGGCUUACCUCUUCUUCGAGUGCAGUUACGCUUAUCAGGUUUGGAUGGAAAUCCAAAAUCAAAUUGGUUUUAGAAUCAUUGAUGACAUGCCAAUUUAUAAGAUCAGGGAUUUGGUAAGUGUGAUAGAGGAAUGUACAAGAAGAGCGUCACUAUGGAGGUUCCUAUGGGCGACAAUAGAAACCUCUAUUUGGCAUCUCUGGCACGAAAGAAACUAUAGAUGGCACACACAUAGACAGAGGCUUCCAAGGCUAAUCGGGAGGGAUACAUUCAGAGAUCUAUAGGGAGGAGAAGUUUACAGGCACUGCAAGCAGUCAGAGGCGAUUCAUAUGACGACAUGGAAGUCAAGAUGUGCACAAGACUGUCCAAAGGAAAGCGUCGACUAAUAGAAAUGCAUUGUAGUUUUGAUUUAGUGUUGGAUCAAUGCACAAUAGUUGCAUAUUGGGUAUGUUUAUGUGAUCAUUACUUUGCCUAUUGAGUGAUAACCUCAUAGGGUUGUAUAGGAUUUUUGUGAUCUUGUGUUUCUCUUUUCACUUUGGGAAUGAUGUCCGAUCAUAUAAAAAUAUUCAACAACGGAUAUUUCAUUGUGUACGUAGCCAUAUGUAUUGUUUGGGUUUUAUUUAACUAUUUAGUGGAAUUAUGAUUUUAUGAGAUACCUUACUAAUGCAGGUUAGUAUAUAUUGGAUAAAUAUCAUGGGUAUUGAGUGAUGAUUUUACAGAGCUGGAUUGGGGGUGGUGUUAUUUCCCGUGUGUUGUUUUAUAACCGUGUUAUGUCUGUGUACUUAUGGGGACUGGUCUUGUUAAAAAUCUAGUUAUGUUUCUUUUGAAUUACAUUGCAUCUAGGGAUGAGUAAGUAAACAAUAGAUAAGCUGAACAUUGGAAGUGAUAUUGAGUGGAGUUAGGAUUAUUUUAUUGGGCUGGAAUUAAAUAAUGGAUUUUAUGUUAAUUUAGAUACUGUGCAUUUUAUAUACAAGACUCCUGAUUUUAAUAUAAUGGAGUUGGUUAAUACCAUGGUUAUUUAGACACAUGUCAUUUGGUUUGAUUUUCUAUUUAUCUCUAUUAUGUACCUUGAUUUUCAGAAUUCAGACUCCUUCUUUCGGUGUUUUAUCCGACAUUUAAAAUUUUCAGGUUGGUUUACAUGAUUUUUAGAGCUUUAUAAUCCCAUGGUUAAUUAGACACAUGUCAUUUGAUUUGAUUUUCUAUUUAUCUUUGUUCCGUUCUAUGAUUUUCAGAAUCUAUACUUUUUCUUUCAGAGUUUUAUCCGAUAUUUAAAAUUUGCAGAUUGGUUUACACGAAUCCAUAACCCUUACUCUUGACCUGAAUGUAUUCACUCUUAUUUACAGAUUUGCCAACCUCAUUUACCAGAUGAGUUUAUGUAAUACCCAUGAAAAUUCAGUAAGAACUCAGGUGCAAUUAGCCCGUCAUGUAGAAUGGUUAACUACAAAAAAAAAAUUCAGUAAGGGCUCAUGUGCAAUUAACCCAUCAAUUAGAUAUUUUCUAAGGGGUUAACUACAAAAGUAAUAAUCAUUAGGCUAACUUAAUUAUGUUAGAUCUGGAUCAGAGGCUGGGGAGGGGGUAAUAGCCUCUUCUCGUGAUUUCUCAGAAGAUGUGCGGAAUACCUGAGAAUGCAAGUUAAAGACAAGAUAUAUAUAUAGUGUCUGUUCUUGAUAAGUUUACUACAGUAUAUGAAUACUGAGUCCGCUUAUAAGAUUGUGCUUUAUAGAUAACUAUAGUACAUGAAUACUAUGUUAUGAUAUAGGCACACAUUUUAAACUUAUCUGGUAGCUUCAAUUAACACAUAUAUAUAUUUUAGCUGUAAAUAACCUCAGUCAAUGACCAGAUGACUGGAUGAGGGAUCUGCACAAAACUAGUCAACCUUAAUCUGUGACCAGAUAACUAGAUGAUGAAUCUCUUUUUAGUUUCUUUUUAUCUUGUAGUGAUUUGAAAUUAUAAAAGCAAGAAACAAAAAGAGACACAGAGAUUUUAUAUUGGUACACCCAAACAAUAGCUAAUCCAGUUCCGAUAAAACACGGAGAUCACUAGCCUAAAGGUAAUGGCUAAACCUCUGUCAAGCUUUAAGGCUAAACGCUUGUGAACCACCUAAUUAGAGUAUUUAGAAACUCUUAAAAACCUCUGCCAAACUUUAAGGCUAAACGCUUGCGAACCACCUAAGAGUAUUCAGAAACUCAUAAAAACCUCUGCCAAGCUUUAAGGCUAAAUGCUUGUGAACCCUCUAAGAAUAUUAAGGAACUCUUAAAAACCCUUGAACCUUUAAGGCAUAUUCAACCUAAGAAUUUUCCUGGAAACUCUAUAGAACCACACCGAGUUUUAUGGUUGAACUCGUAAAACCUUUCAAGUGUUGGUGUUGAGGCAAACCUCUCACAACACUUGGACCACUUACAAGAUGUAGAGCUUUUCUUCUAACACACUCUCAACAUACAAGAGGGGAAGAAGAAGUUGAAGAUCUAAGCACACAACCUUGAGAGCAGCUCCCACACAAAGCUUGAACGAGAGCUAGAGCUUGAGCAAGAGCAAGAGAUAAAGAGUAGAGCUGUGAUCUAAGGAGAGCUUUAGCAAAGAUGGCAAGUGAUGGCUUUGACUCUUGGGUGUGCACCUCUUUAUAUAGUAGACGUUGACGGCAUGGAGGUAAAUUCUUCAUCUUUAAAACUCGUAGGAAGAAGAGCUUGAGAUUUGUAGACGUUGGAGGCUUGGAGUUGCUCUUGGAUUUAAAUUUCAUCUUGGGAGAUUGUGUAACAUUAACUCCAAAGUUAUGUUUAGAUUUUAUCUUGGGAGAUUGUGUAGCAUUAAAUCCAAUGUCAUGAUUGUGUAACAUUUUGGGAGAGUGAACCUCCAUACGUUUUGUGCUCCUCCAAUUUGAACUCUUCAACUAGGAUUUUGUGUAGAAUUGAUUCCAAGAUCUUUGUAGUUAAUUACUUGGAUAUGCUCUUGGAUUUUAUCAUGAUUGCACUUAUAUACGUUUUCUACACCUUAGGUCCAUUUGAGGCUUGAAUGAAUAGUUGUAGCUUUCACACCUUGUUGAUUAACCUAUAAGACAUAUUGAUCAACUUGACACAAGAGUUAAUACAAGUAAUAGAUGUGCAUAAUUAAAUACAAGCUUCAAUUAAUUAACUUGAUUAAUAGUAGAGAUUUGUUUGAUGGAAAUAAUAUUGAUCUCAUUCUAGUUUUAAUCAUAUAUCAAAUCAAUUUUAUCGAUAUGAGUUUAAUUGAUUUAUUCAUGUAGCUCUAAAUCAUAUAUUUCUAUAUCUUGUUAAUUAGGGUUUAUUAUAUUUCAAAUUAAUUAACAACUAAAUAUGUCAUUGAGAAUUUUAUUUCUACAUUCUCCCUCUUUGUUAAUGACAUAUUUGUUGUUGAGAAAUUUCAAACCCUAAUUUAAAUGGUUUCGUAUAUCUUAUCUUUUCCUUAUCUAGCUCCCCCUAUAUUUCGUAAAUAUUGCACUCAUAAAGUAAUUUGAAAAUUUACCUUGUCUGAAGCUUUUACCAGUAUAUGUAGGUGAGAUCUAGAUAAGACAUAUACUAAGGUCAGAACAAAUACAGACUAAGGUUAUAUCAUAUCUAAGUUUUUUACCCCCUGCAAUUGACAAAGUGGUGUUCUGAAUUUUGACUUUAACCUUGUUUCUUUGACUUUGAUAGAUAUUAAUAGUGAUUAUGCAAAGUCAUGUAUAAUAUGGGCCAAAAUAAUUUUAACACAAAAGUUUGCCCAUAUUGGAUCAUAAUAUAUUUAUUAAGCAUAUAUCCAAAGUAAUUUACGUGAACUUUUAUUUAUGCAUGGAUGUAGAAGCAAAUUUCAUGUAAAAUGGUAAUUUAAAGAUAGCAAGUUCUAUAUGAAUGACCUAGAGUUCUCAUAGUCAAUUAAAAAAUAUGCAUGAAUCUAUAUGAGUGACUUGAGAAUCUUUUUAUGCAUUUUCCUAAUCCAAGUAAUAUGUAUGUAUAUUUUCAAGAAUGACCUGGACUUAUUGAGAUAUAAGUAUUAGUCCAAUGAUGUAUGAGUUAAGUGUAAUGGGCUAAAUGAACAUUUAAUUAUCUCAAUAUGCAUGUUUGUGAUUUUUGCAGUUAAAAACCCUUCCAUUUUCUAAAUGAAUUUUUAUGAGUAUUGUUCAAUGAAAUCAUGGGGUUUAAAAUGCAACAUGCAAUUAUUAAUCUAGUGUUCAUGCUAUCAUGUGUAGAUGUGUAUAUAUUAAAUGAUAGUUGCAUGUAUGCCAUAAUCACAUAAAGAUUUAAGGCAUGCAUCAUUAUAUCUUAGUAAGAUUUUUGAUAUAUCAUAUUUUUAAAUAAGAAAUGCUUUAAAUACGCAUAUAAAAACAUCUUGCAAAUAUAUCGAGAAACAUCAAGUUGUUCUAGGCAUGGAGUAAGUAGAUCAGAUGUAAUAUGGAGCAUGCAUUGUGACUUAGGUAGCAUAAAAUAUUAAGCAUAAGCAAGAGAUUUUAAUUACAAACCAUAUUAAAUAUUAUAACUUAAGGCAAAAUAUGGUAAGAGUAUUCAAAAUGUCAACAUACUAAUCAAAAAACUAUAUAUUGUUUCGACAGUAAAAAAGAAAAACAAGACAAACAAAUUCUAAAAUGAGUCAUUAGUAGUGAAUCCAAGUUUCUUAAGGAGUAGCUCCUGGUUCACUCUAAUGUUUCUAACUUUUGCUUUUGCGAGUUCCAUCUUCACCUCAUUAAGCUUCAUCUGCUCUUCUAACUUCUCGUAGCUCUUGUUCACUAAGUCAAUUUGUUUUAAGACUUCAUCAUCAAAACCAUCUAUCUUUGCAUGUAUGUCUUUAAGACUCAUUAGUGUGUUGGUGUUCAGAAGAGCCAUGUCCAUGUAAGCAUUUAGAAUGAGCUUCAUUUCAUCGAUUUCCUCUCUUAUUGCAUCCAUUUUCUUUUUCUCAGACUUUUAGAAUCGCUUGAGCAACUUCUGUUUGAAAGAUGCAACUGUAAAGAACUUGAGAGGAUAAAUCUUUGAGUCCUCAGAUACAUAUAGAUGCAGAUUUUCUUUGUUGAUGAACUUGGAGAUGAGUCUAGGAUAGUGCCUUGCUUUUCUAGAUACCUUGCUCACCAUAGCCAUGUUGUACAUAACCAGACUUGCCCAAUCCACCUUGAUUCUAUUAAAAAUACAAAAUGCCGCUACCUGAGCCAUUUUUGUUGGUUUCUCUAUCACAAUGGUCACCAGGCAGUAUACUAGAUUUGCAUAGAAUUGACUUAUCUCAUUUUCAAACACCUCAGCCUGCUCAAUGCCCUCCAUGAACUUGUCGAGUCCAUUAAACCUGAGCAGUUCUUCGAUCCUCUUAUGUCCUACAUUCUUCAGUCUGGUUGGUUCCUCCAGUGUCAAACACGCCUCUUGAAGUUCUUUGAAAUUUUCCUCAGCCUCAGGGGAACGAAAGCUUGGGGUGCCUUCAAAGUACAUUACCUUGUACGCUCAUCUCCUCUCCUCUUCUUAGAGAAGCCUAGUGGGACGCCUUCAUCUAGUAGGAUGAUAUCGUCAUCACUCAGAGGAGAUGGAGGAAGCUCUUUGAUCAACAUAGUUUUUCGGUUAAAGAAGAAGGAGAUGAAUGAAGACAGCCAAGGGUUUUGAAAAACCCAACCCUUCCCAUUUUUUAUAUAUACGAUUUCCAAGGGCGCACGAUUGAAAAAAAAGAAAAUUCUUUUCUUCCAAAAAGCAGUUGCCUUUUCCUAGAAGGUGGUUGCUCUUCCAAGGGUUACUUUCCAUAUUUUGUGUUGUCCAAUCAGUUUUAAAAAUUUUCCCUCCAAAACAAAAGACUUUUUGUCUUCUUUUAAUCAUUAUUGAGUAGAGAAAUAGCUGAAUUAAUUUCACCCUAUUCUUAUAAAGUUGAGAGAGAAGAUAAUUAAUUGAUCUUCCUUGGUAUGAGACAUUAAUUCCAAUACCAACUUUUGAUUACUUUAAGCUGGUUAUAGACACCAUAAUAUUUGAUUUAUCAAGAUGCCAAUAAUCAGUACUGAUCUAGGGGUUCAUUCUUCUCAACAUUUUUAGACAUUGUUGUGGUCGUGAUAACUGCUUGGUGAUUCUUUAUUAAUCUGUCAUUCAUGUUAUUAGAAAACCAUGUUGUUCUGAGUGGUUGAUCUUGUUCGAACCUCAUCAUCUUUAUCUCCUAUGAUCUGAUCUUUAGUUGGGUGACCAGUUUUGGAAUCUUUAGAUGAUGGAGUCUCAUCAGUUAAUAUGGAUGACUCCUUCUGACUUUUUCUUGUGUUUGGAGAGAACACUAGAUUAUCUUUUGAGUAUUCAUCAAAGUCCACAUGGAGUGAUUUGAGACUCUUUGAUGAAUAUUCUGUAUGCUCUACUUUGUUCUGAGUAACCCAUGAAUCCGUCUUGAGAGUAAGUUGUGUUCCUUGAGUCCUUGAGAUAAGACAUUUACAUCCAAAUAUUCUGAAGUAUGCAACUUUGGGUUUCCUAUUCUUCCAAAGUUCAUAUUGAGUCUUGUUUGGUAUUUGUCUAAUUGAGACUCUAUUCAUGGUAUAGCAUGCACUGUUUACUGCUUCAGUUCAAAGAGUGCGAGAUUUGUCAUGUUCAUUUAGCAUGUUUCUUGCCAUCUCUUGUAGAGUUCGGUUCUUUCUCUCAAUAAUUCCUUUUUGAGGAGAUUUUUGAGGAAAGGAAAACUCAUAUUUAAACCCUGGAUUUUGCAGAAUUCUUCAAAUUCAGCAUUUUUGAAUUCUUUACCGUGAUCACUCCGGAUUUUUAAAAUGGAGAGAUAUUUUUAAAAUGACGAGAAUUCGCAAAAGGCUUUGGUGAGACAUGCCUGAUUACGUCAGUCACUCCCAGCAACGCCCUUCAACAAGGACUAGGGUUCCGUCGCUUUAUGUCGAACCCCCGGAGAGAUCCACGGUUACGGACAAGUGCCUAUGUCAAGUACUCAAGUCAACACUGGGAAUCGACGACUGGGACUACCAAGUCGCCGACUCCAGAGGUGAGCCACCGAUUCCAGGACUCGUUGGUCAGUUCUGGUAGGCUGCCAACCUGGCUCAUGGGGAAUCGAUGGCUCCACCCUGAGUCGCCGACUCCCAGCCGUUACUUGACUUGGCCCACGCCAUUAUGGCACCUUUAAUAGGGCACCAUAAUAGUGUGGGCCCCACGGGUAAUGAAUGAGAAACGCCCCAAAGACCCUAUAAAAGGGGCCCUUGGAGGGUCCUCAUUCAUCAAGACAUCCCCUCUACAACACUUGAUAUACACACUCCAUCUAGAGAAACUAAGGAGCCCGAGUCGCCGACUCCCACACCUGAGUCGCCAACUCCCCUCCUCUCUGCAGGUACAUUGACGUAGAGCGCGCGUCGUGGACUCCAAAGCCUCCGGCCCUCCUUGCAACCCCGCGAGCCUACUGGUAGCAGAUUUCGUGCUUCAUCACAUUCCAUGGCGGUCAUUACGUAUAUCCCUAUAUUUUCAGGAUUUUUAAGGAAUGCCUGCGGAAAAUAUGGAGCUGAUUCAUAAACCCAGGUAGACAAGUUGUGGUCUGAAUAAAUCCCACGGAUGUAGUGAUCCAACUAUAGAGUCUGCAAAUUAAAUUACAAAGUAGCAUUAAAUUCUUACACAGUUCGAUUUCAAAGAUUUAUCAACCACGUGUUUAUUCACUUACCAUAUUCUUGUUCUGUUUGAUCAUGUCCUCGUUGUCUUCGUAGGGAGAACAGUGGAUGUACUUCUUCUUUGUUAUGUCUAACUGUAUCAAAUGUCAAUAACCGUAUAUUUCAACGGGCGCUAAUAUUGUAUGAAUCAUUUCCCAUUUGUCUACUUUUUCACUUAAAAUUUCUUUCAGCUCGGCAAAUUCCCUCAUGUUCAAGUUUCUGUUUGGAGCUAUCCCUUUGAUUUUUUUCUAUGUAAAAAAAAUACCUGAGUCAUGCAUGAAAUAGUAUUUAUAUUCAAAGGUUAUAUUAACAAAAGAAUAUUACCAUUUUUAUCGGGUCAAUGAACUUCACUGAAUGUGCGAAUAAUCUGCGAUCUGCCAUUUUGCAGCGGAGAACUCUUAUGAACAUUGAGAUGCACUGGAAAUACGAACAUUCAUAUUACUGUUUUUAUUGAUAAUUAUAUCUGAAAUUGUUAUUACUUCUUACGUGGUUUCGUAUGGGAGUCUUGGCGAGUAAUCCAAUUACCCAUGUAGAAUCACAUCUAACGUUACCUAUUUCCAAUAGACCUUCUUUUGCUGCAAUUUCUUGUAAUUUACCACUCUUCUUAACGUCCCGUACAUUCAUCCCAGCCUUGGUAAUGUGAUUCUUCCACAUCUUCUCUUUCAUUAUCUUUUCCAUCUUAGCCUUCCUCACGUCUUCCUGUAGCAUUGAUUAAUAAUUUUGGUUGAAGACCAACGUAACUAGAAUUUAGGUCGGAGAACAAUGAAACUUACAUGUCUUUCUAUGAUCCUUUUGACAAGAGAACUAGGUUUGUUUUUGUUUAUCUGUACGGAGAUUGGUUCAUUAUCCAACCUGAUAGUAUAAGGUCCAACACACAGACCAUAGCACUAAAAGACGUAUCCCAAAGUAUCUAAUACGCAGAGGAGGGGGGAGUACUGGUGAUACAGUAUCCCGAACCUGGUCACAACCUACCAGCAACUAGAAGUCCGGAUAGCCUAAGAUGAGUUAAGGUACCUAUUCUAGGGUUGGGGAGGUCCCAAGUCGAAUCCUAGGAAGAUCGACUUUCCUGAGGAUCGACUUUCCUGGGAUCGACUUCUGAAUAAAGUCGAUCACCAGGAAAGUCGACCCCCAGAAAGUCGAUCUCUGGAAAGUCGAUCUCGGGCCCCGAUCUGAUCAGUUAGGCAGUUACUGCCCAAAUGACCAGAUUACCCCCAUAAGAACCCCUAUAAAUAGAGGGCACCCCCCACUCAUUGAAGGCAAGUCAUUUGGAGUAGAAGAAUUCCUAGCGAAGCAGAGCUCUGCGCACUUGAGUUCCGGUCCGGUUUUCCGCGGAGUUCCCCGCUUGGCGCUUGCUUGCGCGUCUUGCAGUACUGGUCGGGUUUCACCCCCAUCAAUACUCAUUUCAAAUUCGUCUUCCAUUUGUUUGGAAAAUUUCUUACAUAGAGUUUCAUUGGUUGAUCCAAAUAUAAUGUCAUCAACAUAGAUUUGAAUUAGAAUAAUGUCACUUUUGACAUUUUUAAUGAACAAUGUAUUAUCUAUACUCCUCAUUCUAAAUUCCUGAGAAAUGAGAAAGUUUCUUAGUCUUUCAUACCAAGCUCGGGGUGCUUGUUUCAGACCAUAGAGGGCUUUCUUAAGUUUAAGGACAUGAUUAGGGUUUUUGUAAUCUUCGAAACCGGGGGGUUGUCUAACAUAUACUUGUUCAUUGACUAUUCCAUUCAAGAAUGCACUCUUUACAUCCAUUUGAUAUAAUUUGAAAUCUUUGUAACAUGCAAAGGAUAGGAGCAUUCUGAUAGACUCUAGUCUAGCUACUGGUGCAAAGGUUUCAUUAUAAUCAAUUCCUUCUUGUUGAUUGUAUCCUUGCGCAACCAGUCUAGCUUUGUUUCUGACUAUAGUUCCAUCUUCAUCCAGCUUGUUUCUGAAUACCCAUCUUGUCCCAAUGAUUGAUGUAUCUUUUGAUUUUGGAACUAGUUCCCAUACAUCAUUUCUCUCAAAUUGGUUGACUUCUUCUUGCACUUGAAUCCAGUAGUUGUCGUCGAGGGCUUCAUCAACUUUCUUGGGCUCAAUUUGAGAGACAAAACAGUCAGAACACUGUUUCCUUGAAUGGAUGAUCUGGUUUUAACACCAGCUUGAUGGUCACCAAUGAUUUGAUCAGUGGAAUGUGGGUUCCUGAGAAACCUGUUGGAUGGAGGCUCAAAAACUUCGAUUUCGACAUUGGUAGUUUCUUCAGUUGAAUGAUGAUUUCUGGUUCUGGAACUAUUUCAUCUUCUUCUACAAUGGUUGUCUGAGUGGAUUCAUCAAAGUCAACGUGUAAUGAUUCGAUCAUUAUUUGUUUUUCUUUGAGAAGAAUUUUGUAGGCUUUGCUCCUUCUAGAGUAUCCUACCAGGAUACCUUCAUCAGAUUUCUGAGCGAAUUUGUCUUGGUUGCCUCUUGUUCGGAGAACAUAACAUUUGCAUCCAAAGACCUUGAAGUAUGAAACUUUUGACUUUCUUCCAUUCCAGAUCUCAUAUGGAGUUUUGUUCAAGGUUUUUCUAAUAAUCACCUUAUUUAAUAUAUAACAGGCUGUGUUAACAGCUUCUGCCCAGAGAUACUGUGGUGAAUCAUGUUCUUGUAACAUGGAUCUACUCAUCUCUUGUAGAGUUAUGUUUUUCCUUUCAACAACUCCAUUCUGAGGGGGUGCUUGGGGAAAAACAAAUUCAUGUUUUAUUCCAUAAGUUUUGCAAAAAUUUUCAAACUCAGAGUUCUCGAAUUCUCCUCCAUGAUCACUUCUGAUUCUUUUUAUGAGGACAUCCUUCUCAUUUUGUACACGUGUACAAAAUGAUGAGAACUCGUUGAAUGAGUCACUUUUAUUUCGUAAGAAGAAAACCCAAGUAAAUCUUGAGUAAUCAUCUACUAUUACAUACGUAAACCUUUUACCGCCAAGACUUUGGGUUUGGGUUGGCCCAAAUAAGUCCAUGUGUAGAAGUUCCAAAGGUCUGGACGUAGUAAUAUCUGUAAGGGAUUUGAAUGAGCUUUUAUGCUGUUUCCCCUUUUGACAAGCAUCAUAGAGAUUACUUUUCUCAUAUGCUAUUUUAGGCAGUCCAGUCACCAGUUCUUCUUUUGAUAGUUUGGAUAAUCGAGAAUAACUGGUGUGACCUAACCUUUUAUGCCAUAAAGUCUUUUCAUCACUUGCUGCAAUCAUGCAGAAGUCAUGAGUUGGCUUGAAGGGAUUAAAGGUUAUGGAAUAAGCAUUGUUUUUCCUAUAUCCUUUAGCAAUUAUAACUCCCUUGGAGUUAAUGAUUGAGCAUAGAUGUUUUUCAAAUUUAACUGUGCAAUCAUUAUCACAUAAUUGGCUUAUGCUGAUAAGAUUAUGUUUAAGGCCAUUAACUAAGUAAACAUCUCUAAGAAAUGGUCUAUCUAUAUUACCUAUAUUACCCCUACCUAUAAUGGUACCUUCGUUGUUAUCGACGAACUUGACCUUCUUAGUAGUAGGCCAGUCGGUCAAGUCUGUCAGCAGACUUGAAUCUCCAGUCAUGUGUCUUGUGCAUCCACUGUCGAACAACCAUUUUGACACAUGUUUUUCCUGGAAGAGUUGAAUAACCUUUUGGUAUCCAUACUGAGUUGGGUCCAGAUGAAUUAACAUAGUUGAUUUGUUUAUAAUUUUUUAACUCAUCCUUGGUCAUCCAUUUUUAUUUUGGAUGAUUCAUCUUAGAUAGAUCUUUCUUUUUCUUAAGAUGAAUAGGUUUUCUGUAGCUAGAUUCUCUUACAAAAUAAUCAUUAUAAGUUAAAGUAUGUAAAUGUUUUUUAAUAGGUGCAUUUGAUUCAAACCCUAAGCCAAAUUUCUUUUGACCUGAGCUUGAACCUUGCAACAUGUCAUUUAGCUUAGAUGAACUAUUUAAGAAUUUUUCAAGAACAUUAUUCUUAUGACCUAUUCUUUUGAUUUGUAAUUGCAUAUCAUUACAUUUUUCAGAUAAUUUUUGUAUAGUUUGUACAUGCUCAAGUAUGAUUUUGUCCUUAGAUUCUAUUUCUGUUUUGAGCAUAAUUGUUUCUUUUUCUUUUAACAUAAUAUCUUCUUCAAAAUUAUCUAUUUUUAAUUCUAGCAAUUCAAUCUUAUCAUCAUCUAUUUCCUUAGGUUGAUUUUCUUCAGAUUCUAAAAUGUUAAGCAAUUCAAAGUUUUAACUCUUAAGUAUCUUAAUUUUUUCUUCAUCUUUGUUUAAUUUACUUGUGAGUUUUAGAUUUCUUUCUUUCAAUUGCAUGCAUUCUUUUUGUGAUUCUUCUAAUUCAAUAGAUUGAUCUAUAUGUGAUUUAUUCAUGCAUUCUAGUUUUAAUGACUUAGUUAAUUUUUUCUCAUUUUUAUAUUUUUCCAUUAACUCUAGAUAUGCUUCUUCUAAAGAAUUAAAUCUAAUAUUUGCAAAACUUACCUCAGAGUUGCUUUCAUGAGCCAUGAGACAAUCUUCUUGAUCCGAGUCGGAGUCUGACCAUUGUGCCUGAUUUGCUCUUUCUUUCUUUAGCAGAGGACAUUCUGGUUUGAUGUGUCCAGACUUGUCGCAUAGACAACAGGUUGGUUCUUUUGACUCCUUGCUCAUUCUUCUGUCGAACUUCUGAUGACUUGAUCUUGAGUCUUUCUUCUCUUUCCUCUUUUUCAGAUAUCUUCUCAGAUGAUUUGUGAUCAUUGCUAGAUCAUCUUCUGAUGUUUCAUUGUCAGAUUGACUUUUAAAAGCAAUAUCCUUUUUCUCUUCUUUAGCUCUAGAGAUGAAUCUUUCUUCUUCAUAGGCCAUCAGAUUUCCACAGAGUUCCACAACUGUAAGUUUGUUGAGAUCAUGAGCCUCUUGGAUAGCAUUCCUUUUGGAGUAGUACUUGUUUGGAAGGCUCCUCAGAAUUUUGCUUACUUGCUUCUUCUCAGUUACUGGAUCUCCUAGUCCAGCCAGAUCAUUAACUAUUUGUGAUAGUCUAAUGUUCAUCUCUGCGAUAGUCUCGUCUUCCCUCAUAGAGAAUCUUUCGAACUGAGAGGUAGCAUGUAACAGCUUGUUUUCUUUAACAUGGAAGGUUCCUUCAUGUAGAUCCUCCAAUGCUUUCCAUACCUUGUGAGCUGUAUCCAAGCAUCGAAUUCUGCUGUACUCAGAUUCAUUGAGUGCUCCAUAUAGAGCAUUCAAUGCUCUUGAGUUGUUGUUUUCCUUGAGAAUGUGAUUUUCUCCCCAAGUCUCUUCAUUGUUUGUUGGAAUUUCAUAAUCCUCUAAUAUGAUCUUCCAUACUCCAUUGUUGAUUGACUUCAAGUAUAACUUCAUCUUGUUCUUCCAGAAGUCAUACUUUACUCCAUCGAACCUGGGAGGUUUGUUUGACGCAAGACCAGUGUUGAAUUCACCAUUUGGUGUCAUAGUUGUUGUUGUAAGAUGUUAGUCAAACUUCAACGGUACUUGGCUCUGAUACCACUUGUUGGAUCGAGAUCCGAGGCUAUAAGGGGAGAUAAUAGCCUCUUUUCGAUUUAUGCAAGUUAAUAGCGGAAUUACCUGCACACACUUAAGUACACAAAUGGUUGUAUAAUAAUAAUAGUAUAAUAUUGUUAGCAAUAUAAUACUAUUAUAUCAUUUUAAAGAAUAUAAUAUUAUAUCUUAUAAUAUUAUAUAUAUUGGACUUGCCUUUUGCUCUUGAAGUUUACUACAGUAUAUGAAUACGUAGUCAACUUUUUAGAUGGUGUUUUAUAAACAACUAUAGUAUAUGAAUACUAAGUUAUAUUAUAAACACAAAUUAUAUUAUAGAGUAAAUGACCAGAUAACUGGAUAUAUUGAUAAGCAAGUAAAUGACUAGAUAACUGGAUAUAUUGAUAAGCAAGUAAAUGACCAGAUAACUGGAUAUAUAUAUGAUAAGUAAAUGCUUGAACAAAUAUAUGAAUAAGGAUUUAAAGCAAUUAAUAUAACCUCAGAUAGUUGACCAGAUAACUGGAUGAGGGAUCUGCGUAAAGUAGUCAACCUCUGUAUUUGACCAGAUAACUGGAAGAGAGAUCCUUUUCAAUUAAGUGUUGUUUAGUUGUUUUUAGAUGAAAGAUAAAAACUAGAGUUAACAAAGAACAACACAAGAGAUUUAUACUGGUUCACCCAAACAAGGGCUAGUCCAGUCCCGACCAACUGUCAGAAUUCACUCGCCUAAAGGUUAUGGCAAAACCUUAGAGUAUCAAGGAAACUCUUAAGAACCUCUCUAAGCUUUAAGGCUAGUUCGCUUAGGAACCAGUCUUUUACGGGUAGACUCACACCUUAGAGUAUCAAGGGCACUCUUAAGAACCUCUAACUUUUGCGGGUAAGUUAGUACCUUAGAGUAUCAAGGAACUCUUAAAAACCUCUCUAAGCUUUAAGGCUACUUCGCUUAGGAACCAGUCUUUUACGGGUAGACUCACACCUUAGAGUAUCAAGGGCACUCUUAAGAACCUCUAACUUUUACGGGUAAGUUAGUACCUUAGAGUAUCAAUGAACUCUUAAAAACCUCUGAAAUCUUUCAAGGUAGACUCGACCUAAGAGUUUUCCCGGAAACUCUAUAAAACCAAACUAGAGCUUUAUGGUUGAGCUCAAAAACCUUCUCUCACACUUUGGUACUAUUGAGACAACCCUCUCAACCAAAGUGGACACACACAAGAGGUGAUUAGAGGAGUGGAAUAUUAAAGCAAACAACACUUCUUACUUGUAAAGAUGAACAAGAAGAUUAGAAGAAGAAGUUGGAGAGCUUUUGAAGCUUUGGAAAGCUAGGACACUUGAGCACUUGAAAGCUUGGAAGCUUGGAGGCAAAAACGUGUGGGCAAGUGUGGAGUGAAUGCUCUUGAGUUUGCUUGUAGUGUGGUAAGUGAAAAUGAGGGGUUUACCCUUCUAUUUAUAGCCUUGGCCACUCAAUGUCCACCCUUGGAUCUUCAAUGGAUGGCUCCUUGAUUUCUCACAUAAAUCCAAGCUUUGUCUUUGAUCUUAUCUUGAAUAGUGCUUUUAUUGGAUAGAGUUUGUUGGAGAAUCUUAUCUUUGUAUAAAUUCAAACUUGAAUAGUGUUUUGUCCCCUUGGAAUAUUAUACCUUGAAUAAAGUGUCAAAAGAUAAUAAUAAUAAUAUUCAAGGUAAAAAUGCAAUUAUUUCAAAUAAUAUUCAAGGUGAAAAUGCAAUUAUUCCAAAUAAUAAUAUUCAAGGUGAAAAUGCAAUUCUCCCAAUUUGACUUUUAACUUUGACUUAAACCCUUAACUCAAAUCAUUAAUUAAUUAACUGGAGUUAGGUUUAAUAUCGAUUGACUAUUUAACCCAUAUUGAUUAAUAGUGUAAUUAGGGUUUAAAUUGACAUGAUUAAAAUAUAAUCCUAUGUCGACAAUUUUGAUUCUACACUCGCAACCCCGCGAGCCUACUGGUAGCAGAUUUCGUGCUUCAUCAGGAACUAAAUUCCAGGUCUUGUUAUCAAUCAAAGCUUUAUAUUCUUCUUUCAUUUUUUGAAGCCAAUGCGGUGUUGCCAUGGCUUGUUUAUAGUUCUUAGGUGUAUCUUCUAAAUUUUUAACUACCUCUACCACCAAAGCCUUUGGUAGGUUAACUUCAAAAAUAUUAUAUUUUGUUGGAAAUUUUGAAGUUCUACCUCCUCUUCUUAGAUGAGUGUGUGUGUUAAACUCAUUUACUAAGUUUUGAGGUAUUGUUGUAACUACUGGUUGAGGUAUUGCUGUAGCUACAGGUUGAGGUAUUCUAGUGGCAGAUUCUUCUGUUUCCUAAAUUUCCGAAUGAUGACUUCUUCCUUCAUUUUCAGUUACAAUUGUUGGUGUUGUAGUGGGAAUCCUAGUGUUAUCACUUAUAUCUUCCGAGCCUUGAUUUUCUCUUGAAGUUCCUUGAAUGUCACUUAUUGUUCGAGAAUUCAGAGUUUGCGCAUUAUUGUUUAUUUUCAUGGGAAGUGGAAGUCUAAUGUUAUUUAGACUUGUUUUCUUAACCAUAUCAUUUAUAUCUGAUUUGAUCUUAUAGUCUUUGUAUGGAAAAGUAUCUUCAUGAAACUGGACAUUCCUGGAUAUUAUUAUCUUAGAAUCCUUAAGUCUAAAGCAUUUAUAUGCUUUAUGAGAUUGUGAAUAACCUAAGAAACAACAAUAACAAGAAGUUGAUUGAAACUUGUUUCUUAAAUGUAUAGGUAUGAGAGGAAAACAUUAGUGACCAAACACUCUAAGAUAUUUAAUAUCUGGUUCUCUAUCAUAUAACAAGGAAUAAGGUGAAUUAUAACCUAAUUUCUUGGAAGGUAAUCUAUUUAGAGUAUACACAGCUGCACUGCAAGCUUCUACCCAGUAGUCUUUUGGUAUUUCAGAGUGAAAGAAGAAACACCUUGCCAUUGACACAAGAUGUCCAUGUUUCCUUUCUACCAAACCAUUUUGUUCAGGAGUGAAUGGAGUAGACAAUCUGUGUUUAAUUCCAUGUUUCUUACACAAAUUACUAAAUUUAGCAUUCAAAAAUUCACCACCACAGUCUGAUUGUAUUGUUAUAAUUUUACACUCCAACGAGUUUUCAAUCAGUUUUUGGAAUUCUCUAAAUUUCUCAAAAACUUCAUCCUUAGUUUUUAAAGGAUAAAACCAUGAAAAUCUUGAAUAUUCAUCAACUAUAAGUAAAUAAUACUUACGACCAUGAAUUGAGGGAAUGGGGGCAGGACCCCAUACAUCCAUGUGAAUUACUCCUAAUGGCCUGUUGCUAUACUUUGUUUUAGAUUUAAAGGGCAAUUUUUUCAUUUUAUUCAUUGGACACACAACACAUUUUUCUUUGCAUUCACUUGUUUUAAUCUUAUGUAUUUUAAAUAGUUCAGAAAUUAUUUGAGAUGAUGGAUGCCCACAUCUCAUAUGCCAUAUGUUAUAUGGUAUUGUUAAAACAGAAGGAUGUGCAUUAUGUUUAACUAUUGAUACAUUACAUUUAAGACUAUCAUCCUGUUUAAACACACAAACCAUUUGAUCCAAUACCAUUUAAAAUCUGUUUUCCAGAUUUAUUGUUAUUUUCUGAAAACUUAUCACCCUUUAAUAUAACUUUACAAUCUAAAUCAUUAGACAUUGCUUGUAAAGAAAUCGAAUUCAUUUUUAAUUUUGGAACACAUAAAGCAUUUUUGAGUAUUAAAUCGCCAAAUUUAGAUUUAAUUUUCAAAUUUUCAAUAUGUGAUAUGUGUAAGCCUAAAUCAUUACCAAUUAUUAUAAAGGAUUUACCUGAGUACUCCUGAGUCUCUGAUAAAUUAUCGAGAUCAGGAGUCAUGUGAGCAGAUGCUCCGGAGUCUAAAAUCCAAUUCCCUUCUGAAGAAUCGUCAGUAACAACAACAGUUAGGGCUUUAAGAAUUUUUCUGCAGGUCUUAGCAGAAUGACCUGGUGUUUCACAGAUCUGACAAAUAAUAGAAGAAUUAGGAUUCUUAGAUCUCCUUCAUCGAUUCUUUGAUGAAUUAUUUCUUUUCUGAUUAGGGUUGGAAUUUUCUUUCUUGUUUUUAUACUCAGUUUUCUUGUAAUCAUUUGGGUCACCCCUGUAGUCAUUUCUGAAAUCACAUCCAGAACGAAAUUUUGCAGCAAAGGCAGCACCAGAAGCAUCAUCAGAUUUUGGGUUAAUUUGAAAAUGACGCUUUAGAAAUGCAUCUUCUCUAAUAAUCAGAUGAAUGAACUGUUCAAACAAAAGAUUCGGUUGUGAGUGGAUAGAUGACAUGAACGGGCGAUACUCAGCAGCCAAACCAUCACAAAUGAAAUCAAUCUUAUCUCUAUCUGCGAGAUGAUCACCCGCAGCAGUCAAACUGUCAAUAAGAGCAUGAACUUUAAUAACAUACUCCGCCAUGCUCUCGGAGUCAGAUUUCCUCAUCAUUCUAAGCUCAUCCCUUAAGCUUUGUGAGUGGCAAAUUUUUCUUGGCGAUAAGUGAAGAUCAAGGUUCUCCCAGCAGGCGCGUGCACUGUCAUGAUUUAACACAAGAGAGAACAUUGACGAGCCAACAGCAGCUUGAAUCCAUCCAAGAAUGAUGAAAUUCUUCUUUCUCCAGAUAUAAUAUAACGGAUUGUCACUUCCAUCAGGAUUCUUUUCUUCUGGUGUAACGGUCUUUGGAUCUAUAAUAUCAGACACAUCAUGAAUCUUAAAAAGAUUCUCCAUCUGAGAUUUCCAAAAGAGAUAUGUUCCACCACUCUCUAAAGGAACCCUGAUCCAGUGUGAUACAUUGCACUUAUGAAGUUCGUCAAAAUGGUUUGACAAUGAAGAGGAACCUUUACUAUAAACCAUUAUUAAGAAGCUAAUAUACAGAUCCGGAAGCCAGCGAUCGUUGAGAGAAGAAGAAAAAAUUGAAAUCACGGAAGCACAAAUCGGAAAAUGCUAAAAAAUCACAACUGCCAGGUCGUGUUCUGACAGAAAUCACAGAAAUAUCAAUUCUGCAAUUUCUUGACAGAUCGUGCAACUGAACUUGCCACAGAUCGUGCAAUUUCUCAAGGAGAUUGUCCCAAAUCGGCAACUGAAAUCGCCAAAACUGAUCAUACAACGAUUUCCACACUGACGGACAUGGACAGAUUGAAAUCGCCUGCUCAAAUCUUCUGCCCCAAAAUAAAAUCGCGGAAAGAUGAUCUGCUUAAAUCACACACAGAUCGCCGUGCUGAAAAAUUUCUGUGAAGAAGAAAUCGCCGCGAGUGGGAGAAGAAGAAGAGGAAGAUUCCUGUUAUCACCGUGCUGAAGAGAUCGGAUGGUCAAGAGGAGCUACAACUGAUACCAUGUUAAAUACUUCAACUCUUGGAUAUUCAGAUCAACGAUCAAGCAAACAAAGAACAAGAAAUGUAUUUCAUAGAAUGAAUUCAAAUCAAUAAUCCACAACGAUAUCUAUCUAGUAUUUAUAUCAUGACUUAACUAAUUAACCACUAAUACUAAUUAACUAGAGAGAAUAUCUAACUAUGGUUAACAAAGAUAAAGAGUGUAAUUAAUCUUGCUAACAGAGAGAACAUCUGAAAUAUUCAAAUGAUUUCCUAAAGUGGAACUUAAUGACAGAAAAGUUAAGACAUCUGAAAUCUACAUUCACAGGAACUCAAUGAAAUGCAGGAAGUAGAAUUAAAUGAAGAAUCACUGUAAAUGCUAUGAAAAUGAGAAUAUCAAUUGAAAAUAAGAAAUCAGAAUGAAAUAUGAAAAUUACUGGUUUGAUUAAAAAAUAGAAAAUAACCAAUUAAAAUAAUAAUCUGAGAAUGAAAGAAGAAAAUUACUGGUUCGAUUAGAAAAUAUUGAUUCUUGUUGUGAUUGUGUUCUCUGAUUGCGUUUUCGAUUCUUAUUUUGAUUACGUUUUCAGAUUUUUUUUGAACUCGAUUGGUUUUGAUCAGAAAUCGUUUUGAAAUCGGUUUGAAAUCGAUUGAUUGUUUAGGUUUUGAUCGCGAUCUGAUUUACUCGAUUGCGUUCAGAACUUGUUCGCGAUCAGUUUUUUUUUUGAACUUGUUCGUGAUCUACAUGGCGAUCUGAUCGAUUCGAUCAGGCACUCGUCUAUUCCCUAUUCGUGGAAAUCCCCGACAGAAGAAAGAGGUGUUGGCGAUCUGGAUAUUAUCGUAUUCCAUGGAUCCGCUUGUGAUCUGUUUGCGAUUUAAUUUCUGGGAAAUCGCGAUUUAAUUUCUCGUCGCUUGUGAUCUUGCGAUUCUUAUCUGAUUACUGAUUGCGAUCUCUCCUGAUUGAGAUCUACUAAUUUGGUGAUUAGUGAUUGCAAUUUUGAGGUGUGAUAUUUACUGAUUAGUGAUUGCGAAUUAUUCACAUUUGCAAUAUCACAUUACUGAAUAGUCAAUUUAAUUAGUGAUUACUGUUAUGUUCAGAUUUUUUUUUUAAUUCAGAAAAUGUAAUAUCACAUUUGCUUUGCAGGUUUAUGCUAAUAUUGAAGAAAUAUUCUUUGUCUGCAUAUACUAUAUUCUCCUCUGUUUUUUUUUAUUACUGAUUGAAUUUUUUCUCUCCUCUGUUUUGAUUACUGAUAUAAUCAAAUUGUGCAGAUGAAUGCUGAUUACUGAUAUAAUAAAUUUGGUAAUCAAAUUUAUUAUUCAUGAAUGCUAGCUACCAUGAAGAAAAAUCUAGAAAAUGUUCAAGCUAGGAUGAAGCAUCAAGUUGACAAGAGUAGAUCUGAUGUUGUGUAUGAAGAUGAAACAUGGGUACUGGUUAAAUUACAACACUACAGACCGACCACAGUAGCUAACAUAACUCAUAAUAAGCUAUGCCAAAAAUACUUCGGCCCCUAUGAAAUAAAGAGGAAAAUCAACAGAGCUGCUUAUAAAAUCAGAUUACCUCAAGGCAGAAAAAUACAUGAUACAUUUCAUGUUUUCAGAUUGAAGAAAUCUUAUGAAUCAGAUUACCUAAAGGCAGAAAAAUACACGAUACAUUUCAUGUUUUCAGAUUGAAGAAAUUUUAUGGCCCGCCCAAUUCCUGAAAACCAGCCUACAAAUGAUAUCAUGGUUUAAGUUAGCAAUAAACCAAUUAUCUAUCCUAUAGCAGUACUGGAUACAAGAAUGAGUGGACAGGAUAACAAAAGAAAGGUUUCCCCAGAAUUGUUCAAAAGAUGCAAAAAAAUUAAAGCACACUGCGUUUUUAUUACAUCUUAGCUAAACUACACUGCAGAUUUCAGACACUACAACAGUUAUAUAUAGUUAGAGUCAAUCUAGAGUUAAUAGUACAUUAGCUGUUAUAAUAAGUAAUAUAGUUAAUUAGUUAGUUUAGAUUUUUUAGUUACAGGCAAUAGACCUUUGUUAUAAAUAAUGUAUGACUAGUUGUUUAGAAGUAAUUUUCAUUCUUGAUUCUACUACCCAUGAAGAUGUUGAUGAUUGAAUACUACCCAUGAAGAGUGGAUCAAGAUGUUGAUGAUUGAAUAGUAUCCCAUGAAGUUUGAAAUAUCACAAAACAUCACCAUCUCCUCCAAACAAUCAGCCAGAAGACAACUUAUCAUUAUAGCCAUUAGUUUGAAUAUGAAUAGAUCGAAAUAAUGUGUUUUUAUGACUAAUUGAGACCAUUUUUUGGAUACUACUAGGGCGUCAAAUAAAGCCCGGCUCGGGCUCGCGAGCCCUAGCCUCUAGCUCGUUAAGCUCGAUGGGCUCGGUAAGGAUUAUAAAAAAUUAAAAAAAUAUUAAACUUAGAGAGAAUAGAUGUGUAGUAUAGUUGGUAAAAGGUUUGUUUAAUAUUUGAAAAGUCAUAGGUUCGAUCUUUCAUGUCUACAAAUAAUUAUUUUUUUAAUUCGAGUCCAGAAAGUAUAAAAAACUAAAAAAAUAUUAAAUUUAGAGAGAAUGGAGGUGUAGCGCAGAUAAUAAAUCAUUUGUUAAGCAUGUGAGAGGUCACGGGUUCGAUCCUCCAUGUGAGAGCUCGCGGGCUUGAGCCUGAGUCCGAGCUUGGAAAAUAUCUGACGAGCCGAGCCUGAGCCCGAGCUUGGAAAAUAUCUGAUGAGCCGAGCUUGAGCCCGAGCUUGGAAAAUAUCUGCCGAGCCGAGCCUGAGCCCGAGUCCAUAUGAUAUCUCAACGAGCCCAAGUCCGGUUCUAUAAGCAAAAGCUCGGCUCAGCUCGUUUGACACCCUAGAUACUACCAUCGAUAUCCAAAUGUAAGUGUUCCAAUUUUUUGAAAUAUAUUUGACAAAAUAGACGAAUCAAACCAUUUUCAAACUUGAUGGAUAAUGUAUAUACAGAUUUUCCAUCAUUUGAUAAUGCGACUCAUUUUCGUAUUUUAUCUUUUUUUCUCAUAACCUAUGGUAUUCGUGACGACCCAUAUCCAGGCAACGUUGCUUGGAUAAUAGUGAAAUAAUGAAUAAUGCAAAAUAUUUAGUUUACUCGAAUAAAUCCAGGCUAACUAAUUUGUAAUAACACACAAGUACCAUAAAUAUUAACCACUAAAUUAAAAGAAAACUAAAUAAACUACUUUUUUUUUAUAAUUUUUUCCAUUGACCAUAAUUCCAGGCAACGUGGGUAACUUUCCACUAACAGAGUAACCACUCACUAAUAAGAUCGUACAAUAAUCAUCCAUUGCCGCCCGUGAUCGUCGUCGAGGCCAUUUGUGGGGAAGCUCCUCCCUAGCACACACCUCUCCCUAUCCUUGGCUUUUGCGACUUUUUGGUUAUUCACAGACACAGGUUCGUUGUUCGACUCUCCGCCAACAAUUGUUUGAGUCGGCCGAGGAAAGGCUUGAGAAUCUUCAUUUUGCCACACACUAUGAGAAUCUUCAUUUUAAAGAAAGUCCAGCUAGCUGAUCUACGGGAGUAUUUUGUUGUUGCUGCUGGACAACGUUUCUGAGCACUUCCAUUGCUUCACCAACCUUUGCUUUUAGUGCCUCGGGUGAUUCCAGCAAGUGCAGAACUUCAGUUUGGUCCAUCUCAAGAAGCAUUCCAGUAACCUUAGCAACCAUAUCAUGCUCAAUUUGAUCAACAAGUGGGUACAAACUUUCUCUAAGCAUCUACAAAACAAAACAAAAAAUUAUAUUGAAAACUAGAACAAAAAACUUCAAUAAAUAUAUAAAAGACUUGUAAUGUAUAAUAUCCUCUGCAGAUCAGUAGGAGCGUUAGCAAGGGAUGAAUCCAGUGCUGAGAUAGGUAUAGGCUGUGAUAUAGCGGCAUCUCUUCCAGGAAAACCACCCAUGUCAAAUGGAGAAGAAAGCAUGCCACAACUUGUACCAAGAAUCGGCAUAUCAGGUAUGUUUCUUCCAGGUGGGAAACGAUACAUCCUUCCAUCACCCCUUGGAAACAUCUGCAAAACAGAAGACAGAAAGAAUGAAAUCAAGAAUGAACUCUCAUAGAAAACAAGAUAAAGAGUAAAAAAAAUAUAAGCCAGAAAACCUGUUGCUGAACCAUCGGCAUUGGUUGCAUGGGUCUUCCUGGUUCAGUACGCCUACCACCUCCGGGCCUUGGCCAAAAUAGAGCACCUCCAAGCCUCAUACCAAGAAUAAGUGGUUGUUGAUAACCAAAACCAGGCUAAAAAAAUAUCAGCACAUUAGACUCAGAAAAUCUUACAGCAUUGGAAGCCUCUUCAACGGUUGAGAAAGCAACAAAACCAGAGCCUCUACUAACUCCAUUACUAUCGACAAUGAUUCUUAUCGACGGUCUUCUUAAUAUUCUGCUCAUAUUUAGCCUUCAGUUCUUGCUCCCUUUCAGAUUUCUUUAGAGCCUUAUCAACAUACCACUCCUUGUCAACAAAUUUUUUCCCAUUAAGAGAAUCAACAUCAUUUGCAGCAUCUUUAGAAUUAUCGAAAUUGACAAAACCAAAACAUUUCGACUUUCCAUCACCUUCUCUCAUCACAACAGCACUUGUGAUUUGUCCAAAUUCACUAAAAACUUUUUUCAGGUCAUCUUGAGUCAUUGUUCGAGAAAAAUUCUUAACAAAAACAUUGUUAAAUUUCACAUUGUAUGGGGGGGGGUUAUUAUCUCUAUCCUGCUUGCGCAAAAAUGGACCUACAAACACUUUCUUACCAUUAAGUAGUAUUCCAUUUAGCUUUUCUAUAGCAAAUUGUGCAGAAUCUUUUCUUCGAAUUGGGCUUAAUAACUACUGAUAAAUAUAAUCACUACCUGUUAGAGUAACUACUUUGUUAGUAACUACUUUCCUAUAAUAUCUAAAUAAACGGAAGUAGUUAUAGAAUAUUACUAGAGUAAUAAAUUGUAUAAAUAGAUAUGACUAUCAAACAUAAAGGUGAUCGAGUUUGGUUUUCUCAUUUGAUACAUUUCAAUUGACUAUUACGGGAUUGACGAUGUUAAAACAUGCGAGAAUGUCGACAGAAUAUUGGGAUUACGUGUUUAUGACAGCAGUACAUUUAUAUAACAGAAAUCCAACCGUAAUUCUUGAUUACAAGUCACCGUAUGAAGCAUUGUUCAAACAACUCCAGAAUACAACAGAUUGCAUGUUUUUGGAGCAAAGUGCUUCCCAAAUCUUCGUCCGUAUAGAAACAACAAACUCCAAGACAAAUCUGAACCAUGUUUAUUUAUGUGAUAUCCGGUAAAUUCAAAUGGAUAUAUUUGUAUGAGUGCAGGUGACGGAAGAAUUAUCAUAUCACGCGAUGUAAUAUUCAUUGAUGAUAAUUUCUUAUUAAGGAAAUCAGAUGACAAAUGCAACGAUAAGGGAAAUGAACCUGAUGAGGAGAGCUGUUUAAUUGAAGAAUAUGUACCCAAAGAUGGUCAAAAUUUCCAAAGCACGGGCUGCUGCAAAAUAAAAUUGUAAAACAAUUUAAAGAUACUAGAAUAACAAUAACAUUAGUAAAACAUUUUAUAAACAAUGAAAAAAACAAACAAGAAUAAAAAAUAUCUUGGAAUAUAUCUAAAUAUAAAAAAACAAUCAACAAGAAUCGAUUUGAAUGAAAUUAUUACCACACAUAAUUUAUUUGUUAUGAGAACAGAAAAAGGUAAAAAAAAACGAUAAAAUAGUAACAAUUUAAAAAGCAAGUCUGAUUGAAAUAUAUAUGAUAGCAAAAAAUAUAGGUUAUUUUUAAUAAAACGAGUGAGUAUAUGCAAUAAAUAGAUGAUGAAAAAGAAGAGAAUACCCUCCGGAGGAUGGUUGUAAUUGACAUAUAUGCAUACCCAAGAGACCUUCUGUAAGGCUCUACAGACCCUUACAGAAACGACCUAUCUGAGCAGACUGAAUAGGUCAAAAACUUACAAAUCAGUUACUGUGGGAUCUAAAUCUCCGACAUAUAGAGAUGUUAGACUGUGAAAGGGAGCACCAGCAGUAGUUUCAAAGUAUCAAACAGCAAAAUAACCUGGUUUGUAGACUUCAGAAGAGCUUGUAUGGGUUGAAGCAAGCACCUCGAAGUGGUACAAGAAAUUUGAUAGCUAUCUCAGUGUCAUAGGCUUCAAGAGGUGUGACACGGAUUCCUGUUGCUACAGAAAGCAAUUGACCGAUUUCUAUAUUAUUCUUGUCGUUUAUGUUGAUAUGCUCAUUACUAGUGCAAACAUGAAAGAGAUAAAUCAUCUGAAGAAACAACUUUCAAAGGAAUUUGAGAUGAAAGAUCUGGGAGCAGCGAUUUUGGACAUGAGGAUCAUCCGGGAUGAGUCCUCAGGAAUUCUGAAACUGGGUCAACAAAGGUACAUUGAAAAGGUUCUUGAGAAGUUCAGCUUUGCAAACGAAUCGAAUUCGAAUAUCCGGAUAUUAAACGAAUUCGAAUUCGAAUAUGAUGGUAUUCGGUUCGUUUACAUGCCUAGUGUUAUAAAAGAUGACUGAGUUUUGCACUUUCUCCUUCUCCUGAUUUCUUCAAAAAUAAUCAGGUCCCUAAUAUCAUUCCACUUAAGCUUUCCAUGACCAAUAGAGCUGCUCACACUUGUAGCAACUUGUUCCCGACUUUCUGGUAGAGAUGAUAACAAAAUAAGUGCUCUAAGUUCAUCGUCAAUGUUGAUAUCCACAGAGGACAACUGUGUCAACAACACAUUUACUUGAUUCACAUGAUCAACAACAUUUGCUUCUUCACUCAUCUUGAGAUUGAACAAAUUACGCAUCAGAAAAACUGUUUGUUGCUGUAGGCUUUUGAUACAUAUUCGUCAAGGUUUCCAACACCUCUAUUGUCGUGGUGCACUUGGAGAUGUUGAAGGCAACGUUCUUAGCCAAGGUGGGUCUAAUAAGGCUAAUAGCUUUUCUGUCGAGAAGCUUCCAAUCUUCAUCACUCAUAUCUGCCGGUCUUGUGCCCAACAUCGGAGCAUGAAGGUUCUUUGCAUAAAGGUAGUCCUCUAUUUGCAUUUUCCAAUAUGCAAAAUCGCUCCCUUCAAACCUAUCGACCCUAUGCUUUAUUUCAUCUACUAUUUCAAACACAACUACUGCUCUGGAAAGUCUGGAUACACGUCGAUAGGGGGUUUACAAACCCUAACCAGGAAAGCCACGAUCUGAAAAACCAAAAAAAACAAAAAACCACCGACCAAAAAAAAGAAACUGACAGACCAAGAGGAUUCCUGGUCUGAAAAAAAGAAACUAAAUACACCGACCAGGAAGAAGAACUAUGAUCUGAAAGCCAUAGACACGUUGACCAGAUGACCAGGAAUAUCCGCCGACUGGAAGACAGCGGAACGCCGGUCUGGAAAACCUUCCCUUUGAAAAAAAAAUCGAUAUGGAAAUACCCGCCGGCUGGAAGACAGAGGAACGUAGGUCUGGAAACCCUCCCUCAAAAAAAACCUCGAUCUGGAAAUCAGGAAACACGUCAACUUUUGCUCUUCUCUCUUCGAUUUUAAUCCAACCUCGCUCUGAUACCAAUUGAUAGGAUCGAUACCUAAAUCGAACUGAGAAAACCGAGCGAAAACAAACACAAUACACAGAAUUUACGUUGUUCGGCAAUGUGCCUACGUCCACGGGGGUGUCUCCAUUCUUCUUCUUUUUCUCUCAAAAAGAGUACAAGUAAUUAUAAGAUACUUAUAUGGGUGAUUAGGGUUGUCGUUUUGUGUUUGUAACUCCUAAUCUCUAUUACAAGGCUUAAAGCCCAUUUAACAGAAUUAAUCAUAUUUUAAUUCUAAUGCUCAUAAAAGACCUACAUUAAUUCUAAUUAUAAUUAAUGCCCUUCUAAAAAACGUCUCAACACUCUAACUAAUGGAGCAAUUAAUCAAUUGAAAUGAAACAAUACCUCAAGAUAUCGUGGAUGAUAAAAAAUCUGAAAUUCCAACACUUCAGUUUCAGCAAGAAAAGAUCUAUUGGAAUCCACCAAUAGCUCCACUAGAAUCCAUUAGUAGAAUAGGAAAAAUCAGAUAGGAGUCCACCUGAUCCGAUGAAGAAUAAGCAAGAAUCUCAAGAGUUUUUUUGAGAAAAACGUAGGAGAGAGAAAAGUAGAGUAAUUUCACCUUUGGAAAAUAUAUGCUACGGGUUUGAGUCCACUCCUAUUUAUACUCCCAAUGUAUAAGAGUGGAAAUUCCACAUUGGGAGUUGGACAGUCCAAUUAAAGAGACUGAGCCAUGGCUCGAGUUAACUCGAGCCAAUGACCUUGUAGAUCAUUGUAAUGGGCUACAUCACUAACAAAUUCAACAUUUCCAACACCUUCAAUAUCUCAGAUCUACAAACCUACUAUCCACUGGAUGAAGGACCGGUUUACGGACAUUCGAGGUCGACUGUCGCCGCAGUGGAGGCGCUUGAUGAAGGAGCUGUAGGGAAGUCAACGCAGCCCACGGCGUAACAGCAAAUGGGUAAGUUAGGAACGACUAACUGACCGAACGGCGACGUCAUUAAUUAUAAAAAUUGGAGGCUGCAAGGACUUCGGGGAAGAUGUUUUGCUUACCUCAAGGUACUACCUCUUCACUGCUCUCUCAGUUUCGUUCCUUCGUCUUCUCUAAUUUCUAUGGUGGAAUCCAGAUUCUAUCAACCGGUGGAUUCCGGCUCGGCGACGUGAUCUGUUCGGCGUCUCUCUAUCGCAACUCUGUCAAGUUGCCCGUGUGUAAAUCUGCAAUUACAUAUUCUAUGUUAAAUGAGUCUUGGGCCAUUAUGAUCCAUUACAAUUAAAUAGGUUUAAUUCUAUGUUAAAUGAGUCUUGGGCCUUGUAAUGAUGAUUAGGAGUUGCAAACAUAAAUCGGCAACACUAAUCAUCAUUAUAAAUAUCUUUUAAUGCUUCUAUUCUGUUGUGAGGGAGAAAGAAGAAUAGCUGAGGCACCCCGUGGACUUAAGCACAUUGUUGAACCACGUAAAUCUGUGUUUUCUUUUUCUCAAUUCGAUUUUAGGGUUCUUCUUAUCAUACUUCCAUUCAUCUGGACAAGUUGAAUUCCAGAGAGAAGUCCCAGCGAAACAGAGCCAGAGCAACUGAAGAGUUUGAGUUGAUUUUCGCGUGCAGCUUUCAACUUGACGCUUGUUUAAAGCGUCUUCGAGCAUUGAUCGGAUUCCACCCUCAUCAGUUAUGAUGGGAUAAAAAAUAUCAUUAUUUACUACGAAAAGAUGAUAAAUACCAUUCAGAUCCAAUAUACAAAAAAUGGACAGGGCCAUGGUUCCGGAUGCACGCGCAUAUGCGCAGAUGCGACCUCCCUUAGCCGGAUCCGGUCAUGAAUUAAAAAAAAACUGGCCAAAAAAAAAAAAUUUAAGUCCGAAAAAAUAUUUUAAGGUCAAAAAUUUAUUUUUAUGCCAAAAAUUUAUACAUUGGUCCAUGAAAAGAGCUAUAUUAUUUUUAAUAUAAGCUCCUCCCACUCUUAAGACUUCAUAUUUGUUUUAGACAAAAUGAAUCUUUAUUUAUAAACCAACCUUCUUUGUGUUUUUUGAAUUCUAUCGAUGUUAGACUAAAAAAGUGUAGUUAAAUAAAUUAUAAAGUAUUCUUUGUACUUUUUGAAUUCUAUCAAUGUGGUAUAAAUAAAGUGUACAUGUAUUAAAUAAAUUAUAGUGUUAUAUGCAUUUUUUAUAUCCUAUCAAUAUAGGACUAAAUAAAAUAUACAUGUGUUAAAUAAAUUAUAGUGUUACAAUGAAUUAUAGGGUGUUAUAAUAAUUAAUAAAUAUAUGUAUUAUAAUAAUUUUUCUAUCCUGAAAGUCUCCCCAAAGCAGAGGGAGGCUUAGGGGUCAGAAACCUAGGAAUCAUAGUACCUGCCAUAAAUAUCAAAAGAAUUACAAACUUCUGGACAAAAUCAGACUCAAUCUUUAACACAUGGAUCCAAGAGAGAUACAUAAAAGGACGAGCCCUCACAAACAUCCUUGUCAGGACCAUCAUUGACUCCCAUUUUUGGAAAUAUGUAAUGGCAGACAACCCCAAUGCUAUUGCACUAGUUGAAUGUAGGGCCAAUUAUACAACCCUUUGGAAAAAUGGAAACCCAAUCAGAAAACUUGCAGCAAUAUGUGAGGAGAUCAGGGAUAAAAUCCAUAAGGAUAGCCUAGCUGAAGGAAUAUGGACUCAUAAACCCACAAAGUUUUCCAUUUUCUAUGGAGGAUAAAGUGGGCACACCUAAACACCUUUAUCAAACUAAAUGGAUGGGGUAUGCCAAUCCAGCCCACAUGUUUAUUAUGCAAUAUGGAGAAUGAAUCCAGAGCCCACCUAUUUUUCAAUUUUUCCUACUCUAGAGCCAUCCUGCUUCCCCUGGUUAAAAACUUAAAUAACAUUUUCUGGAAGAUACUAAAAAUACCCACUCCCACCACCACUCACCCAGAUAUUAGAAUAGGGGACCUAACCGAGGAAUGUCAAAGGCUGCCACAUCACUCUCCAAUUUGGGGAAGCACCCAUGAAGGAAGAUAGUUCAGAUGAUGAGUAUGAUGAUGAAGCAUCUCCAGAUGAAGGAGAGAGAUUUUCAUGCAUAAUCCAGAGAAUAUGCCACACACCUCAACAAGAGCUGCAAAGUCAGAGGAAUAAUUUAUUCAGGACUAGAGGCACAAUUAAAGGAAGGGUCUGUGAUAUUAUAAUAGAUAACGGAUCAACUGGUAAUCUGAUUUCGUGGAAUGCAGUGAAAAAAUUAGGUUUAGAGGUGGAGGAACACAAAAACCCUUACAGUGUAUGGUGGAUUCACAGUGGGAAUUCAGUAGCUGUGGAUAAAAGUUACAGUAUUUGCAUUUUCCGUACUUUAAUAGAGAUCAAAACACAUUCUAUGAUUGAGAUCUGCUGAGUUACUAAUAUUGCAUUUUGAUUUAUUGUGUCAUUUGAAUGAAAGCUGACAGUAUAACAAAAGUAAAAUACAUGUGACCAUGGGGAUAUCAACGGGAAGUAAUGAUGUUUAAUCAUAAUGGCUACAACUGUAUUAAAAAAAUCGUUAUCUAAUAUGGAACAAUGAUAGAUUCAGUUGGUGUUCAAUAUACAAAAAAUGAACAGCUUGUGUGGACUGAUAAAAUUGAUAAAAAAAGCAGCAAUAACAACCAUAAAGAGGCCAGAUCUCAUCAAUAUUGUCUUUUAUUAUAUCACUGGGCACUAAAAGUAUGAAUUAUUGUUUCAUAAAUCAAUUUAAUAGGGAUGAAAAUAUUUAUGUAUGCUAUAGAAGUUAGGAGUUCGAUAUAUAGAAGUAUAGAAUUUAUGUAUUGACAUGAUCACAUGAAUCCAUGGCUAUAUAUGCCAGGGUCAGCCAUUAAAGAAAGCAACAAUGUUUUACAUAUUCUGUUAUGCUUUUUAGCCUUACUACCUGUAUUUAAUUUCUCUAUAAUUCUACUCGAGCUAUGCCCACCCAUUUUAUUUUCAGCAAUGAAAUUUUCAAUUCAUUGGAAAAAUAUGAUCACAUGAAGAUACCAAUUAUUUAUCAUUAACAAAAUCAUUUUUUCUUUCAAACAUUUUCUCAUACAGUUAAAACUUUUCAAUAAAAUAAGGACCAAACCUAGCUUACAUGAUAGAUUGGGAGAUGAGCAAUUGAGCAUGGUCACAAACUCACCACCUUGAUCCUAUUGAUUGAAGCCGCAAAAUAUAGAAUUCCCAUUAAAUUAUAUCAUUGACCUUAAUCCGAUUCAGAUUGGGUUUUGGUUAUCAAAAUAGAUUGUAACAUCCUUAGUAUUAGUGCAAAGAAACGAUUAAAGUUAAUUACAUAUAUUUGUUAGUUGUUGACUUUAUAGAUAUGCUCUAAUCUCUAUCAAAAAAUUAAAGGGUAUAGAGGUGUAAUAACAUUAUGUGUGUGUGUUUACACUGGCAAUAACAACCUCAUUUGUUAUUCUAAUUUCUAGAUCUAGCCCACCAUCAAUCUACCUUCACUCAUCAACACUUAGAGAUAUGCUUGCUUGGCGAGUUCUUUCGGAGGUCUGAGGAUGAAUUGCUUGGAUCUUCCGUUUCUCUCACACCAGAUGUUUCAAGCUAGUGAGCCAAGAAUUGCUCAUUACAACUCCAACAGCUAGAGUGUUUGCUGAACUUUUCUAUCCCCUAUUCCUCUCAAUGAUGUCCUCAUUACUGUCCUGUGGGGUAGGAUGUUAAGUUUUAUCCAAAUAGUUGAAUAUAGAUGGUUUUGGAUGAGGUUGAUAUAGGAUCUUCCGAACAUAAGACACAUGAUAAUCCUCCUACUCGAACCUUAAAUAACGGUGAUUCCUUAUCCGAAAAAAUCAUCUCGAAAUAUCUGAAACCAUCUCGGGUUAUGUCUUGUGAUAAAAACGUACUAUGUUUGAUAUGUCAGGUAUUUUGAUUUCUUCAUUAACCUCAAAUGAAUAUCUACAUGAGUGUUUAUAUCAAUUGAAAAACAAGUAAUGACUAACAAAACUAACUAUCUAUUUAGUUAACUAACUAAUAUAAGCAGUGAAUCAAUCUUAUUUUCUCUGAACCAAUGAAUGAAUCACUAAUCUUAAUUGACAUUAUCUUCAGGAAUAUUUUGAGAUGAUGAGAAGGUCGGAAGAUUGUAUUGUGACCAUAAGUUCCACUUCAGUUGCAUAAAGAGUUGGUUGAUUAUAUAGAAUAAAUGUGUCCCAACUGUAGAGCGAGUGCGAUCGGCCUUUUAAAUUCACUGUGAGGUUUAUGUUAAAAGAUAGAGUAGUGAAACAUGGUUUUUUCGAAUGUACUUGACUUUAUUGACCAAUCGAUGACGAUCUUAGAUGAUCGUACGAAAAUUGUAUUCAAUCGAUCAGUAUUUUGCAUGAAUGUAAAUGAUGAUUAUAAUGUUCAUUUAUAGUGAUGAGUAAGUUACACAACAACAACUAUUUAGUUAGUUAUGUUACUUAUGUAAAUGGAUUAGCUUUGCCAAAUCCGUAACACCCUCUCUCAAGUGGAGCGGGUGUUCUGUGGAACUCUGAUACCAUAUUGACUAAUCGAUGAUGAUCGGAGAUAAUCGUAGAUUGUAUUCAAUCAAUCUGUAUUUUGCAUGAAUGUAAAUGAUGAUUAGAAUGUUUACUUAUAGUGAUGAGUGAUGAGUUAGUUACACUAUAAUAACUAUUUAGCGAGUUAUGUUACUUAUGUAAACGCAUUAGCUUUGCCUAAUCUGUAACAAACUUAAUUCUUCUCUUUAGAUUAACCUGUGAGUUUAAUUAGGAUUGUAAUAGUAGUGAUUAGUAUAAGCUAAAUUGCAUGUAUUGAUUGUCUAAAGUUUGUAAAUUUUCUAUGAAGUCUUUUACUGAUUGUGAAUUCUGAUAAAUUCUUUUUAGUGGAAGAGAAAUUUAUUUUGAAUCUUUUUUAUAAUUAAACUCGUCUCAUAAAAUGUUGACGUCGAGAUUAAUUAGCAAAAUCUAAUGUAUUGUAUUUAAAUCGCCGUACUGUUCUCAGACCACUGUAAUGUACUGAAGUUCCAUCGAGCCGGCAGACCUGCUUUCACCAUAUCGACGGUCAGGUAAGGUUAAUUACUUAAUUAAUACUCUAUUUCUUUUGUUAUAGUUGGUUUUAGACGAAAUCGAUGCAGAAUCAAUCGGAUUGAUGAUACCCAAUCGCUCUUCUACUCCAACCUCAAUUUUAGACUAGCUUUAAAGUUUUUCCUAAUGACUUAACUUUCAUAAAUACAAUUUUUUUGACCAUGAAACUAUAAAAGUGAAAGGUUGGUUGAUUAAUGCUGUUUUUUUUUUCUUAUAUCAUAGAUCAUAGAUGGUUUUGGAUGAGGUUGAUAUAGGAUCUUCCGAAUAUACGAUACAUGAUAAUCCUCCUACUCGAACUUUAAAUAACGGUGAUUCCUUAUGAUUCCUUAUCAGAAUAAAUCAUCUCGAAAUAUCUGAAACCAUCUCGAGUUAUGUCUUGUGAUAAAAACGUACUAUCUUCGAUAUGUCAGGUAUUUUGAUUUAUUCAUUAACCUCAAACGAAUGUUUACAUGAGUAUUUAUAGCAAAUGAAAAACAAGUAAUGACUAACAAAACUAACGAUCUAUUUAGUUAACUAACUAAUACAAGCAAUGACAGUUAUUUUCUCUGAACCAAUGAAUGAAUCUCUAAUCUUAAUUGACAUUUUUUUCAGGAAUCUUUUGAAGAUGAUGAGAAUGUCGGCAGAUUGGAUUGUGACCAUGAGUUCCACUUCAGUUGCAUAAAGAGUUGGUUGAUUAUACAGAAUAAAUGUCCCAACUGUAGAUCAAGUGCGAUCGGUCUUUUAAAUUCACUGUAAGGUUUAUGUUAAAAGAUAGAGCUGUGAAGCAUGGUUCUUUCGAAUGUAAAUGACUUUAUUGACCAAUCUAUGAUGAUCUGAGAUUAUCAGAGAUGAUCAUACAUAGAUUGCAUUCAAUCAAUCUGUAUUUUGUAUGAAUGUAAAUGAUGAUCACAAUGUUUAUUUAUAGUGAUUAGUGAUGAGUUAGUUACACUACAACAACUAUUUAGUUAGUUAUGUUACUUAUGUAAAUAGAUUAGCUUUGCCUAAUCCGUAACACCCCCCUUCAAGUGGAGCGGGAGUUCUGUGGAACUCUGAUACCAUAUUGACCAAUCGAUGAUGAUCGGAGAUGAUCGUAGAUUUUAUUCAAUCAAUCUGUAUUUUGCAUGAAUGUAAAUGAUGAUUACAAUGUUUAUUUAUAGUGAUGAGUUAAUUACACUACAAUAACUAUUUAGUUAGUUAUCUUACUUAUGUAAAUGGAUUAGUUUUGCCUAAUCCGUAACAGACUUAAUUCUUCUUUUUAGAUUAACUUGUGAUUUAAUCAGGGUUGUAAUAGUAGUGAUUAGUAUAAGCUAAAUUGCAUGUACGGAUUGUCUAAAGUUUGUAAAUUUUCUAUGAAGUCAUUUGCUGAUUGUGAAUUCUUAUAAAAUUCUUUUUAGUGGAAGAGAAAUUUAUUUUUAAUCUUCUUUAUAAUUAAACUCGUCUCAUAAAAUGUUGACGUCAGGAUUAUUUAGCAAAAUCUAAUGUAUUGUAUUUAAAUCGUCGUACUGUUCUCAGACCACUGUAUUGUACUGAGGUUCCAUCGAGCCGACAGACCUCCUUUCACCAUAUCGGUGGUCAUGUAAGGUUAAUUAUUACUUAAUUAAUACUCUAUUUCUUUUGUUAUAGCUGGUUUUAGACGAAAUUGAUGCAUAAUCAAUCGGAUUGAUGGUACCCAAUCACUCUUCUACUCCAACCUCCAUUUUAGACUAGCUUUAAAGUUUUUCCUAAUGACUUAACUUUCAUAAAUACAAUUUUUGUGACCAUGAAACUAUAAAAGUGAAAGGUUGGUUGAUUAAUCCUGUUUUUUUUUCUUAUAUCACAGAUAGUUUUGGAUGAGGAUGAUAUAGGAUCUUCCGAACAUACGAGACAUGAUAAUUCUUCUACUCGAACCUUAAAUAACGGAAAUUCUGUAUCAGAAAAAAUCAUCUCAAAAUAUCUGAAACCAUCUCAAGUUAUGUCUUGUGAUAAAAACGUACUAUGUUCGAUAUGUCAUGUAUUUUGAUUUAUUCAUUAACCUCAAAUGAAUGUUUACAUAAUUAUUUAUAGCAAUUGAAAAACAAGUAAUGACUAACAAAACUAACUAUCUAUUUAGUUAACUACCUAAUACAAGCAAUGACAGUUAUUUUCACUGAACCAAUGAAUGAAUCUCUAAUCUUAAUUGACAUUUUUUUCAGGAAUCUUUUGAAGAUGAUGAGAAUGUCGGCAGAUUGGAUUGUGACCAUGAGUUCCACUUCAGUUGCAUAAAGAGUUGGUUGAUUAUACAGAAUAAAUGUCCCAACUGUAGAUCAAGUGCGAUCGGACUUUUAAAUUCACUGUAAGGUUUAUGUUAAAAGAUAGAGCAGUGAAGCAUGGUUCUUUCGAAUGUACUUGACUUUAUUGACCAAUCUAUGAUGAUCUGAGAUGAUCAGAGAUGAUCGUACAUAGAUUGCAUUCAAUCAAUUUGUAUUUUGUAUGAAUGUAAAUGAUGAUUAUAAUGUUUAUUUAUAGUGAUUAGUGAUGAGUUAGUUACACUACAACAACUAUUUAGUUAGUUAUGUUACUUAUGUAAAUAGAUUAGCUUUGCCUAAUCCGUAACACCCCCCUUCAAGUGGAGCGGGAGUUCUGUGGAGCUCUGAUACCAUAUUGACCAAUCGAUGAUGAUUGGAGAUGAUCGUAGAUUUUAUUCAAUCAAUCUGUAUUUUGCAUGAAUGUAAAUGAUGAUUACAAUGUUUAUUUAUAGUGAUGAGUAAUAAGUUAGUUACACAACCAUAACUAUUUAGUUAGUUAUCUUACUUAUGUUAAUGGAUUAGCUUUGCCUAAUCCGUAACAGCCUUAAGUCUUCUCUUUAGAUUAACCUGUGAUUUAAUCAGGGUUGUAAUAGUAGUGAUUAGUAAAAGCUAAAUUGCAUGUACCGAUUGUCCAAAGUUUGUAAAUUUUCUAUGAAGUCAUUUCCUGAUUGUAAAUUCUCAUAAAAUUCUUUUUAGUGGAAGAGAAAUUUAUUUUUAAUCUUCUUUAUAAUUAAACUCGUCUCAUAAAAUGUUGACGUCAGGAUUAUUUAGCAAAAUCUAAUGUAUUGUAUUUAAAUCGUCGUACUGUUCUCAGGCCACUGUAUUAUACUGAGGUUCCAUCGAGCCGGCAGACCUCCUUUCACCAUAUCGGUGGUCAUGUAAGGUUAAUUAUUACUGAAUUAAUACUCUAUUUCUUUUGUUAUAGCUGGUUUUAGACGAAAUUGAUGCAUAAUCAAUCGGAUUGAUGGUACCCAAUCACUCUUCUACUCCAAUCUUCAUUUUAGACUGGCUUUAAAGUUUUUCCUAAUGACUUAACUUUCAUAAAUACAAUUUUUUUGACCAUGAAACUAUAAAAGUGAAAGGUUGGUUGAUUAAUCCUGUUUUUUUUUCUUAUAUCACAGAUAGUUUUGGAUGAGNNNNNNNNNNNNNNNNNNNNNNNNNNNNNNNNNNNNNNNNNNNNNNNNNNNNNNNNNNNNNNNNNNNNNNNNNNNNNNNNNNNNNNNNNNNNNNNNNNNNGGUGAUUCCUUAUGAUUCCUUAUCAGAAUAAAUCAUCUCGAAAUAUCUGAAACCAUCUCGAGUUAUGUCUUGUGAUAAAAACGUACUAUCUUCGAUAUGUCAGGUAUUUUGAUUUAUUCAUUAACCUCAAACGAAUGUUUACAUGAGUAUUUAUAGCAAUUGAUAAACAAGAAGUGACUAACAAAACUGACUAUCUAUUUAGUUAACUAACUAAUACAAGCAAUGACAGUUAUUUUCUCUGAACCAAUGAAUGAAUCUCUAAUCUUAAUUGACAUUUUUUUCAGGAAUCUUUUGAAGAUGAUGAGAAUGUCGGCAGAUUGGAUUAUGACCAUGAGUUCCACUUCAGCUGCAUAAAAAGUUGGUUGAUUAUACAGAAUAAAUGUCCCAACUGUAGAUCAAGUGCGAUCUGACUUUAAAAAUCACUGUAAGGUUUAUGUUAAAAGAUAGAGCAGUGAAGCAUGGUUCUUUCGAAUGUACUUGACUUUAUUGACCAAUCUAUGAUGAUCUGAGAUGAUCAGAGAUGAUCGUACAUAGAUUGCAUUCAAUCAAUUUGUAUUUUGUAUGAAUGUAAAUGAUGAUUAUAAUGUUUAUUUAUAGUGAUUAGUGAUGAGUUAGUUACACUACAACAACUAUUUAGUUAGUUAUGUUACUUAUGUAAAUAGAUUAGCUUUGCCUAAUCCGUAACACCCCCCUUCAAGUGGAGCGGGAGUUCUGUGGAGCUCUGAUACCAUAUUGACCAAUCGAUGAUGAUUGGAGAUGAUCGUAGAUUUUAUUCAAUCAAUCUGUAUUUUGCAUGAAUGUAAAUGAUGAUUACAAUGUUUAUUUAUAGUGAUGAGUGAUAAGUUAGUUACACAACAAUAACUAUUUAGUUAGUUAUCUUACUUAUGUUAAUGGAUUAGCUUUACCUAAAUUAAACCCGUCUCAUAAAAUGUUGACGUCGGGAUUAUUUAGCAAAAUCUAAUGUAUUGUAUUUAAAUCGUCGUACUGUUCUCAAACCACUGUAUUGUACUGAGGUUCCAUCGAGCCGGCAGAUCUCCUUUCACCAUAUCGGCGGUCAUGUAAGGUUAAUUACUUAAUUAAUACUCUAUUUCUUUUGUUAUAGCUGGUUUUAGACGAAAUCGAUCCAGAAUCAAUCGGAUUGAUGGUACCCAAUCACUCUUCUACUCCAACCUCUAUUUUAGACUGGCUUGUAAGUUUUUCCUAAUGUCUUAACUUUCAUAAAUACAAUUUUUCUGACCAUGAAAAUAUAAGAGUGAAAGGUUGGUUGAUUAAUGUUGUUUUCUUCUUCUUAUAUCACAGAUGGUUUUCGAUGAGGUUGAUAUAGGAUCUUCCGAACAUACCACACAUGAUAAUCCUCCUACUCGAACCAUAAAUAACGGAGAUUCUGAUCCGAAAAAAUCAUCUCGAAAUAUCUGAAACCAUCUCGAGUUAUGUCUUGUGAUAAAAACGUACUAUGUUCGAUAUGUCAGGUAUUUUGAUUUAUUUAUUAACCACAAAUGAAUGUAUACAUGAGUGUUUAUAGCAAUUGAUAAACAAGUAGUGACUAACAAACCUGACUAUCUAUUUAGUUAACUAACUAAUACAAGCAAUGACAGUUAUUUUCUCUGAACCAAUGAAUGAAUCUCUAAUCUUAAUUGACAUUUUUUUCAGGAAUCUUUUGAAGAUGAUGAGAAUGUCGGCAGAUUGGAUUAUGACCAUGAGUUCCACUUCAGCUGCAUAAAAAGUUGGUUGAUUAUACAGAAUAAAUGUCCCAACUGUAGAUCAAGUGCGAUCUGACUUUAAAAAUCACUGUAAGGUUUAUGUUAAAAGAUAGAGCAGUGAAGCAUGGUUCUUUCGAAUGUACUUGACUUUAUUGACCAAUCGACGAUGAUCUGAGAUGAUCAGAGAUGAUCGUACAUAGAUUGCAUUCAAUCAAUUUGUAUUUUGUAUGAAUGUAAAUGAUGAUUACAAUGUUUAUUUAUAUCGAUUAGUGAUGAGUUAGUUACACUACAACAACUAUUUAAUUAGUUAUGUUACUUAUGUAAAUAGAUUAGCUUUGCCUAAUCCGUAACACCCCCCUUCAAGUGGAGCGGGAGUUCUGUGGAGCUCUGAUACCAUAUUGACCAAUCGAUGAUGAUCGGAGAUGAUCGGAGAUUUUAUUCAAUCAAUUUGUAUUUUGCAUGAAUGUAAAUGAUGAUUACAAUGUUUAUUUAUAGUGAUGAGUGAUAAGUUAGUUACACAACAAUAACUAUUUAGUUAGUUAUCUUACUUAUGUUAAUGGAUUAGCUUUACCUAAAUUAAACUCGUCUCAUAAAAUGUUGACGUCGGGAUUAUUUAGCAAAAUCUAAUGUAUUGUAUUUAAAUCGUCGUACUGUUCUCAAACCACUGUAUUGUACUGAGGUUCCAUCGAGCCGGCAGAUCUCCUUUCACCAUAUCGGCGGUCAUGUAAGGUUAAUUACUUAAUUAAUACUCUAUUUCUUUUGUUAUAGCUGGUUUUAGACGAAAUCGAUCCAUAAUCAAUUGGAUUGAUGGUACCAAAUCACUCUUCUACUCCAACCUCCAUUUUAGACUGGCUUAUAAGUUUUUCCUAAUGUCUUAACAUUUAUAUAUACAAUUUUUUUGACCAUGAAAAUAUAAAAGUGAAAGGUUGGUUGAUUAAUGUUAUUUUUUUCUUAUAUCACAGAUGGUUUUGGAUGAGGUUGAUAUAGGAUCUUCCGAACAUACGACACAUGAUAAUCGUCCUACUCGAACCUUAAAUAACGGAGAUUCUGUAUCCGAAAAAAUCAUCUCAAAAUAUCUGAAACCAUCUCGAGUUAUGUCUUGUGAUAAAAACGUACUAUGUUCGAUAUGUCAGGUAUUUUGAUUUAUUCAUUAACCUCAAAUGAAUGUUUACAUGAGUGUUUAUAGCAAUUGAUAAACAAGUAGUGACUAACAAAACUGACUAUCUAUUUAGUUAACUAACUAAUACUGUUAUUUUUUCUGAUUCAAUGAAUGGAUCUCUAAUCUUAAUUGACAUUUUUUUCAGGAAUCUUUUGAAGAUGAUGAGAAUGUCGGCAGAUUGGAUUGUGACCAUGAGUUCCACUUCAGUUGCAUAAAGAGUUGGUUGAUUAUACAGAAUAAAUGUCCCAACUGUAGAUCAAGUGCGAUCGGUCUUUUAAAUUCACUGUAAGGUUUAUGUUAAAAGAUAGAGCAGUGAAACAUGGUUAUUUCGAAUGUAUUUGACUUUAUUGACCAAUAGAGAUGAUCGUACGUAGAUUUUAUUCAAUCAAUCUUUAUUUUGCAUGAAUGUAAAUGAUAAUUACAAUGUUUAUUUAUAGUGAUGAGUUAGUUACACUACAAUAACUAUUUAGUUAGUUAUGUUACUUAUGUUAAUGGAUUAGCUUUGCCUAAUCCGUAACAGCCUUAAUUCUUCUCUUUAGAUUAACCUGUGAUUUAAUCUGGGUUGUAAUAGUAGUGAUUAGUAUAAGCUAAAUUGCAUGUACCGAUUGUCUAAAGUUUGUAAAUUUUUUAUGAAGUCAUUUUCUGAUUGUAAAUUCUCAUAAAAUUCUUUUUAGUGGAAGAGAAAUUUAUUUUUAAUCUUCUUUAUAAUUAAACUCGUCUCAUAAAAUGUUGACGUCAGGAUUAUUUAGCAAAAUCUAAUGUAUUGUAUUUAAAUCGUCGUACUGUUCUCAAACCACUGUAUUAUACUGAGGUUCCAUCGAGCCGGCAGACCUCCUUUCACCAUAUCGGCGGUCAUGUAAGGUUAAUUACUUAAUUAAUACUCUAUUUCUUUUGUUAUAGCUGGUUUUAGACGAAAUCGAUCCAGAAUCAAUCGGAUUGAUGGUACCCAAUUACUCUUCUACUCCAACCUCUAUUUUAGACUGGCUUGUAAGUUUUUCCUAAUGUCUUAACUUUCAUAAAUACAAUUUUUCUGACCAUGAAAAUAUAAGUGUGAAAGGUUGGUUGAUUAAUGCUGUUUUCUUCUUCUUAUAUCACAGAUGGUUUUCGAUGAGGUUGAUAUAGGAUCUUCCGAACAUACGACACAUGAUAAUCCUCCUACUCGAACCAUAAAUAACGGAGAUUCUGAUCCGAAAAAAUCAUCUCGAAAUAUCUGAAACCAUCUCGAGUUAUGUCUUGUGAUAAAAACGUACUAUGUUCGAUAUGUCAGGUAUUUCGAUUUAUUUAUUAACCACAAAUGAAUGUAUACAUGAGUGUUUAUAGCAAUUGAUAAACAAGUAGUGACUAACAAAACUGACUAUCUAUUUAGUUAACUAACAAUGACAGUUAUUUUCUCUGAACCAAUGAAUGAAUCUCUAAUCUUAAUUGACAUUUUUUUCAGGAAUCUUUUGAAGAUGAUGAGAAUGUCGGCAGAUUGGAUUAUGACCAUGAGUUCCACUUCAGCUGCAUAAAAAGUUGGUUGAUUAUACAGAAUAAAUGUUCCAACUGUAGAUCAAGUGUGAUUUGUCUUUUAGAUUCACUGUAAGGUUUAUGUUAAAAGAUAGAGCAAUGAAAUAUGGUUCUUUCGAAUGUACUUGACUUUAUCGACCAAUCGAUGAUGAUCUGAGAUGAUCUGAGAUGAUCAGAGAUGAUCAUACAAUGAUUGCAUUCAAUCAAUUUGUAUUUUGUAUGAAUGUAAAUUAUGAUUACAAUGUUAUUUAUAGUGAUGAGUAAUGAGUUAUUUACACUACGAUAAUUAUUUAGUUAAUUAUGUUACUUAUGUAAAUGGAUUAGCUUUCCCUAAUCCGUAACACCCCACCUCAAGUGGAGCGGGAGUUUUGUGGAGCUCUGAUACCAUAUGGACCAAUCGAUGAUGAUCGAAGAUGAUCGUAGAUUGUAUUCAAUAAUCUGUAUUUUGCAUGAAUGUAAAUGAUGAUUACAAUGUUUAUUUAUAGUGAUGAGUUAGUUACACUACAAUAACUAUUUAGUUAGUUAUGUUACUUAUGUAAAUGGAUUCGCUUUGCCUAAUCCGUAACAGACUUAAUUCUUCUUUUUAGAUUACUCUGUGAUUUAAUCAGGGUUGUAAUAUUAAUGAUUACUAUAAGCUAAAUUGCAUGUACUGAUUGUCUAAAGUUUGUAAAUUUUCUACGAAGUCAUUUGAUGAUUGUGAAUUCUCAUAAAAUUCUUUUUAGUGGAAAAGAAAUUUAUUUUUAAUCUUCUUUAUAAUCAAACUCGUCUCAUAAAAUGUAGACGUCAGGAUUAUUUAGCAAUAUCUAAUGUAUUGUAUUUAAAUCGUCGUACUGUUCUCAUACCACUGUAUUGUACUGAGAUUCCAUCGAGCCGGCAGACCUCCUUUCACCAUAUCGGUGGUCAUGUAAGGUUUAUUAUUAUUUAAUUAAUACUCUAUUUCUUUUGUUAUAGAUGGUUUUAGACGAAAUUGAUGCAUAGUCAAUCGGAUUGAUGGUACCAAAUCACUCUUCUACUCCAACCUCCAUUUUAGACUGGCUUUAAAGUUUUUCCUAAUGACUUAACUUUCAUAAAUACAAUUUUUUUGACCAUGAAACUAUAAAAGUGAAAGGUUGGUUGAUUAAUGCUGUUUUUUUUUCUUAUAUGACAUAUGAUUUUGGAUAAGGUUGAUAUAGGAUCUUCCGAACAUACGACACAUGAUAAUCCUCCUUCUCGAACCUUAAAUAACGGAGAUUCUUUAUCCGAAAAAAUCAUCUCAAAAUAUCUGAAACCAUCUCGAGUUAUGUCUUGUGAUAAAAACGUACUAUGUUCGAUAUGCCAAGUAUUUUGAUUUAUUCAUUAACCUCAAAUGAAUGUUUACAUGAGUUUUUAUAGCAAUUGAAAAACAAGUAAUGACUAACAAAACUAACUAUCUAUUUAGUUAACUAACUAAUACAAGCAAUGCCAGUUAUUUUCUCUAAACCAAUGAAUGAAUUUCUAAUCUUAAUUGACAUUUUUUUCUGGAAUCUUUUGAAGAUGAUGAGAAUGUCGGCAGAUUGGAUUGUGACCAUGAGUUCCACUUCAGUUGCAUAAAGAGUUGGUUGAUUAUACAGAAUAAAUGUCCCAACUGUAGAUCAAGUGCGAUCGGCCUUUUAAAUUCACUGUAAGGUUUAUGUUAAAAGAUAGAGCAGUGAAGCAUGGUUCUUUCGAAUGUACUUGACUUUAUUGACCAAUCGAUGAUGAUCUGAGAUGAUCAGAGAUGAUCGUACAUAGAUUGCAUUCAAUCAAUCUGUAUUUUGUAUGAAUGUAAAUAAUGAUUACAAUGUUUAUUUAUAGUGAUUAAUGAUGAGUUAGUUACACUACAACAACUAUUUAGUUAGUUAUGUUACUUAUUGGUGAUACAGUAUCUCGAACCCGGUCACAACCUACCAGCAACUAGAAGUUCGGAUAGCCUAAGAUGAGUUAAGGUACCUAUUCUAGGGUUGGGGAGGUCCGAAGUUGAACCCUUGGAAAAUCGACUUUCCUGAGGAUCGACUUCCCUGGGAUCGACUUCUGAAUAAAGUCGAUCACCAGGAAAGUCGACCCCCAGAAAGUCGAUCUCUGGAAAGUCGAUCUCGGGCCCCAAUCUGAUCAGUUAGGCAGUUAGGCGGUUACUUCCCAAAUGACCAGAUCACCCCCACGAGAACCCCUAUAAAUAGGAGGCAUCCCCACUCAUUAAAGGCAGGUCAUUUGGAGCGAAAGGAUUCCUAGCGAAGCAGAGCUCUGCGCACUUGAGUUCCGGUCCGGUUUCCCGCUUGGCGCUUGCUUGCGCGUCUUGGAGUGUUGGUCGGGUUUCACCCCUAUCACUUAUGUAAAUGGAUUUGAUUUGCCUAAUUCGUAACACCCCCCCUCAAGUGGAGCGGAAGUGAUACCAUAUUGACCAAUCGAUGAUGAUCGGAGAUGAUCGUAGAUUGUAUUCUAUCAAUCCCGACUUAACCACCAGGAGUAAGUUAAGCCGGGCAGGUAAGUGCUUAAUUUUAUCCAAUAAGUAAAUUAUUUAGCCCUACUUAAUCUCAAAAAUAAUUAAUUACAGUAAAUAGAACAAAUAAAAUUUGAGCACGUGGGUCUAUGGGUUUAAACAAAACAAAAAGGAGAUUAUUGCACGUGGGUCUGUGGGUAUUUAGGAAAUUGCAUUGAAACACGCACGUGGGCUAGAACUUAAGUAGGCUGGAAUUUUAAAAUUAAUCCUAGGUAAUAUAAAAUACAAUGCAACGUGGGCUUAAAUAUUUUAAUAUGAUGAUAAUUUGCAUGAAAAAUUCCAAGAUAUUUUUGUUUUUUGGAAAGGGUACUUUAAUAUAAAAGAAAUAGUAUUUUAACAUUUUUAAGACUAAUUAAUCUAAAUCUAACUAAUUAAUUUACCCGCCGGCAGUUAGCCGUUACUAAAUCCCUUCAUCCGUCGCAGUGGAUGAGUAUCAGGAGGGCAUCCCAUUGGAGCAAUGUCCUCCCUUCACUUGGUGUCCGGUGCCUCCUCUUGUAGUUUCUUUCAUCGAAGCCAAUUCCGACCAUGUCGAUGCAAAAUCGGAGGACUACCUGCUUGGGCUCGACCUUGUUCUUGAUUCUUUGGAGGUUACGUUGCUUCCACACUUGGAAUAGAAUCACACCCAACAUUGACCAUUGCAGCCCCCAUGCUGGAGUUCAUGGUAUGAUUUUAUUCAGCACGCCGUCAGCCUCUUCAAAGUUUUUUGCGGCGUCCAGGCUGACCAACGAGCUCGCUGCUUCGAACCCUUCUCUUAGGAUCCAUCUUGAGUACUCACAACUCAAGAAGAUGUGGUGCGCGCUUUCCUGCUCCUUCCCGCACAGUUCAUGUAAAGAGUCCGUAGAUCGUCAUCCCGCGUCGUCUCAGUCUGUCCUUGAUUGGGAGGUUGGCUGACAUGUAUCUCCAAAAAUUGAGCGCGACUUUUGCCAUUUUAACCGCCCAUAUACCUUUUGCAAGUCUAUCCUUUGGGUGAUCCGGACGUAUGGUAGAGACUACAUUCCUGACCAAGCUAGCUGUGUCUUUCCCUAUCUAGCUCUUAACUCCGUUCGAUCCCAGGACCGCGCAUUUUGCAAUUUGGGUUCUCUGACGAAGAGUACGACUAGUUCCAAGAUAAAUGCAAGUACUACAAAUAUAGGACUAGUUUGCAUGAUAAUUUUAAUUCUUACUAUCAUUAUGAAAACAGUAACGGUAAAUGGGAGGGUCACCAUAAAAAAUACGCAAUGUUGUAGGACCAACCUGCAAAAUCUGGGAAAAGUCAUUAAAAAUAUACGUACACGUGGGCACUACUAUAGUCAAUAUAAAAAUAUCAUGGUAGGAAAAGUGAGAAAACGUCAAAUCAGAAAGAAAAAUUACAUUAAAGAAUCAUCACACACAACAAAAAAUACUUAGGGUCAAGGAAGGGAAAACUACAAAAUUACACAUGGGAUGGAGUUGGGUAAAACAACUACACCAAAUUGGAAUAACAACGGAUGAAGUUAGUUACGAAAUUAGGUUAGUUAGUAAUCACAAUCAGUUAAGUAAGAACUGCCUGUAAUUAGUAUAAAUAGAAACACAGAGUAUAUACAAAUACACAAUUCAAGUUUACUACAACGAUUGUUCUUAAUCAUCUUCUUCCUCAACUCCGAUCAACGUCGUGUAAAAUCUCAAUAUGGUAUCAUCGACCGGUAAUGCCGAUGGGGCUAUAGAUUCAGUUUCCACUGCACACAUGGCAUGGAUGGAUUAAAAACCCAGCGUGCUUCCAAAUCUUUUGCAUCUUAUAUAUAUUUAAUUCUGGGAAAACCGUUCCUUGCUUAUCUGUCCACUAUGAAUUUCUGAGGCCAUUAAUCAUUUAUUCAUAUGUCGCUAGCUUAGCAUUAGUAGCUUUAUUCUUGUCCCAUUCUUCUAAUCAUCUGCAACCAAUAAUUAAUUCAUAUCACAGUAUCAAUGUUUAACGAAUGUAUUAAUGUUCAAGUUACAAAUAGAAGAGAGUAAAAAAAAUUAGCUAAACCAACGGAGAGAAAGGGGGGGGGGAAUUAUACUAUGGUUUUAUAUUCUUAAUUUCAUAUAUGAUUGAACUUUAUUUAUGUCAAGCACAUUUAGAUAUAUCAUAGAUUAAAUUUCAUUCCUAAUCUUCUACAAAGAUUUAAGAAAAUAUCAUAUGAUACAACUUUAGUGAAGAUAUCAACCAGUUGUUGGGAGGAGCUUACUUGUAUAAUUUCCAACAAACCUUUAAUGACAAGUUCUCUGACAAAAUGGAUGUCGGUUUCAAUGUGUUUAGAACCUUUCUUUAUAACAGUAUUUUUAGCCAUAAAGAUAGCUGAGUUGUUAUCACUAUUUAUGAGUUGGAUAUAUUUAAGCCUAUGUCCUAAAUGCCUACAAAUAAAGUGUGACCAUCUCAUUUCAGCUGCCAAAGAUGCUACGGCUCUAUAUUCCGAUUCUGCACUUGAUCUAGAAACUGUAUUUUGUUUCUUUGAUGACCAGUUAACAAGAUUUUCACCAAUGAAGAGAUAGUAUUCAGAUGUGGAUUUCCUUGUAUCUGGGUCGCCUGCAAAGUCAGCUUCACAGAAUCCUACCAUCCUGUGAUGAUCAUUCAUAUUUUUUGAAAAAUGAAGCCCAUGACUGAGUGUGCCUUUUACAUAUCUCAUAAUUCUCUUUGCCGCAAUCAAGUGUGAGGUUUUUGGUUCAUUAACAAAUUAGGAAACCUGAUUAAUAGAGUAUGUGAGAUAUGGCCUAGUGAGUGAUAAAUAUUGUAAAGAGCCUACUAGUGCUCUAAAACUAGUCCCUUCAUCCUUAGACAAUUUUGAGUUUGGAAGAACAGGGUAUUUACACGGUUUGCAGUUCAACAUAUUAUUUUUACCUAAAAUGUUAAUUGCAUAUCUUGAUUGAUUUAGUUCGAGAGAUUCAUCAAAAUUAUGAAUCACUUCCAUUCCUAGAAAUUUUUUUAGCAGACCAAGAUCUCUACAUAUGAAUUCUUGACAUAAAUGUUUGAUGAAUUUUUCAACUUAAUUCAUUACUGUUAUUUCCAGUAAUGAUUAAGUCAUCCACAUAUAUUAUAACCCAAAUGAGUAUGUUAUCUUGGUUAUAUACAAACAAUAAGGUAUCUGCUUGACUGUUUGUAAAUUCAUUUAAAACUAAGAAACUUCUAAGUCUGAAAUACCAAGCCUUAGGAGCUUGUUUAAGUCCAUAUAUGGAUUUAUUUAGAUGACAUACUAAACUUGAAUGUUCAGGUUCUACAAAUCCUGGAGGUUGAGCGAUAAAAACUUUUUCUUUUAGUUCUCCUUGUAAGAAAGCAUUCUUGACAUCAAUUUGCCUAAGCCUAUAAUUUCUAUUUACUGCUAGAGACAGGACAAUCCUAAUAGUUGAUGAUUUAACUACUGGACUAUAUAUUAAUCCAUAGUCAAUAUUUUCUUGUUGUUUAAACCCUUGUGCCACUAAUCUGGCCUUAUAUCUUUCUACUGUCCCAUCUGAUUUUCUCUUAACCUUGAAAAUCCAUUUGGUUCCAAUUACAUUCAUGUUUUUUUAGCAGGAACUGGUGAGACAUGUCUGAUUACGUCAGUCACUCCCAGGAACGCCCUUCAACAAGGACUAGGGUUCCGUCGCUUUAUGCCGGACCCCCGAAGAGAUCCACGGUGCGGAGUAAGUGUUUACUUCAAGUAUUAAAGGCAACACCUGGUAAUUGCCGACUGGGACUACCAAGUCGCUGAUUCCAGGAGUGCAUCGUCGCCUCCAGACAGGGCACUCGGGUCUGGUAGACCGAGGACCUGACCACAAGGGAGUCGGCGACUCCACCUCUGAAUCGACGACUCCCAUACCUGAGUCGCCGAUUCCCAGCCAUUACUUGGGAGGGCCCACGUCAUUAUGACACCCUUAAUUGGACACCAUAAUGGAGUGGGCCCCAUGCUAAUGAAUGGGGAAGCGCCCCCAAGACCCUAUAAAAGGGGUCCUUGGGGGUCCUCCACUCCCAGGUCAUUCCCACUUGACAGACCCCAACCAGAGCAAACUAAGGAGACCGAGUCGCCGACUCCCACGUGAGUCGCCGAUUCCCCUCCUCUUCUACAGGUACAUUGACGUAGACUCCAAAGGCUCCGGCCUUCCUCGCUGUUGGAUCGAGAUCCGAGGCUAUAAGGGGGGAUAAUAGCCUCUUUUCGAUUUAUGCAAGUUAAUAGCGGAAUUACCUGCACACACUUAAGUACACAUUGAUAUAUUGAUAAGCAAGUAAAUGACCAGAUAACUGGAUAUAUUGAUAAGCAAGUAAAUGACCAGAUAACUGGAUAUAUAUAUGAUAAGUAAAUGCUUGAACAAAUAUAUGAAUAAGGAUUUAAAGCAAUUAAUAUAACCUCAGAUAGUUGACCAGAUAACUGGAUGAGGGAUCUGCGUAAAGUAGUCAACCUCUGUAUUUGACCAGAUAACUGGAAGAGAGAUCCUUUUCAAUUAAGUGUUGUUUAGUUGUUUUUGAUGAAAGAUAAAAACUAGAGUUAACAAAGAACAACACAAGAGAUUUAUACUGGUUCACCCAAACAAGGGCUAGUCCAGUCCCGACCAACUGUCAGAAUUCACUCACCUAAAGGUUAUGGCAAAACCUUAGAGUAUCAAGGAAACUCUUAAGAACCUCUCUAAGCUUUAAGGCUAGUUCGCUUAGGAACCAGUCUUUUACGGGUAGACUCACACCUUAGAGUAUCAAGGGCACUCUUAAGAACCUCUAACUUUUGCGGGUAAGUUAGUACCUUAGAGUAUCAAGGAACUCUUAAAAACCUCUCUAAGCUUUAAGGCUACUUCGCUUAGAAACCAGUCUUUUACGGGUAGACUCACACCUUAGAGUAUCAAGGGCACUCUUAAGAACCUCUAACUUUUACGGGUAAGUUAGUACCUUAGAGUAUCAAGGAACUCUUAAAAACCCUGAAAUCUUUCAAGGUAGACUCGACCUAAGAGUUUUCCCGGAAACUCUAUAAAACCAAACUAGAGCUUUAUGGUUGAGCUCAAAAACCUUCUCUCACACUUUGGUACUAUUGAGACAACCCUCUCAACCAAAGUGGACACACACAAGAGGUGAUUAGAGGAGUGGAAUAUUAAAGCAAACAACACUUCUUACUUGUAAAGAUGAACAAGAAGAUUAGAAGAAGAAGUUGGAGAGCUUUUGAAGCUUUGGAAAGCUAGGACACUUGAGCACUUGAAAGCUUGGAAGCUUGGAGGCAAAAACGUGUGGGCAAGUGUGGAGUGAAAGCUCUUGAGUUUGCUUGUAGUGUGGUAAGUGAAAAUGAGGGGUUUACCCUUCUAUUUAUAGCCUUGGCCACUCAAUGUCCACCCUUGGAUCUUCAAUGGAUGGCUCCUUGAUUUCUCACAUAAAUCCAAGCUUUGUCUUUGAUCUUAUCUUGAAUAGUGCUUUUAUUGGAUAGAGUUUGUUGGAGAAUCUUAUCUUUGUAUAAAUUCAAACUUGAAUAGUGUUUUGUCCCCUUGGAAUAUUAUACCUUGAAUAAAGUGUCAAAAGAUAAUAAUAAUAAUAUUCAAGGUAAAAAUGCAAUUAUUUCAAAUAAUAUUCAAGGUGAAAAUGCAAUUAUUCCAAAUAAUAAUAUUCAAGGUUAAAAUGCAAUUCUCCCAAUUUGACUUUUAACUUUGACUUAAACCCUUAACUCAAAUGAUUAAUUAAUUAACUGGAGUUAGGUUUAAUAUCGAUUGACUUAUUUAAACCCUAUUGAUUAAUAGUGUAAUUAGGGUUUAAAUUGACAUGAUUAAAAUAUAAUCCUAUGUCGACAAUUUUGAUUCUACAUUCUCCCCCUUUGUCGAUGGCAUAUAUGUUUUAACUCAUGUCUAGUCAAUAUUCUAUUUUACCCUUAUGAACAUGCUCCCCCUGAAUUAUUGACCCAUAAUAUUCAAUUUAAAAGCCGUGGAUCAUGCAUGAUUUCUCCCCCUUAAAACAAUAAGAUAUCGACAAAGUUAAAAAUAGAUACCUGUGAAGUAUCUCCCCCUUAAUGAUAGGACAUAUCUAAUUUGUGGAGAAAAUAAAAUUUCAUACCUUAUUGAGCUUUGAUCACAAAUUCGAUUUGUGUGGUUGACCAAAUGUGACGUCUUGCUUAUAAGAGUGUUAGUCAAUCAUAUAGGAGAAAUAACAUGUAAUUUAUGCUCAUUGAUAAAAUAUUAGAUUGAAGCCAAUUUUGAUAUACAUUAUAAGGCAAGUAUGAUAUGAUAAUUUAAAUUGCCUUGUGUUAAGAUCAUGCAAUGAAUAAUAAUCCAUGUGUAUGUUAUGGAUGAAGAUGAUCUUAACAUGUAUGGAUUAAAGAUUUUAUAAUGUUGUAAUCCAUAAGAUAUUAGUGAAUGAUAUGUAUAAAUCCAUAAUAUUCACUAAUUGCUUUAAGAAGAAAUUGAGCAUUUAAAAUUUUAAAAUCUAUGUCUUAGUGACAAAUAUAAUCAUGUAAAUAUUCACUAAGUUUUAAAAGAUUUAAAAUUUUCAUUUCAGUCCUUAAAGCCUUAGUAGUAAAACUUCACUUAAAACAAAAUUUCAUUUAAGCCCUUUGAAGUUAUGAUAAAUACUUAUAUUAAUACUUGAAAUAUUUCAUUUAAACCUUGGUAGUAUUAACUAUUUCUAAGCACUUUUUAAUUUGAAAACUUCAUGUAAAUAUUAAUUUUAAAUCCCUGAAGUUUUAACUAGAUAUUUAUUCACUGUAAAGAUAUCAUUUUGACCCUUAAGUUUUAGUGAAUCUAUUUAAAACUUAAAAACUUCAUAAACGAUUUAUGUCUAAGUCCUUGAAGUUUCACAUAACUCUAUAUUCACUGGAAAAAAUAUCAUCUUAAUCCUUAAGUUUCAGUGAAUCAUUUUAAACUUAGAAACUUCAAAAAUAAUUUAUGUUUUAGUUUCCAAGAAUUUCUUGGUUUGACUAAGCCAUGAAAAAUCGUUUUAUCUUGUAGUCUCCUUCUCAAAAGAGAGUUCUUUGAUUUCCCAUGUACUGACAUGACUUGUUAGGUUUAACAAGUAAUGAGAUUUUGAAACUAUCAUCUAAGAGCUAGCUAGGAUCUUAGCAAGGCUUGUAUUUUAGUAGCUUGUAUCCAGAAUAAUAUUUAAUUUAAAACAUACUUUUUGGUGGUCUUCAACGCAUUCUUUGCACUAUGCACGAUAGUCCAUGCUCCUAGCUGUCGUGAGUGACUAGUUGCGACAGGUUUUCUGGAUGAAGUUGCAGCAUCGAGGUUGCAGAAUGUGCAGACGACGAUUCUCAAUGCCAUGAGGUAAGGUUUGAAUUACCAAUACCAUGUGAUGCUGAUUUUGCUCAAAGUAGGAAAUAGUCUCAUGUAGUAUGUGUGCAACAUAGAAUUAAUCUUAUAAUUUUCUCAAUUAUAUGUAUGUGAUGACAUGGAAUAUGCAUGAUUUAAAUAGUUAUAUACAUAAGUCAAAAUUAGCUGUUUUGAUCAUCAUGUAUUUAAGUAUUUCAUAUCAUUAUGCAUGUAUAUAAUUCAUAGAUUCAUGCAUGUCAUAAGAUUCAUAAAUAAAUAUUAGCAUGCAUGUAUAAGAUAAUAAUAGUAUCAUGCUAAACUCAAACCAUGUAUCUUAUAUUUUUAAAGACCACAUACGUGUACAUGCAUAAUAUUGCAAUAUUUACUUUGCCAGACAUGCAUUUAUCAGAUAGUUAUUUGAAUCAUGUAGUUUCUAGUAGCAUGGUGAACAUGUAGGCAUGUAUUAACAUGAUUCUAUUGAUAUAUAUGAUAGUCAUAUAGUCAAGUUAAGCUCUUCAUUUUAUGCAUGCAUAUGAUGAAUUAUAUGUAUAUACUUAGUCAUGUAAAUCUUAGAUUUGUAAAUUUAUGCAUACGUAUAUUUAUUUUAAUGUGAUUAUGAUCAAGGUUAUAAGUAUAAAGAUAUUCAGGUAAAGAAUACUAAAGCUUGAGAUGCAUUCACUCAUAACUAAUCAAAUUUCACUAAGCUCACAUAUACCCAUAGAUCUUCUGAUUUUUGAAUGAACUUCUUGAUCUAAGGGUUUAGUGAAGAUGUCAGCCAUUUGAUCUUCAGUAGAAAUAUAUUCUAGGCAUAUAUUUUUCUUUUCUACAUGAUCACUAAGGAAAUGAUGUCUGACAUCAAUGUGUUUAGAUCUUGAAUGUAACACAGAGUUUUUUGAUAAACAAAUUGCACUCUUGUUGUCACAUUUAAGAGCUACUGUUUCUAAAGCUAUAUCGUAGUCGGAUAAUGUUUGUUUCAUCCACAAAAUUUGAGUGCAUGCAUUAGAUGCUGCCAUAUAUAUAUUCUGCUUCAGUUGUGGAUAAAGCAAUACUAUUUUGCAUUUUACAUGACCAUGCUACGAGUGAGCUUCCCAACAGAAAGCAUGUUUCACUAGUGCUUUUUCUGUCAGUCUUACAUCCACCAAAGUCAGCAUCACAGUAUGCUGUCAGUGUGAAUGAAUUGUCCUUAGGGUAGAAUAAUCCAAGUGUAAUUGUUCCUUUGAUAUACCUGAUUAUUCAUUUAACCGCUUUGAGACGUGACUCUUUUGGGUCUGAUUAGAAUCUGGCACAUAAGCAGACUGCAAACAUGAUGUCUGGUCUGCUGGCUGUUAGGUAUAGCAGUGAUCCAAUCAUUCCUCUGUAUUUCUUAAUGUCUACUGAUUGACCUUCAACAUCUUUAUCCAAUUUAAGUGUUGAACUCAUCGGAGUUGGCAUAGAUUUAGAUUCAGCCAAGUCAAAUUUCUUUAUCAAUUCCAUAGCAUAUUUGACUUGACUUAGGAAUAUUCCAUUCUCCUUCUGUUUGACUUGUAGACCUAAGAAAAAAGUCAACUCUCCCAUCAUACUCAUUUCAAAUUCGUCUUCCAUUUGUUUGGAAAAUUUCUUACAUAGAGUAUCAUCGGUUGAUCCAAAUAUAAUGUCAUCAACAUAGAUUUGAAUUAGAAUAAUGUCACUUUUGACAUUUUUAAUGAACAAUGUAUUAUCUAUACUCCCCAUUCUAAAUUCCUGAGAAAUGAGAAAGUUUCUUAGUCUUUCAUACCAAGCUCGGGGUGCUUGUUUCAGACCAUAGAGGGCUUUCUUAAGUUUAAGGACAUGAUCAGGGUUUUUGUAAUCUUCGAAACCGGGGGGUUGUCUAACAUAUACUUGUUCAUUGACUAUUCCAUUCAAGAAUGCACUCUUUACAUCCAUUUGAUAUAAUUUGAAAUCUUUGUAACAUGCAAAGGAUAGGAGCAUUCUGAUAGACUCUAGUCUAGCUACUGGUGCAAAUGUUUCAUCAUAAUCAAUUCCUUCUUGUUGAUUGUAUCCUUGCGCAACCAGUCUAGCUUUGUUUCUGAUUAUAGUUCCAUCUUCAUCCAGCUUGUUUCUGAAUACCCAUCUUGUCCCAAUGAUUGAUGUAUCUUUUGGUUUUGGAACUAGUUCCCAUACAUCAUUUCUCUCAAAUUGGUUGAGUUCUUCUUGCAUAGCUUGAAUCCAGUAGUUGUCGUCGAGGGCUUCAUCAACUUUCUUGGGCUCAAUUUGAGAGACAAAACAGUCAAGAACACUGUUUCCUUGAAUGGAUGAUCUGGUUUUAACACCAGCUUGAUGGUCACCAAUGAUUUGAUCAGUGGAAUGUGGGUUCCUGAGCAACCUGUUGGAUGGAGGCUCAAAGACUUCGAUUUCGACAUUGGUAGUUUCUUCAGUUGGAAUGAUGAUUUCUGGUUCUGGAACUAUUUCAUCUUCUUCUACAAUGGUUGUCUGAGUGGAUUCAUCAAAGCCAACGUGUAAUGAUUCGAUCAUUAUUUGUUUUUCUUUGAGAAGAAUUUUGUAGACUUUGCUCCUUCUAGAGUAUCCUACCAGGAUACCUUCAUCAAAUUUCUGAGCAAAUUUGUCUUGGUUGCCUCUUGUUCGGAGAACUAACAUUUGCAUCCAAAGACCUUGAAGUAUGAGACUUUUGUCUUUCUUCCAUUCCAGAUCUCAUAUGGAGUUUUGUUAAAGGUUUUUCUAAUAAUCACCUUGUUUAAUAUAUAACAGGCUGUGUUAACAGCUUCUGCCCAGAGAUACUGUGGUGAAUCAUGUUCUUGUAACAUGGAUCUACUCAUCUCUUGUAGAGUUCUGUUUUUCCUUUCAACAACUCCAUUCUGAGGGGGUGCUUGGGGAAAAGCAAAUUCAUGUUUUAUUCCAUGAGUUUUGCAAAAUUUUUCAAACUCAGAGUUCUCGAAUUCUCCUCCAUGAUCACUUCUGAUUCUUUUUAUGAGAACAUCCUUCUCAUUUUGUACACGUGUACAAAAUGAUGAGAACUCGUUGAAUGAGUCACUUUUAUUUCGUAAGAAGAAAACCCAAGUAAAUCUUGAGUAAUCAUCUACUAUUACAUACGUAAACCUUUUACCGCCAAGACUUUGGGUUUGGGUUGGCCCAAAUAAGUCCAUGUGUAAAAGUUCCAAAGGUCUGGACGUAGUAAUAUCUGUAAGGGAUUUGAAUGAGCUUUUAUGCUGUUUCCCCUUUUGACAAACAUCACAAAGAUUACUUUUCUCAUAUGCUAUUUUAGGCAGUCUAGUCACCAGUUCUUCUUUUGAUAGUUUGGAUAAUCGAGAAUAACUGAUGUGACCUAACCUUCUAUGCCAUAAUGUCUUUUCAUCACUUGCUGCAAUCAUGCAGAAGUCAUGAGUUGGCUUGGAGGGAUUAAAGGUUAUGGAAUAAGCAUUGUUUUUCCUAUAUCCUUUAGCAAUUAUAACUCCCUUGGAGUUAAUGAUUGAGCAUAAAUGUUUUUCAAAUUUAACUGUGCAAUCAUUAUCAUAUAAUUGGCUUAUGCUGAUAAGAUUAUGUUUAAGGCCAUUAACUAAGUAAACAUCUCUAAGAAAUGGUCUAUCUAUAUUACCUAUAUUACCCCUACCUAUAAUGGUACCUUCGUUGUUAUCGGCGAACUUGACCUUCUUAGUAGUAGGCCAGUCGGUCAAGUCUGUCAGUAGACUUGAAUUUCCAGUCAUGUGCCUUGUGCAUCCACUGUUGAACAGCCAUUUUGACACAUGUUUUUCCUGAAAGAGUUGAAUAACCUUUUGGUACCUAUACUGAGUUGGGUCCAGAUGAAUUAACAUAGUUGAUUUGCUUAUAAUUUUUUAACUCAUUCUUGGUCAUCCAUUUUUGUUUUGGAUGAUUCAUCUUCGAUAGAUCUUUCUUUUUUUUAAGAUGAAUAGGUUUUCUGUAGCUAGAUUCUCUUACAAAAUAAUCAUUAUAUGUUAAAGCAUGUAAAGGUUUUUUAAUAGGUGUAUUUGAUUCAAACCCUAAGCCAAAUUUCUUUUAACCUGAGCUUGAACCUUGCAACAUGUCAUUUAGCUUAGAUGAACUAUUUAAGAAUUUUUCAAGAACAUUAUUCUUCUGACCUAUUCUUUUGAUUUGUAAUUGCAUAUCAUUACAUUUUUCAGAUAAUUAUUGUAUAGUUUGUACAUGCUCAAGUAUGAUUUUGUCCUUAAAUUCUAUUUCUGUUUUGAGCAUAAUUGUUUCUUUUUCUUUUAACAUAAUAUCUUCUUCAAAAUUAUCUAUUUUUAAUUCUAGCAAUUCAAUCUUAUCAUCAUCCAUUUCCUUAGAUUGAUUUUCUUCAGAUUCUAAAAUGUUAAGCAAUUCAAAGUUUUGACUCUUAAGUAUCUUAAUUUUUUCUUCAUCUUUGUUUAAUUUACUUGUGAGUUUUAGAUUUCUUUCUUUCAAUUGCAUGCAUUCUUUUUGUGAUUCUUCUAAUUCAAUAGAUUGAUCUAUAUGUGAUUUAUUCAUGCAUUCUAGUUUUAAUGACUUAGUUAAUUUGUUCUCAUUUUUAUAUUUUCCCAUUAAUUCUAGAUAUGCUUCUUCUAAAGAAUUAAAUCUAGUAUUUGCAAAACUCACCUCAGAGUUGCUUUCAUGAGCCAUGAGACAAUCUUCUUGAUCCGAGUCGGAGUCUGUCCAUUGUGCUUGAUUUGCUCUUUCUUUCUUUAGCAGAGGACAUUCUGGUUUGAUGUGUCCAGACUUGUCGCAUAGACAACAGGUUGGUUCUUUUGACUCCUUGCUCAUUCUUCCGUCGAACUUCUGAUGACUUGAUCUUGAGUCUUUCUUCUCUUUCCUCUUUUUCUGAUAUCUUCUCAGAUGAUUUGUGAUCAUUCCUAGAUCAUCUUCUGAUGUUUCAUUGUCAGAUUGACUUUUAAAAGCAAUAUCCUUUUUCUCUUCUUUAGCUCUAGAGAUGAAUCUUUCUUCUUCAUAGGCCAUCAGAUUUCCACAGAGUUUCACAACUGUAAGUUUAUUGAGAUCAUGAACCUCUUGGAUAGCAUUCCUUUUGGAGUAGUACUUGUUUGGAAGGCUCCUCAGAAUUUUGCUUACUUGCUUCUUCUCAGUUAUUAGAUCUCCUAGUCCAGCUAGAUCAUUAACUAUUUGUGAUAGUCUAAUGUUCAUCUCUGCGAUAGUCUCGUCUUCCCUCAUAGAGAAUCUUUCGAACUGAGAGGUAGCAUGUAACAGCUUGUUUUCUUUAACAUGGGAGGUUCCUUCAUGUAUAUCCUCCAAUGCUUUCCAUACCUUGUGAGCUGUAUCCAAGCAUCGAAUUCUGCUGUACUCAGAUUCAUUGAGUGCUCCAUAUAGAGCAUUCAAUGCUCUUGAGUUGUUGUUUUCCUUGAGAAUGUCCAUUUCUCCCCAAGUCUCUUCAUUGCUUGUUGGAAUUUCAUAAUCCUCUAAUAUGAUCUUCCAUACUCCAUUGUUGAUUGACUUCAAGUAUAACUUCAUCUUGUUCUUCCAGAAGUCAUACUUUACUCCAUCGAACCUGGGAGGUUUGUUUGACGCAAGACCAGUGUUGAAUUCACCAUUUGGUGCCAUAAUUGUUGUUGUAAGAUGUUAGUCAAACUUCAACGGUACUUGGCUCUGAUACCACUUGUUGGAUCGAGAUCCGAGGCUAUAAGGGGGGAUAAUAGUCUCUUUUCGAUUUAUGCAAGUUAAUAGCGGAAUUACCUGCACACAUUUAAGUACACAAAUGGUUGUAUAAUAAUAGUAUAAUAUUGUUAGCAAUAUAAUACUGGUUCACCCAAACAAGGGCUAGUCCAGUCCCGACCAACUGUCGGAAUUCACUCGCCUAAAGGUUAUGACAAACCUUAGAGUAUCAAGGAAACUCUUAAGAACCUCUCUAAGCUUUAAGGCUACUUCGCUUAGGAACCAGUCUUUUACGGGUAGACUCACAUCUUAGAGUAUCAAGGGCACUCUUAAGAACCUCUAACUUUUGCGGGUAAGUUAGUACCUUAGAGUAUCAAGGAACUCUUAAAAACCUCUCUAAGCUUUAAGGCUACUUCGUUUAGGAACCAGUCUUUUACGGGUAGACUCACACCUUAGAGUAUCAAGGGCACUCUUAAGAACCUCUAACUUUUACGGGUAAGUUAGUACCUUAGAGUAUCAAGGAACUCUUAAAAACCUCUUAAAUCUUUCAAGGUAGACUCGACCUAAGAGUUUUCUCGGAAACUCUAUAAAACCAAACUAGAGCUUUAUGGUUGAGCUCAAAAACCUUCUCUCACACUUUGGUACUAUUGAGACAACCCUCUCAACCAAAGUGGACACACACAAGAGGUGAUUAGAGGAGUGGAAUAUUAAAGCAAACAACACUUCUUACUUGUAAAGAUGAACAAGAAGAUUAGAAGAAGAAGUUGGAGAGCUUUUCAAGCUUUGGAAAGCUAGGACACUUGAGCACUUGAAAGCUUGGAAGCUUGGAGGCAAAAACGUGUGGGCAAGUGUGGAGUGAAAGUUCUUG